GACUAAAUUGUAAGAAAAUCAAAGUUUCCUUCAUUCUCUUCUUCAUUGACGUUGGUUGUAGAAAAGUAUGAACAAUUUUCCUCAUACUUCUUUAAUUAUUUAAUAUAAAAACAAUAAAAUAAUAAAAAUAUCCCAACAUAAUGAUUUUAAUCCAAUGUCAUAUUUCUUCUCAUUUUCCAUAUUCCAUCUAAAAAAUACUAGAAAACAUGGGCAUCAAAGUGCGAAUAUCAGUGUUAGAAAAUUCUCUUUCUAACUUAUUUUUCUAAAUUUUCUUAAAAUUUCAUUGUAUUCGAAUUCAAAACAGUGUCAGAUAUCAUAUCAGACUUUUUGAGGCCUUACAAAAGAAAUUAAAUAUUGAAUCCAAACUCACAUACCACACAAUAAAAAGCAACACUUGCCAUUAGAUCAAAAGACUGUUAGCAAAUCAUACAUCAAUUAAAUGUAAACAAUAGUGCCAUAACCUAUUGUACAUUGAUUUUAGGUUGUUUUUUUUUGUCUUAAAAUUCAAUAACUAAAUUAUGGUAGUUAGUAGUGAAAAUGAUUGUAAAGUCUUUAUUUUUUCUCCCCUAUUUAGUUACAUUACACAUGAUUAUUCAAGAUUAUGAUCAAAAAGUUGAUUUAUUAAUAUUAUAUUUGGAACUAUUUUCAGGUCAGUCCAGAUCUUUGCCUCCAAAAUAAAAAGCUUAGAGAUGAAAAUGCCCGAUUAAGAGAAAUUUUGAAGUUGAGUGAUGGGGCACUACUUGUGGAGGAGAAUGGGAAAUUAAAACUAGAUAAUCAGUUACUCCAAGUGAAAAUAGAUGCUUUAUUGGGACAAAUAGUUGAUAAAAUCGCAAAAGUUGUGGGCAUAAAUGACUGGGACAAGGGGCAUUCAUAGAUGUUGCAAAACGAACCAAGUAGUUUCUUUCAUAAAAUAAAGUAAGUCUCAAUUUAUUUGCUAAUUUUUGUUUCUUUUCUUUUCUUUUGUUAAUAAGAAAGGUAUUCUUCAUUCACAAAAAUCAAAAGAUGACAAUGAAAUUUUUAUAAUUUAUAUAAUAUCAUCCGUAUUUAAACUAAAAAGGUUCAAUGAGAGUAGUCUUUUGCAACAACUACAACUUUUAUAUUAAUCAUAGUGACUUUUUUGACCAUUCAAGUUUACAAAAAAAUUAUUUAAGUAUUCUAUUUAAUUUUUUUUUCUAAUUCUUAAUUUUUUUUGUCAAAUCACCCCAAAAUGGAUGGAAAAGUUAUUUUUUAACUUUGCUGAUGUAGCAUACACGUGGAUUGCCACAUGGAUGAUACAUCAGCAUUUAAUUAAUUUUUUAAAAUUUAAACCUUAUGAAUAUAGUUGUAUUACUACUCGUUGAGUUGAUAAAGGUUCGAAGUUACAAAAGAGAAUCAUUAGGUUUAGACCUAAAAGGUUUUCAAUGAAUAAUUAUUAUUCUUGUUUUAUUGUUAUAAUUUUAUAACAUUUCGUCAAUUUGAUUAUCUAACUAUUUAUUCUUAUUUUAUAUCAGGAAUGGAUUGUGAAAAUGAUGAGAAUGAUGAGGACGAUGUUUCUUCAUUUUCUUUUUAUGUUAUCUUCCUAAUUGUUAACAAUUUAAUUUAGCUUACAAUUUAUAGCUUGUUAUAAAAUUAAAUAUGCUGAUUGGUUGAGAUAUAUAUAUAGAUAUUUUGGUUGGUUGAUUACAUUUUCUAGGUUGCUUUUGGUGCUAUUUCUUUAUUGCUUUUGGUGUUAUUUCAUUGUUGUUUUUUUUGUGCUAUUUCAUUGUUGUUUUUAAUGUUGUUCCGCUACCAUUUUUUGUUGUUGUCCCACUGCCAUUUCAUUGUUGUUUCACUGUUGUUUUGUUGUCAUUUCACUAUUAUAGUGCUACUAUUUUGUUGUUAUUGUUUAAAUAUUGUAUAACUCUUGUUUUAUUUUUAAUUUUGCUACUACUUUAGAGGCAUUUGUUUGUUAAGUUGCAACUAUCUUAGUGUUAUUUAAGUAUAAAGACUUUUUUAGUGUAUUUUCAAUUUGUUGGGAAACUUUUAUUUUAAAGUUUUUAGUGUUUUUGAUGUAUUAUGCUUUUUAAAUUUGUUUUUAUAUAAAAAAAUCUAAAAAAAAUUAAUAUAGGCAUGCCAUGUUGAGCUCAAGUUUAGCAUUUUUAAUCUGGGUCGGGCUUGGUAGAAUUUUAGGCCAAAUUUUUGGGCCUAGUCCAGUCUGGGCCCAAAAAACGGGCUUAAAAUUCUACAUCGGUUUGGCCAGAACCUGACCUGGCUCGGCAUAUGAUUAGGUCUAGGAUUAGCCUAUAGAAAUCCAAUUGGUUUUAGGAUUAGCAUUUAGAACUAGUUUUAGGGUUAGAAUUAAACUUAGAAUUAUGGUUAAAAUUAGACAUGAAAAAUAGGAUUAAACUUAGGCCUAUGAUAUAGGAUUAAUAUUCUUAGUUAGGCUUAGGAAUUAGGACUCCUUUCAUUGGUAUCUUAUUAUUAAUUGACAAAUUCUUUAGGUACCAUUUCCAUGACAUAUUUUGUACUUAAAUUUAAAAUUUGUUUUGUGCUAAUACAUCAUAAUCACCUCCCUCACGUCACACUCACAUUGGUAUCCAUUGUACAGUUACAUUGUUAUAUUAUUGAAUGGAUGCCUUUGUGUCACGGACUGUCCAUUCCUUGACCUGCACGAUCUUGUGUCAUACCAUGACUGCAUUAACCCUAAUCAGGCUUUCUCAUGUCCUUUUUCUACAGACUAUCUUAGUUCCCAUCGAUGCCUUGUUCCAAAAGCCUCUCGCUCGAUCCAGCCUUAUGAAAAUGCUUACACCCAAUCGCUUAAAUCAAGGGAGGACACCCACUUGCAUCGCACAUGUGACAUUCGUGCUUGUAAGAGGUCUCAAGCAUCAUCUCUAUGAUGAUCUUGAGCUCCAACCAUCACGGUCCAAGACUCAAGGUAUCUUGUUAAGCUUGGGGUAAUCCAACACCAAGUUCACGCUCGUUGAGGUGUCUCAUGUGUUGGAACCCAAUGGCACUACUUGAAUGUUGGUCGCAUACCAACUAAAGGUUGCUUUUAGCUUGUCAUAUUGCUCAUCAAGGUGACUCUAAGACCAAGCUCAAUUGCUCCACCAAAGGCUCAUCCCAAGCAUGAUGGACACUAAACAUCAUGCAAGGCCCGCCAAGCACAUCGUCCCAACUUCAAAGCAUUAGGCUCAAUCUCUAAUUCCCACACUACUAGUAGUUGUUUUGUCUACUAGUUAUCUCAAUGUCCUAUCACAUCUUGAUGCUCCUCCUACAAAGGAUGCCGUAUGAUCCCAAAGGUAACCCGAUAGACUUUCGGUGGAGGGUCCCACAAGGAUUAAUUAAAAUCUAAGGUCUAACCCCAACUUUCUAAACAUUGAGCGUUAAGGGGCCCAAGUUUCCUCUUGAGGAGACAUCGAGCAUCCACUUAAUGAUGACUGCACACCGUCACAUCUUGCUUGCCAUGGUGUAGCUCGCUAAAGAGCUACACCUUUCACCCCCUAAAAAGCUAAAUAGCUUCUACAUAUAUGCUCCCAAGGAAUAUUGAAAUAUUUGAAACAAAGACAGUUUUCUUACUUUGCACUCAAAACCCAUCUCAUAGGCAUUCUCCAAGCACUGUUGUCCCAUAAAUGGGAUCCUUGUCAUCUCAACUCAUAUCAUGGGUUCACCAUCCCCAUUGGCCUCGUCUGCUCAUGGAACCCCCGCUAUACUAUUUGCUCGGUGGUUCUUGCAAGAUGCUACCGCUCAAGGUCCACCAUCGGGGUCUCUCAUCCGAAGGUUUCAGCCUGGUCCUGUCUACCAAGUGGGAUGUUAAUGCAGCAUUGUAGCCAAAAUGAUAGACCAUGACACUUUUCCAUGUCUUAUGCUUUAGAAAACCUUCAUUUUAUGUUAAGCAUGGUGAAAUUGUGUGAUGCUAAGUAUACUUAUUAAAUGAAAUUCUUCUUGUUUGUCUAUAUGGUUUUUUAAUUCAAUAAUUUAUGUCUUGUAUGAAUUUCUCCACAUUAAGCUCUUCAUAAUUGAUAUAAUUGUAGCUUUGAUGAGAUUUUAAUUUCCACAUUGUUGAUUUCAUUAUUUUUUUCAUACCUUAUUUUGUUUAAUAAUAUUUGGUAUCCAAAAAAGGGAGAAAAUCAUUAAGAUAUGCAUUUAUUAAUGGGGAGUAUUAGAAAUAAGAAUCACUUGUAGCUUUAUUGAAUUAUCUUUAGCAUGCAAUUCUUCGAUUCUCAAUUCAUGCCUUGUUCACAUUUCUUGUUAAUAAUUGGUAUCUUAGUGUCAGUAUCAAUUGGUAUCCUUCAUUAGGCAGGAAAUUGGUCAAACUUUUUUGCAAUUAGGACUUAUUUGUAUGACCUUUAAAUUUUGCAUAAAAUGUUAUUUAUAAAUAGAUUUCAAGUAUGCUUCUUUUUCAUAUCAUUAAUUUUCAAAGUUCAUUGUUUACUUGUGAGAAUGAAAUUGAAUUUUCUUCACAUCAAUCUAUUACCACUCUUUGCAUUCUUACAUCGAUCUUUCUUCCUAAAUUUUAAUUUUCAAAAUAUCUUUAAAAUUGGUAUCAUUCUUCAAAUGCUUUUUGAUAUACCAAAAAGUGGGAGAAAAAGAUGAAAUUUGCAUAUUCACUUUGUUUUGAAUGCAUAUCUUCAUAUGCUUAUGCGAAUGAAUUAAUGUUCAUGCAUAUAUGCUUUAUUGAUACAUUAUGUAAACGCAUGACAUUAAUAGGUAUCUUAUGCAUAUAGGCCUACUCAUGUUUUACAUUGAGUGCAUACAUAAAGUCUUUUUAAAGUCUUGGACUUUAUUGAAUUUCUCUAAUGCUUAUUUAUUAUAUACCUUAUUGAAAUUCAAGAUGUUUAUGUCUUGUUUAAUUGUUUGUGCUUAUAAUUUUUCAAGGAAUAUUUUAUUCAGGAGGAGUUACAUUUUGAAAAUGACUAUAUGAUUUAGAAUUAGCUUUUUCAAAAUGUAAAUUUCUCUUAAAUUUUUGUUAUAUCAAAAAGGGGGAGAUUGUUAGCUUUGAUAACUCAAGCUUUUGAUAUGACAACAUUUUAAGAUAAAUUUUAUAAGUAUUAUAUUUCUUAAGUCAGUUGGUGAAAAUAUGGUUAAAAAUCUUAUCAUAAAAUUUCAAAUACUUGCAAUAUUGUAACACCCCUAACCCAUUUCGGUUGUUGAAUUAUGGUUAUGAUUACAGUACAAAUCAAAACAUUCAACAUUAUAUGAAUCAAUUAUUCAAAUUUAAAUAUUAACAUUCAAUUUCAAAUUUCAAUCAUAGCAUAAAUACAUUUACGAGCUUUAAAUCGAGACUACGGGGCUUUAAAAAAUAGUUUGGGAACAAUUAGGGACUAAUUUGAAACAAAAUAAAAAAUUUUAGAAAAAUUUGAAAAUUUUGGAAACAUGGGUCACAUAGCCAUGUGGCCAACUGUGUACAAUUCAAAAUAUUGGUCACACGGCUGUGUCCCAACCUAUGUGCAAGUCUGUGUGAGUACUCGAAAUAACGUCACACGGUUGUGUGCCAAAACGUGUGUAUAUUAAAAGUAAGGUCAGAUGGCUGUGUCGCCAGGCUAUGUAACUUUAUGUAACCGUGUGUACCAACCUGCACUUAAAAUCAAAAUGACACAUGGCCGUAUGGUGUGACCGUGUGUGGCACAUGGUCAUGUGACAGCUCGUGUCCUAGGCCGUGUGCUUCCAGAAUGACCCCUAAUGCAAGCCAAUUCAUCAGUCCUUUCUUAAACACCAAGCCAAACUUUUUCUAAUUACUUUCACAUGUUUAAAACACAUUCAAAGACACCAAAAACAUGCUAGAAACAUUCAACCUAUGUGCCUUAAAAAAAUGCCAUCACUUGGCAUGACAAUUCAUACACCAAAUUAAUUCAAAUUCAAGGCUACAAGUCCAUAUCAUAAACAUGUAUUAAACAUACCAAUUAACAAAUUCAUUCACAAUCCAUUCCACCAUUAGCUAACGACUUUCAAAAAGCAUAAAUAAGUGACCAAAGACACUUAUAUACUUAGACAUUUACAAGCCCGAAAUCAAAGUCAUAUAUGCAAGUAAGCUAGUAAUAAGCUCAAACCAUACCACAUUGGUAAAAUAGCAUAAAAGCUCCUAUUACAUGGCAUCUAUAACUAUCAACAAAAUAACCAAACAUCUACCAAAAUGAUGGAUGGAUAGUGUGAAUGUGCUCCGACUAGAUUCCAACUGAUUGAGCUUUCUGAUGAUCUACAAGAAACAAAAAACAACUAACAUAAGCAACUAGUGCUUAGUAAGCUCAUAUAAUCAUAAACGUAAACUUACCUAUUAGGUUCAAUUUAUAUAAUUCAUGUAUAACACCAUUAACAUGCUCAUAAGUUUACCCAAUUUCUAUUUACAUCACCAAACUUGUAAGUUAGUGAAUUCAUACAUGAAACAUGUGAUUCAUCCAUAUCAUGCACAUAAACUACAAGCAUAGUAAUUUACAUUACAUUAUCACAUUUCCAACAUGUAUCAAUUAUUCAUUCCAAUCAAGCAAAUAUGCCAACAUUUUCCAUUUCAUUAAUCAUGUUCACAUAACAUUUCAUAUGAUUGAAUUCACUCAUUUAGGCCUUUAUUACCCGUUGAACCAAAUGAAACAACGUCGGAUACACGAGAACCAUACUCACACAAAGUGUGCUUGUAUCUGUAAUUGUAACCAUAUAUAUUAUACUCACACGAUUUGUGAGUCGAGAUGUUAAGCUAUACGAUGUUGCUCACACGAGAUAUGGAUAAUCCACAACAUAUGCAAUACCUUAGCCAUCAGUAGAACAUUCAAUACCAGCACCCGAAACUGUAUAACCCAUAAUGACAUGUCAUUUGCAUCCUUGGUAUUCACAAGGUUCAAACGGGACACAUUAUAUAUCCUUAUCCUUGAACUUCAUUUUCAUUACAACAUUUCAUGCUCACAUUCAUGUAAUUACAUUUUCAACCAAUUUGUCAAAUAAUCACUAUGGCAAUUUAAUCCAAUUUAGCAUAUAAUACAUAAUAAACAUUUAAGUUACCUAGCAUAAUUAUUCAUUAUCAUUUAAAAAAUUCCAUAAGAAAUAAUUUAAUCAUUAUACGAACUUACCUCGACAAAAACAAUUGCAAAAACAAAACCGACGACUAAUCUGAUAUUUUAGCUUUUCCACGAUUUAUGUUCGAUUGGCCCAUUUCUUAAUCUAAAUAAUAAUUUUCAUUCAAUCAAACAAUUCAAAUAGAUUACAUAAUUAAUUAAAGUCUAUAACCAUAAUCAAUGUGAAUUUAAAAAAUUACCCUCACAUUUUGACCUUUAUGCAAUUUAGUCCCUAAACCAGAAACACAAAUUAACCAUAAUUAACUGAAAUUCCUACUAGCCAAAUUUCAUAGGGUUCAUAAUCAGCCCAUAUUUAUCCUCAUUUUAACCUAUUUACAUGAAGUUUUAUUAUUUUCACAAAUAAAUCCCUAAACAUUAAAAUUACCAAAGAUGACUUAACAAAAUACUUAUAUUUAGCUAUUAAACUCAAGAAUCUAACAAAUAAGUUCACAAUCACACCUAACCCAUUCAUGGUGGGUCCCUAAAAUUUUAACAGUUUUACAAAUUGACCCCCCGAGAUAGCUAGAUUAAGCUAAUACAAUAACAAAAACAUAAAAAUUACAAAAAAGAGACCUAAAAAACACAUGCAUGCAAGGAAGGAAGCUUGACUGAACUUCAAUUACAAUUCAAUGGUGGGUUUCAGUUUGCAUUAAAAAAAGUGAUGUUUUGUUUUGUUUAUUUUAUUUUAACCUAACUUUUCUUUUAAUUUAAUUAUAAUAUAACAUAUAAAUUAACUAAUAUUGAGCACCAACCAUGAAUACCAUUUGCUUAUGGUAUUAUUGCCGCAUAAACGCUUAUGACUUCAUUAAUUUAACUAUUUAACACGUUUAACUAAUAGAAUUUAACUUUUGUAGCUUUUACGAUUUAAUCCUUUUAUAUAAUUAACUAUUUAAACAUUAAAAUUUAUUAAACAAACUUUACUACGACUUUAAUAAAUACUUAUAAAUAUUCAAUAAAUAAUAUUUACUGAUUUACUUGUCAAAAUUAUGGUCUUGAAACUACUGUUUCUGGCAACAGUGAAAACGGGCUAUUACAAAUAUAUAAAAGUGUUCAUGGGUCGAACCGGGCUGGGUUCGGGUAGGGCCCAACUAAAAAUUUAGGCAUGUUUGCUAAGCCUGGGCCUGGCCUGACAAAUGGGCCUAAAAUUUUGCCCAAGCCCGGGCCGAAUAAAAAUGCUAAAACUCGAUUCUGGCCCAACCCGCCUGUAUUAAUUUUUUAUAUAAUUUUUAAAUAUAUUCAAUACAUCAAAAAUAUUAAAAAAUCAAAAAUAAAUAUUUCCCAGCAAAUUGAAAAUAAAAUUUAAAAAAUAUGUAUACUUAAAUAACACUAAGAUAGAUGCAACUUAACAAGUAUAUGCCUCUAAAAUAAUAAUAAAAUUAACAAAUGCCUCUAAAAUAAUAACAAAAUUAACAAUAAAAAAAGUUUUAUACAAUAUCCAAACAAUAACAACAAAAUAGUAGCAACAUAAUAGUCAAAUGGUAGCAAAAUAGUGAGAAAACAACAAUAAAAUAACAGUAAAAAACAAAAAAAUAGCAGAUUUUUUGUUCUUUAGUGAAUUCGGGCUAGGCCAAGCCUGGGCGAAAACUCCCUUACCCUAGGUCGGUUUUUAAGACAGCCUUAUUUUUUUGUCUAAACCAAUUUUUUGAGCCUAUAUUUUUUCCCAAAACCUCCCACAUUUCAGGCGGGCUUUCGGGCUUGGCCGGGUGGCCCGACCCAUGAAUAGGUCUACAAAUAUACUAAAAAAUAUAUGCUUUAAAUAUGUUUUAAUUUAUGUAAAUAUUUUUAGAUUAAUAUCAAAGUGUUCUAAGGUGUUUAAAUGUUUUUAAAGGGUAAGCCUGAAGAAAUGAAAACUUCGAAGCAAAUUUCUGCUUCAGGAGCUGCAUGUUUAGAAAUAUUAACUAGUAUGUCUAGAGACAUAAGCCAGUUUGUCUCGAGAUAUAGCCUGCCAUUGGCUAUCUUUCAGCCAUGUCUCUAGACAUCUUGCUAAGUCUCGAGAAAUACGUUGCAAGGAUAGUUUUUAAGCUCGAAGUUAAUGUUUCCAAACACUAGAAUUCAUCCAUAAUAGCCAUAAACAUCCACAAACUUGUUCCUUGAUAUAAAUACACUUCAAGAGUCAAGAAAGAGAUCCAAGCAUCAAACAUCAAGAGAAAAUUUUUCAAAUCUUCUUUCUUUCAUUUCUCUUGUAAAUAUUCUCUAGGAGCUUAUAUUUAGAUCUUUUAUCACUCUUCAACAAGUGCUUAAUGUUGUGAGAAAUCUGGGAUCCCAAUGGAUUAUAAGAAAGUAUGGUAGUCAUUCUUGUCGAAGGGAAUAUCUAAAACCAGUGGCUAAGGUAUGGUUCUACUUUAUUCAAUAUAGUUUCAUGCCUCUCUCACAUAGUUCCACCAUCUUGGUGGAGUGAAUACUUUUUUUGUAUGCAAUUGUGACAAAAAGGUCUAUCAAUGUUGGGAAGUUUAUUCUCAAGGAGAUCCACGAUUAUGCUAGAAAUAAGACAGGAAGUGCCUUUGCUUAAGGGCCCAAGUUAAAACAAAGCAAACUUGAAUGGCUCAUAUGUUCAAGGUUGAAUCACAGCCCAUAAUCUUGAAAGGUUAGUGGAGAAUGUCCAUGAGCUAAACCCAAUUGAACCAACCGAACCAGAAACUUACGAGUCAUCAAAAAAAUCCAAAUCGGAAGCUAACUCAAUUGAUGAGACAUAAGAAACAUAAUCUGAAGAAUAACAAAACAAUCCAGAACUAAUAAAGGAACCAGAAGUUUCUGAACCAAGAGAGGAGUUGAAUGCUGAUGAGCCCGUUGAACCAAGUGUUGAUCCUGAGUUGACCAUUCCUAUGCCCACUUCUUCAAACAUUACGAAGAAAUUAAAAAUUUCAAUUAUGAUGGAUAUGAUGAAAUUUAUAAAUAACCAACAACAGACUUAUUAGAAAUAUGUGAAGAUUAGAGAUGAUUCUGUAAGAAAUACUUUCAAAAAUAUCUCUAACAAUUUUGUUCUUGAGUUUCUAGAUUAUAUCUUCAAGUCAUGAAAGGAAGAGGAUGAGAAUGAAAGCAAGGAUGAAACAUCAAAGGAGGAAGAAAAUGGGGAUAAGUUAAAUAAAUAAAAUGGGGGAAUUUCUUAUCUUUAGUAUUUAUUUCUUUUUAAGUGUUUAUUUUUAUUUCCUAGCUAGUAUUCUACUUUUUCAUAAUAAAUAGGAUAUUGCAAGCAUGAAUAAAAUAAACUAUAUGCGUCUUCAUUAGAAACAAAGAAUUGAUGUGGUAAUGGGAAUGAACAUGUCUAAGAUUAGGUUGUUAAGAAAGACUUGAUACUUAAGUAGCCUUUAUGACUCACCUCUCUUUUCUUACAACCCUACCUAGUGUUUAGUUUUCAUUCAUUACUUUGUUUUCAGAAUAAGGACAAUUCUUAUUUUUAAAAGAGGUUAAAGUAAUAUUUUGCAUGAAUUUUUAAAAUUUUCAAGUAUGUUUCAAUCUUUUCACCUAAGUAUGUUGGGGUAAAUGAAUGUUCGGAGAGAAGUUUUGUUCAUAAGUUUGUUGAAAUGCAAGCAUGAUUUAUGAUUUUAUCUAAGUUAUUUUUGUGUUAUCUUAAGUGAUGGAAUGCUUGUAUGUUCUUUAGUCUUAUGUAGUAUUUGCCAUGAAAAAUUAAUUUCUUUGGAAGUAGACAUGCAUGAAGGUUUAAGUCUUCAGAAUUGACUUAGUAACUUUCUUGAGGCUAAAUUCUAGGAGGUAUAAGAAUCUAAACAUGAUAUAGGCACUCUUCGUUGGAUCGUUUGAGCCUUUGAAGCUGACCUUAUUAAAUUAACCAUUGAAACUUUACUUUGGCGCUUAAUGUUCUGUUUAUUGUAAAUUACCUACACCAUGAGCCAUAUUAUCAUCUUUUUCAUUUUAUCUUAUUUUUUGUGGACCUAUCUUAACUAAAUUUGUCUUGGUGAUCAAAGUUUGAGGAAAAAUAAAAAAGAUGUACAUGCUCUUCACAUGUUAAGAAAAGGAAAGAAAGAUGAAAGAAUAAAGGAAAGUUUGUUCAAACAAUGAAUAGCAAAAAACGUUUGCUCAAAUUUUGAGAAAUAAAGGUUGAGCAUGAGUUCAAAAUAAGUUUGGAAGGGUUCCAAAGACCCAUUUGUAUAAAACUUAUGACACAAAAGGAUCCAAGACAAAGUUAGGGUUAAGAUGAUUAAACCUAAAAAUUCACUUCUCUUUAUCCCUACCUUUAGCGUAGCCAUGUUAAAACCUAAUAAAAGACAUACUCAUUUGAUGAUUAUACCGACUAUGUAACACCCUAAACCUGACCUAGAUGUUAUGGCCGAAUUUGACGAUAUCACAUGGUAGUGCUUUUCGAAAAAUAUGUCGUCGCUAAAUCAUUUUCUCUAUUUAACUAUUUUUUAAUUAUCUUAUGUUCAAAUCGUGUAGUUCAUUUUCAAAAUAUUAUUCAUUUACAAAUCACUAUUCAAUUUCAAAACGUUUUUUUUAUUUUUAUUGCGGAAGCUUUUAAACAGUUUGCUUGUUCGUGGUAUUUUUUAUAAAACAUUAAUUUCAAUUGAAAACCCGAGUUUUACCUAACACUAGUAGAUUUAAAUCAUAAAACCGUAUAAAAUCCAAAUUUAAAUCAAAAUCUGUAAAGGUCAUAAUUACAGCAAAAUAUUCCCAAAUAAAACUAAAAUCAUAAAUAGGUAAUAAACAGUGUAAAAGAAGUUGUGUGGCCACCACUAAGUCCUCCGCCGCACCGAUCUGUUUAUAUUUAGGGAUUACAUGUACAGAUUAAACAGAAGUGGUGAGUUUAUGUAAAAUCAGUGUGUAAUCCCCAUACAAAUGAACAGACAGUAAACAAAUAAUCACAGUCUGGACUUAAGCCCUUUUCAGUAUCAAUAUUAGUCCAGUUUGGGCCUUCGCCCAUCUUAGUACAAAAACAGUCAUGCAGUAGGGUUUUAGCCCAUCACAGUAUCAGUAGCAGUAAUAGAUAUGCAGUCACAAAAAUCCUACCCAUCUAGCCUCUACACACCAUCUUUGUCCAACCCUACACUCCAUGUGGGGAUAUAAUCAACCCACCCAUCCCUACACUCCAAGUAGUACCGAAUGCAGCACUAGACAGUACUUUGCAGCUGAGCUACCAAUAAAUUAGGCUCGAGGCCUUUCAGUACACUUCCUCCAAACAUUAUAAUCCCUCAACCCAAUGCAAUGCAAUAUACAAAUAUGGCAUGCUAUAACAUAAUAUCAUGCAUGUAAACAGGGCAUACAGUAUCAAAUUAGUGGGACAUCAUCAGGCUUAAUCAUAUUAAUCAUACAGUCAUUUUAGUCGAUUAGGGGUCUAGGUAAACUUACCGACCCUACACUAGGUUCACAGUCGACUUGGGUAACCUGUGCAACCUUAUCAGUCAAACAGUGAAAAUGGGCCAACAAGCCCAUGAUGUUCGACCAUGUGGGCCCACACGCCCGUAUGGCCCACAUGACCCAAAUUGGCGUCUGCCUCGUGAUCCAUUUUAAUGUAACCCGUGCUUAUUCAUAUGUGUUUCCACUAUUUACUUAUAUGAUCCUUUAAAGCUGUCUACUUGAGUCACUGUUACUAAAUUAUUUGUAUCUUAAGCUACAAAAUUUCAAAUUAAGAUCCGCAAAUUUUCUUGAAACCAGACUCACAUAUCUUCUUACCAUAAAAUUUUUAGAAUUAUUGGUUUAGUCAAUAAGUACAGUUUGUUUUUAAAGUUUCCCCUAUUUUGCUGUCUGAUAGUUUUGACCUUUCUACACUAAAAAUUGAUUAUCUUCUCAUAAAGAAUUCGAAUUAUAUUCCCAUUUAUUUCUCUUGAAAGUAGGCUCAUUCAAGAUUUUAAACAUAUAAAUUUUAACCCAUAAUUAUUUUUAUACAAUUUUUAAUAAUUUUCCAAAGUCAGAAUAGGGGAUUCUGAAAUCAUUUUGACCCUAUCUCACUAAAAUUCAAAUAUCUCAUAAUAUGAAAUUCUUUUGCUUACUUUGUUUAUCCUAUGACAAACUAAACUCAAAUAUCUUUAAUCCCAUAUUUUUUUAUUCCCUAAUUCGAUUUUCACAAUUUAUGGUGAUUUUUCAAAGUUAGCCUACUGCUACCGUCCAAAUAGCAAGCAAUUUCGGCUUUUCGCCAAAUCCCUUAUUUUUGUGUUUCGGGUACAUGUUUGGUUUUAUUUGAUGCUAAAAUAGUCCCAGAGCACUCCAAAGCCUGUAAUUGAACAAAUAACACCAUAAUCAGUCUUACCUUGCGAUUAAUCAAAAUCUCGAAACCAAAAUACUUACCCAUAAAACGAUGAACACUUACCGCAAAAACUUCAAAUGGUACGUUUACGAAAAUCACGAGGAGAGCCUUAAUCCUCGUGAAAUGCUACUGCCAACACCCCAGAAUUAGACUAUUGAACACAAAAUAAUCUCUUAAGAUGACACCAACAACUUACUGAAUUUGCAUAAGUACUGAUUAAUGCUACGAAAUCAAGAUCAAAGAAUUGUUUAGGAGGAACAAGGGAAUUUUGGCAGUAGAGGAAAGAAAAGAAAAGAUAAUCGAGUAAGAAGAAAAGAAGAAAAAAAAUUCGGUAAAGAUGGGGGAGUGAAAACGUUAGAAAGAUGGAGAGAAAAACGACUCUCUUUUUUUAAAAAGAAAAGGAAAAACUGAUCAGAUUUUGGAUAUUCUUCCCCAUAAUCCCUUAAUUCACUCCCUCACUUCCCACUACACAUCCACCACUCAGAAACCCAGUUCAGCACAACUCUUGUCAAAAUUGGGAGCAAAAAUACAACCUUUUCCGUCCCAAAGAUCCAAACCCAUGACCUCCCUCACUCUAACACUCCACUUAUCCACCAGACUAGUAAACCAAUUCUGUUAAUUAUUUGCCAACUUUUACUUAAAAGCCUACUGACCAAAGAUAUGGCUUAUUCAUAAAAAUACCAAAAUUUGCCCAAGUCUUGGCUUGAACUUGGGACCUCCCAAUCACUCCCAGAACACAUAACCAGUAAAGCUGACAGAUGUUUGUGUCACACAUUCACAAUACCCAAAAUUAAAAUUUUGGGGCGUUAUAGACUACAUUAGUGAAGAGGAAUUGCUAAGUUCAACAUAUGAAGACCACUAAUUAAACCUUGUGAUUACUAUGUUUAGAUUGAUAAGGAAAGCUUAUUGAUUGGUGAAUGUUAUAUAUGACUUUGAAAUGCAUGCAUACUAUGACUCAUGUUGACAAUAUUUUGUACUUAGUAUAAAGUUUGGAAAUAAUAUUUGUAUUUGAGUCACUUACCAAUAACAAUAAUUUGUGAGCAUGAUUUUAUUGAUGCAUGAUUAUGUGCAAAGACUGAUUCUGCUUAACCAUAUUGCAAAAGUUGCCUUAGCAAAAGUUUGCUGUGCCUAAACAUUACUCGGGACAAACAAUGGUUUAAGUUUGGGGGUGUGUAAAAUCGAAAUUAUAUAAGAUUUAUUUUAUAAAUUUUUACCACCUUUUGACUUAAUAAUUAUAUUAACCUUGAGUAAUUGUUAAUAAAUUAAAUUUAUUUUGUUUAAAUGUUAAUAUUUGACAUGAAUUUAUAAAGUACGCGAAAUUAUGCUUUAUUACAUUAUUUUUGUGCAUAAAUUAUAUUAUUUUCAUGUUAAUUAUUAAUAUGUUAAUUUUUUAUUAUGUAAUGGGUUUAUGGAAGAUGAGAUUGUCAUAAUGUUACAAGGACAUGAACACAUCCACCUUAUUUGGACGGCAAAACCAUGCAAAUUUGGGUGAUAAGAAUGUUAAUUUUACCUAGCUAAAGUGUUGUUACAAAGUGGACAUGUCUGAUUAUUUAUUGGAUCAUGAAACCGUCUAACAUGGGGGAGUCAAGCCCAAAUUUGGCACAAGCGUAUGGCUUCCCAACAAUUAGCUUUGGCAUAUUUUAUUGAAGGUCCCUAAAGUUGAAAUUUAAUCAAAAAAGAGCUUUGGAAGAUUGCCUUUGAAACUGUCCACUCUAUGCCUAAUUAUAGCAUGAUUUUGUGCUCAAAAUAAGUAACCAAAUCACCUCCCUUUCCACAUAUUUUGGCUGGCCAAGAAAUGGAGAAGAUGGAGGAAUUCCAAUCCCUAUUUUUAGUAAUCUUCACCUUCAACCUCACAUCUAAGUACCAUACUACUCUCACCUCUCAAAUCAUCCCUCACAUCCCUCUUAACAAACAUCAUUCAUUCUUUCGUUCCCUCUCUUGCUCUCUUCUCCCCACGCAUAGCCAUUCCAUUUCCCCUUCCAUUUUAGACAAAAAAAGCCUUGAAAAGAUCACCUCUUGGCUAGCCACUUUGAGGAACCAUUAGCAAAAGAGCAACAGGCGGAUCGGUGGAACACUUUCAAUCCAAAUCUGAAAGGUUGCUGAAUCGAAAGUGAGUUUACUCUUUCCUUACUAGUUGGUCAAUUUAAUCAUGUUUGCGAUGUGUUUUAUGAUAUUUUUCAUCAAUAAUGAUAGCUUAAUUUUAUUUAGCUAGGAUGAUUGCGUUAAUUCAAUAAUAUUUGUUUGAAUCAUGUUUAAAGUGUUUGUGCCUCAGCCGAUCAUGUUUUCAAUUAAAAUCAAGAUGUAUUUCAUUCAUACGUGAUUGGAUGCAUUCAGGUUAGCUGAGCGAUCCUAACCAAAUGACGGCUAGUAGACGCAAUAAUUGAAAAGUUCAUGCUUAAUUUAGAUCAUUAAACACGGCUAAAUUGAAGGUUCAUAAUAACUUUAAUUAGCUCUAUUAUCUUGCAUAGUUUUUAGGUUUAUGUGAUUAAAUUGUUUCAAACUUAAUAUGUCCCUGUUACCUCACAUAAAUACUAAGAAACCCUUAGUUUAAUAUGAUCAGUAAAAUGUAUAUUUCACUAAGUAAAAUAUUCUGAAAGGACCUAAUUUGGUUUCCAAACUCAUGAAAGAUCGAGUUGCCAUGGAAUGUUUUUCGAACAUUGUUAAGCAUAAUGGAAAUGAAUUGAUUUGAUUAAUGUAAUUAUCCUAGCCUAUACAUGUUAUUGAUUGUUGAAGUUGUGUUUCUGUGGCUAAAAUUCAUUCAUACAUUUAGAUAAUUUUGCAUACUUAGCUUAAAAUUGCAUUAGGGAUCAAUCUUACAUUUAGUUAAAUUAAUCUAGUUUAAUCAUCAUCACUCAAAUUAUUGUGUUUUAUCACCAAAUUGUUGACUUGUAAUUUUGCAGAUAAUUGAUUAACAUACACAGUCCUUGUGGAAACGAUAACUCAUUUUACUUAGUUAUUACUUGAAUAAUUGUGUACACUUGCACAAAAAUCCAGUUGCAAAACUCCUCCCAAGUUCUAAUUGGGGUUCUACCACGUUUUUUAUUUGUGGACCUAUGACACCACCAUAACAAAGAAACAUUGGUGAAAUACAUGACAACAGUAUUUACCUUAGUAGCAUCAUCUAUGAUGGCUUUGGCAUGAAAGUAUUGCUGUAUUCCCCAUAUUAAGUUGUCCACAUCGCUUGCGAACCAUUAUUCUUUUGAACUCUUUCAGCUUGGGGACAUCCACCUUCUACUUGGGUGCCCCAGCCAACAUCAUAUUACUGAAAGCAGCUUUGCAGAUAUUGAGCUCCCCCUUGAGCUCCUCAAUUUUUUCCUUCAAGGCUAUCACCGUGGCAUUGACAACAUCAUCCCUCCUCAUCAGCUUAUUCGCAGUAGAAUUAAGCACCCAUUGCAUCACUUUUACACUGGAAUCGAGAGACUCUAACACAAAUUCCCUGAGCUGCUCCUUCAUCGAGUCCAACCCAUCAGUGCAUCUCGACUACCUUGAAUGUCUCCCUCAUGUUCUCCAUGGACUCCUCAAGAUUUACUACUCAAUUUUCCAAAGCCGACAAAACAUUCCUCGAUUGACUUGUUUUUCUGGCCUCUCAUGGGUCUCCAUUGGCUCUACCUAAUUUUCUUCUCCAUUUUUCAUCUCGAUCGACACCUUUGAACCUUAGCUCAGAUACCAACUGUCAUAGGGCUAGAAAUUUAGUCUCGUGAUCCGUGUGGUCUUAGGUAAUUUCUUGAUUUCAAAUCUGCCUAAGUAAGUCUAACUCUCGCAAAGUGAAAGUUCUUAAUAGAAAUUCUCCAAGGCACCGAAAAUAAAGCAGAAGUAACUCAAAACAUAAAAGCAAUGAAAGAAUAGAAAAUGCCACAAGAAAGAAAAACAUGCCAAGUGUUUGUGUAAAUGCUCACAAAAUAUUCUAUUACUCUAGAAAGAAUAGAAUGAAUGGAAUGAUUAUAAAUGAGGGGAAAGCCUUUAUUUAUAGUUGAGCUCCCACAAACUCAAUUAUACAAAUUGAGUUACCUCGGUGGUCGAAAUUAGAGCCUAUCUACAAUUAAAGUUCUUAAGGGAUUGACUCAAUCCAUUAAGAUUAAAAAUUCAAAUCUUAUUAAAUUAUAAAUCUUCUAAGAUUAGUUUCCAUAUUUAUCAAGGUAGCCCUAAGUUUUCUUAAGUACUUCAUUUGGACAUCAUAAAAUUGAGACUCUUAAGAGAUUGACUCAGCCCUUUAAGAUUAAAAAUUCAAAUAUUAUUAGACUAUAAAUUGUCUAAAAUUACUUCCAUAUUCACCAAGGUAGCUCUAAAUUUUCUUAAGUACUUCAUUUGGCCACCAAGGCUUUAAGUAGAUUGGUUUUUCCACAUGUUCCACGAAUUGGGCUAGUUCAAGUGGGUUGAAUGAGCCCCAUUUCAUCAAUUGAAACCCAUGGGACACUAUUCGAACAUCUAUUCUGGGUUUUGAUCUGCGGACCGUGACACAGUCAUAUAUUUAAUCAAGAUUAAAUUAAAUACAUAGUGAACCUUAGAUGCAAAUUUAUUAAUAACUGAUGUUAAUAUUAGUUCAACUCAAUUCCAUUUUAACAUACUACCAAAGCCAAACAAUACAUUUAUGCCUCUCAUUACUCCAAUAGCUAAGACAAACUAUCCCACUAAUGAGAUUUUAUAUAACAUGCUAAUCUCAAAAGAGUUACUAGUAGUAACUCAUGGAUUAUAAACAUGAUUAAAUUAAUAACUAUAAAGAUAUCAUUAGAAGCAACUUAUUACCAAUGAGCCAUAUUUACUUUACAUUUGCUCUGACUUAGAAAAUAGUUUAAAGACUAUUGACCAUUGGCUAUUGACAUACUUGUUAUUCAAGGUUGGUAUGAUUUCUUAAAGCUAAAGUCUUGGGAUUUUAUUUAUUCUAUUUAUUGUGAAGAUUGUAUUUCUUUAAGUAGUUAAACAUAGUUGCAUAUAUAUAUCCAUGUAAAUACUUAAGUUAAUGGACAAGGAAAAAGAAUUCUUAUUUUCAACAUGGUAUCAAGAGCUUGAGAAUCCAGAUUUAGGAGCCUAUUUUUUUUUCAAAAAUCUCAAUCCCUAGAAAAUCCAAUUUUGUACUCUUUUUCGUUACGCGACUCUACCAGCCCACCCAUACUUUGCAUCCUUGCUGAUGCACUAGGCCUUAAGCCACCUCAUCACUUUGAUUCUUCGGACACCACGUUGGUUUGGUUGGUGUUUCUCAGUACCCUUAUGUUAUUGGCUCUACUGGUGCCUUUUUUUAGCGGAGAAAAAAUGGCUUGACACAACACCAAAAAAAGUAUUUCAUGAUAACCCCUCAUUAUAACUCCGUCCACAAAACUGAUGGGCACAAUUAUCCUACAUGUUCACAUCAUGCUAUGUUUAUCACAGCUAGGGACUCUAGGGUUAUAUUACUGGUGAUUCAAAAAAAACCGAAUGUUAAUGAUGCCACUUACUAUCAUUAAGCCUCUGAUCCCUCUCUGUUAGGUCUGGGCUUAUCAACUCUAUGCAACCACCCCAGAUUUCUAGUACCUACAUGUUACUUGACUCUAUAGAAAAAAAUAUGGCAUGCAACUGAUCUCACCUACUCAUAAGUUAGGAAUAAUUUUUAUAUUUUUUUUAAAUUUGCAAUAAAGUUCACAUCACUAAGCAAAGUGAGAUGUCAAUUUCUCAAUAUUUGUAUGAACUGAGCGAUUUAUGGCAAAAGCUAGAUUAUUACCAAGACUUUCAAGUUGAUUGUACUUAAGAUGCACUAAAGUUUUAGAAGCUUGUGGAAAAAGAAAGGGUUUACGACUUUUUGGUCGGGUUAAACACUGAGUAUGAUCAAAUUUGGGUUUAAGUUAUCAGAAAAUUCCUUUUCCUCCUCUUCAAGAAGCAUACUCCAAUGUCCAACAAAAAGAAAGCAUAAGAUACGCUAUGCUUUAUACAACACCAACUUAGAAGCCUAGGUUGAUUGCUAGUGACUCUCAAAAGCCAGGGAAAGAUGGUAACCUUGAUAAAGAUAAUCUGCAACGUGAUUUUUGUGGGAAGCCAUGGCAUACUAGGGACAAGUGCUGGAAAUUACAUGGUCGACCCACCAAAGGCCUUGGAGAAAAACAAAAUAAGUCAAGUAAAGGUUGAGCAAACUUGUUUAAGGCUACAGAGUCAUCUACAGAAACUACAUCCACUAGAACAUUUCCAUUGGAUGAAAUUCAACAUCUCAAAUGUCUUUUGUCCCAACUUGACUCUUCCUUGAGUCCUACAUCAAAUUUUAUCAAGUUACAUGAUGCCUUUAAUCCUCAUAGUAAUAUUGGCUCAUCGAUUUAUUUGUUAUGGUGCGAAUUAACACAUGACAUGUUCCUUUAAAAGUUCUUUAAACUACUCCUCAAGUCAAACAAAAGAUAGUGUCAAGAUAGUCGAUGGGUCUUUUUACUUCCAUAACCAUAGUUAGUUCUAUCAACUGUACAACCAAUAUUAAACUAUCAUCUAUACUACAUAUUCCUAAUUUUUUGGUUAACAUUUUAUCUAUUAGUGCCAUCACAAAUACCUUAAACUGCAAAAUUGAGUUUUUCCCUAAUCAUUGUGUAUUUCAGGACCUUCAAACAAGGGGGAAGAUUGGCAAUGGUAGAUUGAAUAAUGGCUUAUAUAUGUUGGAGGGUAGUAGAAGUAUUGUUUAAGCUUUCUUUGAAGGCAAUAAAGUUAUCAAUCAAGAAAUAAUGCAGUGGCAUAGGUGGUUAGAACUGUAAUGUCCCAAACUUUUAGUUUAAAGUUUGUAAAAUUAUUUUAAGAAUGAGCUACUAGCUUAAUGGUUAAGGCAAAAUAAGAAGAUAGUGUAAUUGGCUUAGAAACCUAAAUUUGAAUCCCUUCCCGAGCAAAUUAAUUAAUUUUGCUAUAUUUGCUUUCAGUCCCCUUAGUGUACCAUCCAACCUAGUAAAAAACCCUAGGUAUAUAUGUUAUUUCUUUUAUUUUUUUCUGUUUUUCUCACUUCUUCCUCUACCCUAGCCGUCCAACCAUUUUCUUCUCCCUCUUCUUCUUAAAUUUGUUUUUCUUUCUUCUCUUUUGUGUUGUCCUUAGCAUAGUGUUUUCACCACUAUUAUGUCACCUCCUUGCUUUAUUAUUUUUCUAACAUUCUUCCAACUUUAUUAUUGGUAUUCUUAAUCAUUAAAUAAAUCCUUUUUCUACCUCAAAAUCCUCCUUUGAGUUGCCUAAAUCAGCCUCUCCUUGCUACUAUUGAACCUUCAUUUUUGUCCCCUCUUCUCCACUUGUGGUGUGUUACUUUGUUUCUUUCCCUUCUCGGUUCUUUCUAUGUUGCUUGCUGAUUUUUUUUCUAUUUUUAUAGCCAUUUUACUACUAUUUCCAGACUCUAAAAUUCAUCUCUUUUUCUGUCAAAAUCUAUUUUUGUGUCACCCUAAAUCAGCCCUAAUCUUGCUGUCGUUUAUGGUGGUGUGCCGCCCCUUUGUGUGUCACUAGUGGGUUGUUGUAUUUUCUAUUUUGUUGCACAUUUACAGCAACAUUUCCUUUGAUUCCCCUCUACUUAAAUUAUCCCUAAACCUAUUCCAUUAAGGGUGUACCCAAUCUCACUCAUCCAACAUCUCAGAUCUAGUUAACGGGAAGCGUAAGUGCAGUCUGUUGCAAGUUAUUGUGUCGAAAUGUUUUUGUUAAGGGAUACUAUUUUGGAUAAUUUUUCUAAGGCCUUUAAUUGGUUACUGAUUAGUAAAUUUUAGUAAUUUUAUUAUCGUAGGUAUUGAUCGAAAUGUCCUAGAUCAGGAGUGAAGUUAGAUUUCAUUCGCAUUCUUAUUUCAAAUCGAAUCAGUGUAAGUUCACUCGAUGUUUUGAAUAUGAAAAUUUAUGCUUGUAACACUAAUUUGGUCGAGCCCUUCGAGGUUUUUGAAUUCUGGUCAUUAACUUUAUUUUAAUGUAUUAAGUUUUGUUUUUGGAUCUAGGCUCAUCUAAGGCUUAAGAGUGGAAGAGCAGAUUUUACAGUUUAGUGUUGUAGCUUUCAAAACUAAGGUAUGGGUCUUUCUUUUGUGCAAUUAGCCUUAAAUUAAUAUUGUUACUAGAAUUUGUAAAAUGUUCUUGUUGGAUGUGGUAUGGCUGAAUAACCUAAAAGUGAAUAAACGAAAUCUCGAGCAAGGUACGUAUUUAAAUGGUAAAGUCGAUUGUCAGAGGCCCUGUUUAGGAUUGUAUGAUUAUGUAGGAAAUGUAUGCACUGUAUGGGUAUGUGCCAUUAUUUUGGUUGAUUGUAUGUAUGUUGUGGCAUAGAAUAUUGAUCAUUGGGCGCAUGGAAAGAACGCUAAAAAUUGUGGCAUUGUUCAAUGUGCUUAUGAAAUUGCCAUGAUUGAUAUCGUGUUAUGUAUGUGUUGAUGUUACAUUUUAUGCAUGGAAAUGAUUAUAUUGAAAGCAUGUUCACAUGCCACUGAUUUUAUUAAUUGAAAGUAUACAAGGCAUACAUGCCACUAAUUCUGUUAAUUGAAAGUAUGCAAGGCAUACCCCGAUAAUGUUUACCAAAAAGCAUGAUAAGCAUGUCACUAUACUGAACUAUUAUUAGUAAGCAUGAUGUGUUUCACUAAUAAUAUGACAUUUUGCAUUUGCAUUAGGUUGGAUUUUGUGGUUGACAAAGGAGUUUCAUAGAGUAUUAACAACAUUUAAAGUCUGCAAUAUUUAGUAUACUGCACCUAGAGUAUUGAGGAGAUUGGACGAUUUAAUCACAUUAUUGACAGUUUUUCUGCAUUACUGAUAUUGGUGGAAGUCCACACUACCAGCAGCUUGUCUGCAUUUUACCAACAAUUUAUCUGCACUAUUCAUUGGUGGUUUAUCCACAUUGAGCUUUGGCUCACACUAUUUGGAGUUUGGUAGGCGGGUUCUAGGGAACUCGUGGUGUGUACAGGAUGGUUGGGGAAGAACCUUUUUGCAUUACAUCAUACACAUGACAUGAUCAUACACUGAUUGGUUUUGCUAUGUACUGUUCUGAAAUGCUAUUGAUGAUUGUUAUUUGUUCUGAUUAUCUAUUUGAUUGUACUUUAUGUUGACUCACUCUAAACUUUCAUAAGCUCACCCUAUUAGUCUUAUACUUUUCAAGUGACCCUCAUAAUUAGGACCAGACUCAACAUGCGGAGCAUCAACUCGGACAUUGAAACAUUUAAUCAUAAUUUUUCUUUGGUUUGGACUGUAAUCCUUAUUAUUUGGAUUGUGGCUUGGUAAACUUUAAUUUGGGGAUUUUAUGCAUGCAUGCGCUAUUAAACUUAAUAACCAAUAAAUGCAUGUUACUCGACCUAAAGUAACAUAUGACAUACUUACAUAAUUCUAUUGCAUUAGAACGAAACAUGUUUUUCACAAACUAAAACGACAACUCAACUAUUUUUUUAAAUGUCGCGUAUUAUUAAUAAGACGGACUCUAAGUAAAGUUGGUCUAAUUAAUGAAUGUUUUAACGUACUUUAAGCUCAAAAGUUGCAAUUUUCCUAAAGAUAGAUUAGGGUUUUCAUAAGUUAAAAGGACUAUUUGGCCAUUUUGGUGGCUAAUGUAGCCUUUAUAAUUCGGCUAUAACGUCUAGGUCGGGUUAGAGAGAUUAUGUAACACUUCACCUAGUGAAGUCCUUGUAACCGGGUAUGGUCCAAAAAAGAAAGAGUUAGGAAAUAUGCUCUAAGUAAAGUGUUGGAUCUGGCUACAUAUUCGAAGUUUGUAGCUACACGCCCUUUUGGCGAAACCUUUGUUAUAUAUAAAUAAGUUGGGAGAAAACAAGAAGCAUGGUCCUACCCACCCAAACAUCGUUUGGGAGAAAUAAGAUGAAUUUGUCUAAGAUCCUAGUUGCAUUCCAACAAGUAGUUAGGAACAAACCAGGAAAACGAAUCCACAUGCAUUCAAAUAAGUGAGCAAAUGGAUUGUCAUGUACGUUUCCUCAUAGUUGUAAACCACCCAUACGGCUGAAAGGUUAGGAUUUUAACAAGUGUCAGAAUAUUAUAUGGCAAGGGUUGUAAGUACCAGAAGAUGAGGGGAAAACCUCAUGAAGAUGAAUUUAGGCAAAACCCUAUCAUCGAAAACACCAUUACCUAUUAUAUGUGGAUGCCUUUGUGGCUAUCUGAUGUUAUAUGUGGACGCCUUUGUGGCUAUUUAAUGUUAUGGAUGCCUUCGUGGCUACUUUUAUGUAUAGACUUCUGUGGUUAUCUAUGUCAAGGGGAAAGUGCGCCUUAGUAGCGUAGUCUGUAGAAAGGCAUCAUGGAAACUGGGUAGACUCUAAAGAAGUUGAACUUGGACGAUAUGAUCAAGUUUUGCAACUGUCGAGAUAAGAAUGUGGACCAAAGAAGAAAGCCUUAAAAGUGAAUACAGGUAAAAAAAAGGGACAUUCUCACUAAUUUCUGUUGAACUUACCCCUUUGUGUUUUAUAUCAUAGGUGAGGACGAUAUUUAGAGGGAUAAUGCCAGGUUUGCACCAAGGGAAUGGCGAAGUAGGGCACUUUUGCAUACAGAGCAGAUUCAUACAGGUGUAAUCUCACUUUAGAAGUCAAGUAAUCUAAUUAAGAGAGUUAUUUUGUAAGCCCAUGUAAUUUGUAUGAUAUGGGAUAACAAUGCCAUAAUAGUUAUUGUCAAAGCCUUAAGACGAUUUAAGUAGUUAUGCUCCGUUUGUAAGGUCCCACCAACUAUAAGGGUGUGAUUGAUGAUUGUAAAUAAUUGUGGUAUACCCAGUCUAAAAUUAAUUAGUAUUAAUAAAAGAGAUGCAUUGUUUAGUGUAAAGAAAUUUUAGAUGUAUGCCAUAUGUAUGAGUCUGUAUUUGAGAAUUAACUCCCAGGAUUCGGAUCCAGUCAAUCGGGUCAGUUUGAGGGCAUUAAAGAUUACAAGGACACCCAUCAUGUUUUAUUAUGGAAAAGUUAUAUCCUAGUUUAUUUUCAAAGACUCGAUUUGAGUAAUUAUUUUGUAAAGCUUGUGAGUUUUCUAAACAUACUAAAAAUUUUUAUCCUCUGAGAAAUAAUAUAAGUAAUACUCCUUUUAUGACUAUUCAUUCCGAUGUUUGGAGACUAACUCGGCAUGUCUCUUUAUCUGGUAAUCAAUGGUUUGUUUUUUUUAUUAUUGUGCUAGAAUGACUUGGGUGUAUGUGCUAAAAUAAAAAAAAUGAUGUGUUUACAUGCUUCCAAUAUUUUCAUAAAAUGGUAUGUACUCAAUUUGAUGCUAAGAUAUAACUUUUUAGAACUAACAAUGGUAUAAUAUACAAUUUUGAUACCUAUUUGGAGUCUCAUGGGAUAAUUCAUCAAGCAACUUGUCCCGGUACUAGUGUAUAGAAUGUGGUCACUAAAAGGAAAAACAAGCAUUUUCUAGAAGUCGCUAGAUCUAUUUUGUUUACCAUGAACCUUCCUAAACCAUUCUAGGGGGAUGUAAUUCUUGCAACGACCUAACUUAUUAAUAGAAUGUCACUCAAAACUCUUAAUUUCAAGAGUCCCUUGGAAACUUUACAAGUACACAAAACUUAUAUUAUUCCUCCAAGGGUAUUUGGAUAUGUUUAUUAUGUCCAUAAUUGAAAAGUAGGCAAAUUAGAUCUACAAGCCCUUAAAUAUUUGUUCAUUGGAUAUUCUCCAACACAGAAAAGAUACAAGUGUUAUCAUCCUCCUUCACAACAAAUUUUCACUAGUAUGGAUGCUACAUUCAUAGAAAUUGAGCUCUAUUAUGGUACAACUCAAUCACCUCUUUAGGGGGAGACCAAUGAGAGACAAUAAAUGAUAAUGGCUCAGUAACUAUUGAAAAACUUAUUUCAGACAAUAGCAUUGUCUAAGUGGGAGCUACUGUUAAGGGGAGACUACUGUUCAAAAGGAGAUUGUUGGGCAUUUGGACAAACCAAAUUUAAAGAAGUAUUCGAGAAGGACUAGAACAAAACAAGCCAUCAUACAACUGACUAUGUGCCAAGAAUUUUCCUCUUUUGGUGAGUUACCCUUACUUUUCUAUCUUCUAAAUGAUUUAGAUAAGUGUAUUGCCAAAGACAUGGCUUGAUUGAAACAGUGUUUGGCUCAAGAAUUUGAAAUCAAAUAUCUAGGAAAGUUAUAAUAUUUCCUUGGAAUUGAAGUUGCUAGAUCAAAGAAAGGAAUCUUAAUCUCUCAAAGAAAAUACAUCCUAGAUACCUUAACUGAGACGGGUAUGAUGGGAUGCAAACAUGCAGAAUCACCUAUAGGAAGCAAUCAUAAGUUGCAAGCUGGAAUAGGGGAGUCAGUGGAUAAAGAGAUAUACCAAAGAAUGGUUUGUAGACUAAUCUACCUCUCACACACUAGACUGACAUAACAUAUACAAUCAAUUUGGUAAGUCAAUUUAUGCAUGAUCCUCGAUAGUGUCAUAUACAAGUUGUCAUUCGCAUUCUACGCUACCUGAAGUCUGCUCUAGGAAAAAAUAUCUUUUUUUAAAAUAUGGUCAUCAUGGACAAAAUUUUUACAAAUGCAGAUUGGACUGGAUCUCUAGAUGAUAGGAGCCCUACAUCUGGAUAUUGCACACUUGUGGGAGGAAAAUUAGUCACUUGGAGAAGCAAGAAACAAAGUGUGGUUACUCGAUCAAGUGCUGAGGCAGAAUACAGAGCUAAGGCUCAAGUAGUUCUAGAGUUUACAUUAAACUUGUACUUCUUUCCCUAGUUAAACUCUUGUAAACUAGUAUAUGUAUGAUAUUUCUAUGAGUAAAUACACAAGUUUUUCUCUCAAAUUCUACCUUUGUUACAUGGUAUUAGAGUUAAGGUAAAAUAAUGUUUUUUUGUUGACCAAAGGGUGCUUUUUUGGUCUCAACAACGACCUAGGGAGAGCACAUGAGACAGCUUCAAGCCAACCUCUGAAAACCAAUAGCCAAAAAAAAUCCAUGCGUGUGGCCCUCACACACCAUUAGAAGUUCAAGAGCCUUCACUACAUGCCAGCGUGUAGAGGCGCAUGCCACCUCACCUAACCACCAGCCUUCUCCCAUAAUAGCGACUUGGCAUUUUGACCACGACCUAGCAGUUGAUUUUUUGGUUUGGGACCAUCUCAAAGGACUUUCUUCUUUUUCUCCUAUUCAAUUAAUGUCCAAAUGUGAUAGUUCAACAAACUCAGUGAGAACAAAUGGUUGUUAUGAGUUUCCUCAUUGGUCUUCCUCCAAAUUUUUAAGGCUGUAAAAUCAUAAAUUUUGUCUGCUUGAGAGAUUUAAUCACUUCAAGAUUUUUUAACGAGAGUAUUUACGAAAAACUCUCACUCAAUCCAAACUAACAAUAGUGCUCUUGUUGGUCCUGAAACCAAGACACGAGGACCAACUAAUCGCAAUAGAGGUAGUGGGAGUUGUUGUAAUAAGAAAACAGGAGGAAUCAUUUGUUUCUGUUGCCAUGAGUCAGGUCAUACAAAGCAUACUGUGUGAAGCUUCAAAAUAAGGCUUGAAAAGCACAAUCUGCAAAUGUUGCAACACUUAGUGUCGAGACCAUUUCACCAUCUGAGCAAAUUUCCUCAAUUAUUUCUAUUGUUGAGUCAAGUAAAUCCACUAAGUGUCUUCUUUCUUCAUCCUCUAGAUUGGUCAUUAAUUCUGGUGCUACAAACCAUAUGACUUGUAAUUCAACUCUUUUUUCCACAUUUCAAUCUCAGACAAAUUUAUCUAAAGUUACUUUAGCCGAUGGAUCUUCUUGUAUUCUUGGAUCUUGAACUAUUAAUCCCACCUCAUCACUUCUUUUGACCUCACUGUAACGUUUACUUGAUUUUUUGUUUGACCUAAUCUUUUCUAGUAAACUUACUCAUGCCUUAAACUGUUGUGUCUCAAUUUUCCUAAUUAUUGUCUUUUUCAAGAUCUUAUGACAAAGUAUAUUAUUGGUAGAGGUCAUGUAUCUAAAGGCCUCUAUGUUGUUGACACAAAAGUACUGAAAUCCAUUACUUGUUCUAGUUCGUCAACUCCAUUUAAAGUACAUUGUCGGUUGAGUCAUUCUAGCUUGUCGUCAUUAAAUAAGUUGUGUCCUGAAUUUCGAAGCAUGUCAUCAUUAGAUUGUGAGUUUUUUGAGUUUACAAAACAUCAUCUUCUUCCUUUAGUUUCUAGAGUCAAUAAACGGGUUGAAUUCCCUUCCGAUUUAGUUCUUUAUGAUGUUUGGGGUCCUUGCCUUAUUCCAUCUAAAAUUGGGUUUUGAUAUUUUGUUACUUUUGUGGACAAUCAUUCUCGUGUUACUUGGAUAUAUUUUUAAUGAAAAAUCGUUCUAAUUUAUUUUCUAUUUUUUUGUACUUUUUGUGCUAAAGUUAAAAGUUGGCUUACAUGCAGCCCCUUAGGAUCAAGCCAUGUAGGUAGCAGUUGAAGCACAUGCAGUUGUCAUUUUGUUGUUCUGAUGAUGUUUUGUUGCUUAGUUACAAUUGAACUAAGUUUGUAAUGAAUUUGUUGUAAUUUGGUGCUGAUAGAUUUGAUAAAUCAGCUUAACCAAGUGUGUAAGCAAUGUUUUAUAAGUUUCAAGACAUUGUUAGUGGAGUUAGGUAUGUUUAGGUGACACUUUCUUCAUUUUGACAAGUUAAUUACUUGUUAUAUGUAAUGUUUUGUUCUUUCUUAUAUAUGAUGAUGAAUCAUUCAACAAAUUUUCUUCUUGUUUUUGGUUUAACUUAAACAAUCUAUUCUUGUUCUCCUUGCUCGAUUUUCUUAUUUGUUUAGUAAGUCUCUAUUCCUUAAAGCUCAAGACUUUGUUAUGAUUGCUUAGUUUUGAUUCCCAACUCCAACAAUUGGUAUCGAGAGCUGAUUUGUUAGAGGACCUUUCUCCUUUCUACUCUCAAAAACAAUGUCUUCAUCAGGUUUCUCUCCAGCACCACCACCAGUAUUCAAUGGUGAAGGCUACCACAUUUGGGAUCUGAAAAUGAAGACUUACUUGCAAGCAUUUGACUUGUGGGAAGUUGUCAAUGCUGAUGUUGAACCACUACCCUUGAGAGCUAACCCCAUAGUAGCUCAGAUCAAGUAGCACUCUAAUGACAAAGCCAAGAGGUACAAGGCAUUGUCAUGCAUCCAAAACAGUGUGUCAGACUUGAUUGUCACAAGGAUUAUGGCCUGUGAGACUUCAAAACAGGUUUGGGACAAGCUUCAAGAAGAGUUUCAAGGCACUGAAAAAACAAGACAGUAACAACUCUUAAACUUAAGAAGGGAUUUUGUAAACUUGAAGAUGAAAGAGCCAAAGACAGUUAAGCAAUAUUCAAAAAGGAUCAUGGCUGUUGUGAAGCCAAAAUCUCUUCCCUGGAAGAUUCAAGAGAUUUGUCAAGCAUCCCUUUAAUUGAGCUAAUCAAUGCCCUCUAUGCUCAGGAACAAAGAAGAGCUAGUAGACAGGAGGAGCAUCAAGAAGGUGUCUUUCAAGCCAAGAGCAGACCAACCUUGUUUCUAUUGUCACUACAUCAAGAGUAAAAGUAGGCAAUGGUCACUACAUCAAAGCAGAAGGGAAGGGAGAUGUGCUAAUUGACACACCUUCAAGUAACAAACUUGUUUCUAAUGUUCUGCUAGUACCUGAAAUUGAUAGAAAUCUGCUAAGUAUUGCUCAGUUGCUAAGUUUCAAGACAUUGUUAAUGGAGUUAGGUGUGUUUAGGUGAAACUUUCUUCAUUUUGACAAGUUAAUUAUUUGUUAUAUGUAAUGUUUUAUUCUUUCUGAUAUAUGAUGAUGAAUCAUUCAACAAAUUUUCUUCUUUUUUUUGGUUUAACUUAAACAAUUUGUUCUUGUUCUCCUUGCUCGAUUUUCUUGUUUGUUUAGCAAGUAUCUAUUGCUUAAAGCUCAAGACUUUGUUGUGAUUGCUUAAUUUUGAUUCUCAACUCCAAUAAAAUUGGAACUCGACUGAAUACUUUAGCACGUACAUUACGAAGUGGUAAUGUAAAAGAAUAUUUUUCUAAUCUAUUAAAAGAUUAUAUGAGAAAAAAUAGAAUUUUUCAUCAAUCUUUGUUGAUACUCCAUCUCAAAAUGGAGUUGCUGAACGGAAAAAUAGGCAUUUUUUGAAGUUGCUAGAGUUCUUUUUCAAAUGAAAGUUGCGAAAUGUUUUUGGGCUGAUGUUGAUUCUACAGCUUGUUUUUUAAUAAAUCGUAUACCUUCUUCAAUACUCAAUUCUGGUAUUCCUCAUAAUGUUCUCUUUCAUCUACGUCAUUAUUUCCCAUUGCACCUAAGAUAUGUGGAAGCACUUAUUUUAUUUGUGAUGUUUGUCCAUAGGUAACGAAAUUAGAUCAUAAAUCCCUUAAGUGUGUGUUUCUUAGGUAUCCUCAUCUCCAAAAGCAUUACAAGUGUUAUUCUCCAGACCUUAAACGUUAUUUGGUUUCUACUGACGUCACUUUUCUUGAAAAGAUUCCUUUAUUUUCUUCAUUUUUAUCCACUAGUUUGCAGGAGGAAGAUAAUAUUUUGGUAUAUACAAUCAGUUCUCCAACUAUCACAACACCUAAUCCACCAUCAACUCGACCACUUAUAACUCAUGUUUAUUCACGACGAUAAGAACCUCCAAGAACAGAUCUUCUACCAAUCUCUUUGUCGAUCAAUCCAGCCUCAAGUGAUUCUAACCCGAGUCUUGAUCUUCCUAUUACCUUUCGAAAAGGUAAACGUCAAUAUACUUACCCUAUUUCAUCUUUUGUGUCUUAUGAUUACUUGUCUCCUUCUCUUAUUUUCAUUACCUCCUUAGAUACUAUUAUGAUAUGAGCUAGAAAAGUUAGUGAAGCGAUGAGUUUUGGACUAAAGGAAUAAUUGGUAAAACGGGGCGUAACAUGUUAGUGAAACGAUGAGUUUUGUUUAACUAUUUUUGCCACGUCAUUUUCUUGUUUUUUCCUUUCUUUUUAAGCUGAAUUGUGUGGGGGAGUCGGUUAUGAAAUUAUUGAAUGAAAAAAACAGAUUUCUUCCUAUCAUAUUUUCUUCCUCUCUGUUCUUCUCUUUUUCUCUUAAAAUUUCUACUCGAUUUUUGAGCAUCUAACAAAGGUAUCAGAGCUCUAUGAUCUUGUUAAUGGCAGGCGAUGGAGUUUCUACGAGGUUGCAGAAGGAGAUUGUAGGCGUUCAGCAGGACAUAUCCAAGCUACAGGCAGAACUGGUUCGUUUAGAUGCUAAGAUGGAGACUCAAAUGGAUACAAAUUUUUAGAAUUUUCGUACCGAGUUUCGUAAUGAUUUGCAAGCUCUUUUGGGUCAAUGUCUCGGCCAACUCAAGCUUGGCUCUGCAGUGACGGUGAAUGAGGACAAAGGGAAAAGGGUGUUGGGGGUGCCACCUGGGUUUCCUCCUAAUGAGAUGGAGGGUAGAUCGAAUCCAGCAGAUGGGACUAGCAUUCACCCGGAAAAUGCCUCUCAUGUACUUGGGAAGUGGGAAAAAGCUAGUCGUCGUCUCGAGUGUCCCAGUUUUGACGGUUCUGAUUUUCGUGGGUGGUUGACUAAGCUAAAGCAAUACUUUGAGGCUGAAGGAACACCAGAUUUAGACAAGGUUUGCAUAGUGAUGUUCCAUCUGGAGGGCAGGGCUUUGGAAUGGCACCAUUUUUACCCGCGACGGAAUGGUGGUCUUCACAUGUUAGCAUGGCCAGCUUACUUGGAGAGUUUGCAAGACAGUUUUGGAUUUGGGCAGUUUGGAAAUCCGAUGAAGGCUCUGGUCAAUCUUAAGUAGUAGGGCACUGUGGAGCAGUUCCAAGAUUCUUUUGUUGGUUUAUUGAAUCAGUUACAUCUUCCUGAAUCCUAUGCCCUUAGUAUCUUCAUCGGUAACUUGAAGACCGAAAUUGGGCAUUAUUUAGAUUGGUUCGAACCUUCUACAUUAGUGGAGGCUUUCCAACUUACAAGGAAGAUCGAGGUACUUCUUUCGGGUAUGGCUAAGAGACCCUCUAUUCCCUUGCAUAAUUCACCUCGACCAUUGUUAAAUUCUUCUAUGGCAACUAGUUACUCUUCUACUCCAACAAGAGCAAAUUCAGUCUCUCAAUCAGGCAGUAAUACUCCGGUUAGCAAACAAACAUCUCGUUCCAUUUCUCUGACGCAAAUGGUGGAGCGGAAACAAAAGGGUUUAUGUUUUUGGUGUGGAGCCAAGUAUCAAGCAGGGCAUAAGUGUGUCAAGUCCCAAUUAUAUUAGUUGUUGAUGGAACCACUUUCUGACAGUGAAGCGGAAGAAUUCCAGGAGUGUUCAGAUUAUUUGGAAGAGAGUAAUACGAAGGAUGAACCACCUAAGUCACCUGUAAUCUCACUACAUGCUCUUACAGGUAUGCAAGGUCAUAACACUAUGCGAGUUGCUGCUCGGGUAGGUUCCCUUUUGGCCAUCAUUCUUGUUGAUUCAGGAAGUACACAUAACUUUAUCAAUGCUAGAUUGGUGAGUCACCUAUCUUUGGCCGUAAUGCAUCAAGAACAGUUGAAAGUUUACGUGGCAAAUGGUGAGUCUUUAUUCACUAGAGGAAUGUGUAAAGGGGUAUUAUGGAAAGUCCAAAAUUACACGUUCAAAAUAGAUUUCAUGGUUUUACCAUUAAAAGGGUGUGAUAUGGUGCUUGGGGUUCAAUGGCUACUCUCUUUAGGUGACAUCAUUUGGAAUUUUAGUUCCUUAAUCAUGCAGUUUAAGAUCAAGGAUGUAGUUUGCACCAUACAGGGAAUUGUUCCUGGUUCUUUCGCUGUAGAAAGUCUUAACUCCAGUCCUAGGUGUUUCUCGAUUGUGGGGCAAUCUUUGGGUCCCUAAGCAAUAGUAUUGAGCUCAUCUAGCCAAAUAAUGCUCUCAGCUCUUAUGGUUGAUGACCUGAAAAAUGAGCUUCAAGAACUUUUGGAAGAUUUUGCGGAUGUUUUCCAGUUACCAAAAGGGCUACCUCCUCCUCGCUUACACGACCAUAGAAUCCCCUUGAAAGAUGAAGGUACGGUAAUGAAGAUAUGGCCUUAUCGAUAUUCGGCCAUUCAAAAGGGAAAAUUUGAGAAGUUAAUUCAAGAAAUGCUUCAAGCUGGCAUCAUCAGGGACAGCAACAGCUCAUUUGCUUCUCCUAUAGUGAUGGUUAAAAAAAUGGUAGUUGGAGACUUUGUGUUGAUUAUAGACAAUUGAAUCAGCACACAGUUAAGGAUAAGUUCCCCAUUCCUAUAAUUGAAGAGCUGCUGGAUGAGUUAGGGGAGGCUUGCGUGUUUUCCAAGUUGGACCUGAGGUCCGGAUACCAUCAAAUACGAAUGUGGGAACCUGAUAUUCACAAGACUGCUUUCAGAACACACGAGGGGCAUUAUGAGUUUCUCGUAAUGCCUUUUGGCCUCUCCAAUGCCCCAUUUAGUUUUCAAGCCCUCAUGAAUAAUGUUUUUAAACCUUGGCUGAGAAAAUUUGUACUCGUCUUCUUUGAUGAUAUACUUAUGUACUCAAAGUCAUGGUCUGAACAUUUGAAGCAUUUGAAGUCAAUUCUCAUGAUUCUAAGAGAGCAACAGUUGUUUGCAAAAAGGAAUAAAUGCUAUUUUGGGACAUCUAAAAUUGAGUAUUUGGGUCAUGUGCUAUUUGAGGGUACAGUUUCUAUAGACUAUUCGAAGAUUGAAUGCAUUUCGGCUUGGCCAAUUCCACAAUCAGUGAAGAAAUUGAGGAGCUUCCUUGGUCUAUCUGGUUAUUACAGGAGGUUCAUUCGGGGUUAUGGGGUGUUAGCUAAACCACUUACGAAUUUGUUGAAAAAAUUGGAUGGGGCUGGUCUGACCAAGCUACAGCAGCUUUUCAAGCAUUGAAAGCUGCCUUAUGCGCUGCACCUGUGUUAGUUCUACCGAAUUUUCAGCUUGAAUUUGUUGUAGAUACUGAUGCCAAUGGAAUUAGAGUCGGUGCAGUGUUACAACAGCAAGGGAGACCGGUGGCUUUCUUUAGCAAAGCCUUGGGAAUCAGACAUCAGGCUUUAUCCAUUUAUGAAAAAGAAAUGUUAGCAGCACUGUUAGCAGCCAGAAAGUGGCAUACGUAUCUUGUGGGUCGACAUUUUAAAAUACAGACUGGCCAUCAAAGCUUGCGCUUCCUGUCUGAUCAAGCAGCCAUCACUCCAUUCCAACAGCACUGGGUUGCAAAAAUGCUCAGUUAUGAUUUCGAGGUAUUCUAUAGGAAGGGCAUUAACAAUAGGGUCACUGAUGCCUUAUCUCGAUAACCUCAUCUAAAACAAGGUCAGCUUUUUACGUUAUCAUCUAGCUCGACUAUAUCUGAGCUACUGUAACAGGUGCAACAAUCUUAUGUGCUCGAUGUGAAGAAACAAAAAAACAUUCAAGACAUGCAACGGGCCGAUGCUCAAAGUGAUAAGUAUUCAUGGGAUGGUCGUUUCUUGCGCCGAAAAGGGAAAAUCAUGGUUAGUAAAAAUAUGCAACUGAGACAAGAAUUAUUUCAUAAAUUUCCAUGCCAGUGUAGUUGGUGGCCAUUCGGGAGUACAGGUGACCAAGAAGAGAUUGACGAGUUUGUUAUUUUGGAAAGGGUUGACUACUGACGUGAAACGAUGGAUUCGCGAAUACUCGGUUUGUCAAAAAUGCAAGAGUGAAUCAGUGGCUUCUCCAGGGCUCCUCCAACCAUUACCUAUUCCUAGUCGGGCUUGGUCAGUCAUUAGCUUAGACUUCAUUGAAGGUCUACCAAAUUCAUGCAAGACAAAUUCCAUUCUGGUAGUGGUGGACCAUUUAACCAAGUACGGUCACUUCUUGGGUUUGUCUCAUCCUUACACAGCUAAAAAGGUGGCACAGGAGUACAUGAGCCAUGUUUAUAAACUCAAUGGCAUGCCCGAUUCAAUUAUUUCAAACAGAGAUAAAAUUUUUGUAAGCAAAUUUUGGCAGGAGUUAUUCAAUCAAGCUGGUACCAAGUUGUUGCUGUCCACAGCUUACCACCCACAGACGGAUGGUCGGACUUAGGUGUUGAAUCGUUGCCUCAAAAGUUACUUAAGAUGCAUGACCGGGGAAACCCCUGCCAAUUGGUUACAUUGGUUACCACUAGCUGAAUGGUGGUAUAAUUCUUCUUUCCAUUCUUCUAUCCAGCUCACUCCCUAUGAAGCUCUUUAUGGGCAGCCUCCACCUUCACACAUGGCAUACCUAGCUGGGGUUUCUUCUGUGGCUGUCGUUAAUAGGAGUUUGCAAGCUCGUGAGGCCACAAGGAAAUUACUACAUUUCCAUUUAAAAAGAGCUCAAGGGCGCAUGAAACAAUUUGUUGAUAGGCAUAGAAGUGAGAGGAGUUUUCAGGUUGGUGAUUGGGUCUAUCUGAAGUUGCAGCCAUACAGGCAAUAAACUGUCAGGAAAAUCCUUAAUCAAAAGCUCUCUCCUAAAUACUAUGGCCCUUUUCCAGUACUAAAGAAAGUUGGCGAAGUUGCGUACACUCUGCAACUACCUCUGGGUUCUCGUAUUCACCCAACUUUCCAUGUCUCCCAGCUGAAGAAACAUAUAGGGUCUACUCCUUCACAAUCUCACUUACCUUUGGUAGAUGUUCAUGGUGCUUUACCAAAGGAACCGGUCAGAAUCAUUGAUAGGCAGAUUGUUAAAAGAGGGAAUCAAGCUAUCACUAAAGUUCUUGUCGAGUGGAUUGAUAUGAGCUAGAAAAGUUAGUGAAACGAUGAGUUUUGGACUAAAGGAAUAAUUGGUAAAACGGGGCAUAGCAUGUUAGUGAAACGAUGAGUUUUGUUUAACUGUUUUUGCCACGUCAGUUUCUUGUUAUUUCCUUUCUUUUUAAGCUGAAUUGUGUGGGGGAGUUGGUUAUGAAAUUAUUGAAUGAAAAAAAAAUAGAUUUCUUCCUAUCCUAUUUUCUUCCUCUCUGUUCUUCUUUUUUUCUCUUAAAAUUUCCACUCGAUUUUUGAGCAUCUAACAUAUUAUCAUUUCAAAAACUAUUCGUGAAGCCUUGUCUCAUCUUGGUUGGCGAGUUGCAAUGGUAGAGGAGAUGGUAGCUUUAGAUGGAAAUGGUACUUGGGAUUUGGUUGAUUUACCUAAAGGGAAAAAGGUCAUUGGUUGUAAAUGGGUGUUUACAAUUAAAGUAAACCCUGAUGGAUCAGUAACUCACCUUAAAUCUCAAUUGGUUGCUAAAGGGUAUGCCCAAACGUACGAAAUUGACUACUCAGAUACCUUCUCUACAGUAGCUAAGCUAGAUUUUUUCUGGUUGUUCAUCUCUAUGGCAGCCACUUAUGAGUAGCAUUUGCAUCAACUUGAUAUUAAAAAUGCUUUCCUACAUGGUGAUCUUCAAGAAAAGUAUAUAUGGAGCAACCAUCUAGGUUUCUUUCUCAGGGGAGUGUAAAAAGAAAGUAUGACAAAUAUUAAAAUCUUUGUGUAUUGAUCCUAUAUGCAUGUUUUAGGAUUAACUCAUUGCAUGCAGAGGAUAUGAACUAGAGCUGAUUUUAUUCACUUUGUUAAAUGAACUAAAUCAAUUUCAACACUCUUCCCCCAAUUGUCCCUCUUCUAAAGCAGCAGUGAAGCCUUAUUAUUCUCUUCUCAUUUUGUGUCAAUGAUAGCACAUGUUUUACCAGUGGAAUAUUUCUCUUAUGAUCUUUGGGGCCUUGUGGAUUGAAAGUGAAAUUAUUGAUCUCUGUAGCCUACUUAAAGCUUAUAAGUUAGCUACUAGAACUUCUAAAGCAUUAUUUUGCCUCCUAUUCAAUUUAGAGUUCUUGUCAAUCUAGUCAAGGGUUUUUAUGUGGUAACAGAACAGACGAGUUUUCUCUGCGAACAAAUGCUUUGUGUUUCAUGCAGUAUUGAGUUGUAUCCUUGCCAACUUAGUAAUAUCCAAUGUAUGCACAGACUGCAUUAAUAAUAUAUAAUGUGUAUGCCUGGUAGUUUGCUAUUUCGCUGGUUAGCCAACUGAAAUGAUCGCGUUGCUUAUCUGCAUUGCAGUUAGCUUUAUAACUAUAAAUUUCAAAAAAUUUAACUGGGCAUAUGAGAAUAUUAUUGAUUCAGGAAAUGCGCAUGGUCAAGAAAGUGAUAAUGAUGAUGAUAACGACGACGAUGAUGAUGGUGAUGAUGACGGUGAAUGAAACAAUUCAAGUGGUUUUGAAAUGGAAUUAACAAGAGAUGCUAUAGCUUCUAGUUUAAUGAAUUCACUUUAAAUUGUAAAUGCUAUUGUAAAAUUUUUAGUAUUUAUAUUUGGUAUAUAAAUAUUAUCCCUUUUUAAAACUUUAAUCCAAAUAUAUGUAAUAUUUUUCAUUUGUUAGGUUUAUGUUUUCUAUGUUAUGUUAAUAUCUAAUAUGAGUUAUAUAUUCAAAUACAUUUUAAAAUAAAAUAAUACAAAUGUGUUAAAAGAAUUAAUUAAAAAUAAAAAAUAAUUUUUAUAAUAAUACAAUUGUGUCAAUAUCUAAUUAUAAAUAUUUAAUUAUUAUAUUUAAAUAUUUAAAUAUAUUUUAUAUAUUCUAAUUAAAUUUAAUAAAUAAUUAAUAUUAAUUACUUCGAAAUAUUUAAAAUUAAUAUUAUAUAUUAAAAUAUUAACAAUAAGUUAUAAUAAAUUAUUUUUUAUAUUUUUACUAAAAUAUCAUAAUAUUAACUAAUUUGAAUAUUAUUUAAAUACAUAUUUGUUACUUUAUAAUAUUAUGUCUAAAAUAGACAUUUUAUUCCUCAAAAGCACUUUUUAACAACAAUACCGAACACUUAAAUUUUUCAAAAGCACUUCUCAAAAACACUUUUCCACAGCACUUUUCAAAAGCACUUUUAAAAAGUAAUGAAGAACUGGCCCUUAAUGUAGAAUUUUUGUAAUUCUUUUUAUUUUGUUUUAUUUCUUUAAACAUUAUCCUUUAAAUAUUUUAAAUUUAAGAUUUUAAAAAUUACAUUUAUCAAAUAGUCUAAUAAUUUUCUUUAUUUAAUUUUAAAAAAUAUACUAAAUAAAUUUUAUAACUUAAAUUCAAUAAUUAGUUGUUCAACACUUAAUUUUUUUAACACUUAAUUUAUCAACAUUAUCUUAUUCAAAGAAUAAAGGGAAAUUAUUAAAUAAAAUAACAACAUUAAUAUAUAAUUUUUGUAAUUACAUGGUCAAUAAUAUUAAAAAAUGUAGUUGAUAAAUUAAGAUGAUUUGCAUAGAAUUUUUAGUAUUAGUAUUAUAUAUUAUUGUAUUAAAAUAGAAGUUUAAUUUUGGUUAUUAUUACGAGGGAUAAAGUCACAUUUGAUAUUUUUAUUUUUAUAAAAUAUCUAAUGUGGUGCUUGUAUUUUAUAAUUGUUCAAUGUGUUUUAUCAUGAUACUUGUACUUUUAUAAAAUAUUCAAUGUGGUACUUGAACUAUCAAUAUGUGUUUUAUUACGGUAACUAGUGUUAACACUGUUAGUGAAUUUUGUCACAUAGAAAAAAAAAAUUUUUCCAAAUCAUCAAAGUCCAAAUGGAUAAUAUAACAUUAUGUGAAAACUAAAUAAAAUAAGAAAACUAAAUUAAAUUAAAAAAAAUACUAAAUAUAUAGUUAACAAAAAAAAGUAAACAUUAAACUUACAUAAGCAAAAAUGUCAUCUUCUCCAUUUAAGUAAAUGGUCAUAUUCUCCAAAGAUUUUUCCAUUAAAAUAAUAUUUUAUUGACUUUUAAAUAUUUUUUUAAUAUACUUUCAUGUAAGUUUAGUAUUUACUUCUUCUUUUUUAAUACCCCAAACCCGACUUAGACGUUAUGACCAAAUCUAGAGAGCUACAUUAAACCAUUUCUGGAAAAUCCAACUUCUAAUAAUAAAGUUCGAAUGAUUUGAAGCCAUAUAAGGAUUAUAAAUAACCAUAAAAUCCAGAUGUUAAAAACAACAAUCUUAGAAAGAAAUAAUGAUGAAAAUACUGAUAACAUAAUAGGAAGAUUAAGUAGAAUGACCGAGCUCCCGAUACACUGACUCAAUCAAGUCUGUGAGUCACCUGAAAUCAAAACAUAUAGACUAAAUGAGUUUAUAACUCAGUGUGUGUAACUUAUGUAUACAACCAAUCAGAAUUAUAUAUAUCAAAUAUGUUUUCAAUUUCUCUUCAAUCAGGAAAUUCUCAAAAUCGAAUACAAAGUUGGAAAUAGAGGAUAUCAAAUACAGUUGCAAAACAUAUCAGAUACAGAUGCAGAACAUAUUAGAUACAGAUGCAGAUUCCUACCCCCGUCCGCUACACACUAUCUUUAUCCAUCCAUACACGGGUAUUAUGUAACGCCCCAAAUUUUGAGCAUUUGUUGCCAAAUUUUGUCAAUAAUUGAGUAUCUACUUCUGUGGUUAAGUGUUCUGUUCAUCUGUUUGAGAUUGGGGGUUCGAGUCUUACUUUUUGAAUUUUACUGUUUAUUUUGGUUUAACCCCUGUCUUUGAGUCAUCGGCUUAAGUUUAUUUUUGUGUAAUUUUGUGUCAAGAAUUAGCCUGCUGAUUCAAUGGUUCUGACUAAGUCUUCGGUUCCACCUUGUGUGGAUAGGAAGAAGACAAAGAAGUCAAAGGAUCCUAAAAGAUCAAAUGUUUCUUCUGUAACAGGAAAGAACACUUUAGAUCAAACUAUAAGAAAUGACAUCGAUGGCCUGUUUCCAAAGCUUGGAAAGAAACCCGCUCUUAUCACUUUAGAAUAUGGGGUUGUCCAGCCCACAUUCUGGAUAAGGAUGCAAAAAAGUUGGAUGCAUGAAUGAAAUUAUGCAUGUUUGUAUGAUAUCCAAAUGGAACAAAGGGUGGAUUAUUCUACAAUCAAAAAGAUAAUACGGUUAAAGUUUUUACUCAUGCUACUUUUCUUCAAGAAAACUAUAUGAAUAACUUUAAGCCUCGAAGUAAAGUGGUACUCGAGGAACUUUCAGAAGUUGUAGAAUAAUAACCAAGUUCAAUUCUCGAGAAAGUUGUGGAAAGACCUACAAACGAUCAACAAUAUAAGGGAAUCUGUUGUAGUAGGAGAGUUUCUAAGAAGUUGGACUUCUUCAUUUAUGAUAGUAGUAUUUAUAUUACGGGAGCCAAUCAUGAGGAUGAUAAUCCACUCACUUAAAAGGAGGCUAUGCAGGACGUUGAUUCCAAACUCUGGAAACAGGUCAUGGAUGCCGAAAUGGAUUUUAUGAAAUCCAAUACGGUGUUGGAACUUGUAGACUUACCAGUUGGGAUUAAAUCCAUAAGGUUUAAGUGGAUCUACAAGAAGAAGAAAAAUGUUGAAAGGAAAGUGGAAACAUAUAAAGCUAGACUUGUAGGGAAACACUACAUACAAAAAGAAGACAUCAAUUAUGAUGAGACAUUCUCUUCAGUAGGCAUGCUCAAGUCUAUCCGAAUACUCUUAUCCAUUGUCGCUGCUCUCGAUUAUGAGUUAUGACAAAUGAAUGUGAAGAUAGAAUUCUUGAAUGAUUAUCUUGAUGAGACCAUUUACCUGGCUCAACCUAUUGGCUAUGUUGUCAAAGGGAAAAGGAGCAAAAAAUUUGCAAACUAUUAAGAUCCAUUUAUGGACUUAAAUAGACAUCCCACUCAUGGAAUAAAAGAUUUGACUAAACGAUCAAAACUUUUGGGUUUUGGGCAAAAUGCUGAGAAACCUUGUGUUAAUAAGUGUAUAAAGGACAAAAAGGUAGUCUUCCUUGUUUUGUAUGUCGUUGAUAUUCUACUUAUCAGAAACGAUGUAGGAGAAUUAUCAUCGGUUAAACUAUGAUUAUAUCAAUAGUUUAGCAUGAAGGACUUGGGUGAAGCUAGUUAUAUUCUUGGAAUUUGAAUCCUUAGGGAUCGAAAGAAUAAAACGAUAGCUCUAUCACUAGCUUCAUACAUCGAUAAGUUACUGGAAUGAUUUGUAAUAACCGAUGCAAAGCUAGACACUCAACCAAUUGUAUCGGGUUUUCAUAUUUCUUUGGAUAACUUUCCUAAGACAACGGAAAAAAGAGAGCAUAUGAAUAAUGUUCCAUAUGCUUCGGCAGUUGGAAGCCUUAUGUGUGCAAUGUUUUGCACAUGUCAAGAUAUCUAUUACGUAGUGAAAUGGUUAAUCGAUAUCAAGCGAAUAUUGGUCUCAGGAAUUGGCAAGAUGUAAAUCAUAUAUUAAGGUAUCUUAAAAGAACUAGAGAUUAUAAGCUUGUGUAUUAUGGGAAGAUUGUUGAGAAAUGUGUCCAUAUUAUAGUAAACAUAUAAUUUUUUUAUAUGUAUUUGAACGAUAAAAAAGUAAAGUUAAUUUCACAUUUCACUAUUAUGUCUUUUGUGUUUCUGUCUUUCAUGUUUUGCAUACAUAGUGAAAUUGUGACAAACAAAUAUUAGUUUAUUGAUUGUCUAGUUCAAACUAAUGAUAAGUGGCACUGUAAGAACGUUUACAAUGUGAGAAAGACAACUUUCUUUAGUAGAUAAUUUAAACAAGUUUGUAAUCCCGUAAAAGAAUCAAAGUGAGCAUUUGAUUCAAAUGUUUAAAAGGAUUAUUUUGUCAUCUACAAUUCCAAUUAGGGAGAUGUAUUCAUUGGAAGAAUAAUACAUUAGACUGGACCCAAGAUGAAUUAAUUCUGAAUCUGUUUGUGAAUUAAUUCACUUGUGACAUUUAUGGUGUGAUUUACCUAAAUCUUGAGUUAUUCACUGACCAUGCAUAUGUAACUCACGUGCUUUGAUAUAAGUGAUGGAUUAUGCUCUAAAGAUGAUUGAGCCCAUAGCCGAUAUGUUGGGUACAUAACUUGUGUAUGACCUAAAUUAACUAGCAACAAUGGAAUUCAUAGCUCGAUUAAAAAGUUAAUGAUAUCCUCUUAUUGGCAUUUUGUGGAUUGAGAAAUAUAGAACAUGGAAAUUGGUUUUUUUUUCUCUCAAACAAGCAAUUUAUCAUAGUCAUUUGUUGACAAUGAUCAUAUCAAUCAUUAAGAAGACAGAAUGGUGACAAUGAGCUAAAAUAAGAUUGUAUUGAGUGAACAAAUUUAACUCAAAGGAAUCAAGGAUAUCAUAUGAGGUUAACACACGUAUGACGAGGUCAUUGGACAAAGAAGUUGGAUGAAUUGCUUUCUUAAAGAGUAUACAUUAAGGAGUUUUCAAUCAUGGUACUUCUUGUGGACUGACUCCAUGAUUAAGUAAUUUCAAAUUAUCAAAACAAUACUUCUGGACAUAAUUGCAAUUACUAAAGCUUAAUCGUAUAUGUUUGAUUGGUCUCUCUGCUAGUUCAACAAAAGCUUGACUAGACUAUAUUCGAAUCAAAAGAAAAUUCUACGACUUUAGAAAAAAAAUUAAUUGAGUCAAUUUAUUCGAUGGGGAAUUAAAUUAGGCAGUUGUGAGAAUUGUCCAACUUGAAAUUUUGAUUAAAUAAUUUUAUUAAAAAAUUAAUUUGGAAAAUCUCAAUAAUUUUUGGGAAAAUUAAUUUUGAUUAAGUAAAAUUAAAUUAAAUUUAAUAUGAUAUUUUUGGAAAUUAAUCUUGAAGUCAGAUAAUUGGCCCAAUGUGUAAUUUUACUUGAAAAUUAGACUUGAGAUUGAAAAUUGGACUCAUGAACCCAAAACUAAGAUCGAGACCCAAAAAUUGGUCGAACCAAGCCUGGUAUGUGAAACCUAGUCAACGAUUCAACCGGUAACUGGACUGGAUGAAUUGGGUCGUCACUAGGCUCAGAUUGAACUGACAACAAUCGAAUUAGCUUGGGUUGUCAUGAGGGUGUCGCACUUGCGAUAGCACCAUCUGACAUACCGGUGCUAGUAGCAACGAAGGCAACAUUCCGAUGGCUGACAAGGGGUUGUCGGCAACAGUUCUUCGGUGGUUGAGCAGUGGAAGAAUUACACUCCUACUGAGACUCUACCGGAUAAUUUGAUUUCAGAUUAACUAUUCCAAAAAUAAUAAUAUUUUGAUAAAUUUAAUAUUUAAUUUAAUUUAAUACUUAUCUUGAUGGUAUAUUAUUAAUUUUAUAUUAAAGUGAUUAUCUUAAUAUUAAAUUAAAUUUAAUAUUUAUGUUACAGAUAAAUAUUUUAUUAAUUAAAUAGAUUUAUUAUUAAAUUUAAUCUAAUACUUAUCUUGAUCAAUGUUAUAUUAAUUUAAUAUUUAAAUGGGUAAGUUUAUUCAUAGUUGAACUCACUAAACUCUCCCUAUAUACAGAGAGCAUUUGGUCAUUAUUUUUCACACACUUGAAUUCAAGAUAAAGUUGUAGAGAGAAAAUUCCCCUAAAUAAAUUAUUUCAAAAAAUUUCUAGAGAUAUUUUUUUUAUUUACAACUUGACCUAAAAGUUUAGAAAAAUUGUGAAAUUACCCUACUAGUAAUUUUAUGUUAAAUUUUCUGAUUCGAAAUGAACCCACACUCAGUAGACGUGAACUUGAGGAUAGAGGAGAUUACUACCUAGUCGAAGCGUUCAUCCUAGAUGAAUUGAAAAUGUACAAUUUUGAUUAAGUGUUUAUUACAUUAGAUAUCACAAUCAAGUUCUAGUUUUUGAAAAAAAUUUUAAAACUCAGACAUUUCCUUAAACUUAUUUUCCAUUGUGUUUUCCAAACCCGUUUUUCCAAAAAUAAUAAUCUCAUUUACCAACAUGGCAUGACAUACACACAUUCAACAUAACCAUUACACAUAUUUAGCUUAGUUACAAAAUCAUUAAUGCCAUCAAUUUAAACUUAACAUAAGAGACACCAUCUACUAACCACUAAGUUAGGCACAUGCCAAACUAUAACUAAGACCAAAAGAGCAACACAAACAUUAAUUAAGUUGAGAGGAGAGUCUUAGAUGUUGUCAAUAUAUCAGAAGCUCAGCAGAACUUGUUCGUAACCUUUGCACGAAAUCAAACAAAUCCACAUGUUGAGCAAGAAGCUCAAUAGUAAUAACAUAAUUUGGAAUCAAAACAUUAAAACAUUGAGUAAUAAAGCUUGCUAACAACAUUUAACACUAAACAACAAGUCUAAAUCAACAUCUCAAUACUAUUUGAUUUCACUAUACCAUGCUAUCUUUAGACAUACACUAACUAUGUUAAUAAUCUUUCUUCAUCAAAUUCCUUAUACGUAUAUAUAUACUUCAUAUUUAAGAUUCAUAAUGUCAUUAGAUCAUUUCUCAUUUUCAUCUUUAUAUCAUAUUAAAAGUAUAGCUCUUUUACUCAAAGUGAUCACGUUUCAUGAUUAUAAUUCAAUCACAUAUCAUUUUCAUUAUCAGCCGCUAUUAACUUAAUACAAAAUAAAGGAUGGAUACAUAGAUUAAUCCCCUAACACUCCACAAUAUGCACAUAAGUGUUGAUUGAGCAUUAAUGUAUUGAUCUCCCUUAAAACUCUGUAGUAUAAUAUGCAUCAAAAUGCCAAAAUGAUAUGCACUGAAGUGACAGAAUGAUAUGCAUUGAAGUACCAAAAUGUUCCCACCAAUAAACAAAAAAAUUCCUAUGGUAUGCCAACUAUACUUGAACUUUAUCUGAUAUCGUUAAUAAGACAAAUCUUUAUUAUCAUUUCUCAUUAACAUGCAUUUCAAUCCAGGAGUAAUCACAAAACAUUAUAGUUCACGACAAAGUAUUAUAUCAGUUUCAUACAAUUUCUUAUAAACCAGUGCAAUAACUUAUCAAUAAAUCUCCAAUUCAACAUCAUAUAAAGCACAUUCACUUACCUUGGUCACUAAGCAUACUUUAAGAUUGACACUUACCAUUGAUGAAAUAGAACACACAAUAAUAUCAUGAAAUGAAAGCAUAUUAAAUUAGCACAAACCAUAUUAGCUAUUCGUUUAUUGCCUUCUUUUUCCCUUUCACCUUUGAGGUUACAACAUAGUCUUUAACUACAUACGAUAAUUUUGAUAUAAGGAAAAUGUCAAUUUCUCAUCAUCAAACAUAUAUAACUUGUGAUUAAAAUAUGUUAUGCACAUUUUCACUUAGGUCCCUUUUUAAAUCUAAUGUCUAGAAUUCAUGUAUCUUUCAACUUUCCCAAUUGAAUCAAAAUUCGAUUUCAUUUCCCAAAGUUCUCAUCUUUUUCACAUACGUCCCAAAUAACUCAUCAAUAGCUUCCUUAUAAACACCUAAUCAAAUUUUACAUCAACAUCACCCACUUCAUUUUUAGCUUGCUCCUCACAUAGACUAACCUUAACAACUAAACAUUUCAUGGUUUCAAGUUCAAUUUCUCUAUGUUCUCAUCAAUGGCAUCUUAAGGUAACUUCCACAAUUAAAAAAAACCUAAACAUUAGGUUGGUUAUAUCAAGCUUCCUAGGUUAAGGGCCCAUGAAAAUCUCAAAUAAAAAGCUUACUUGCCUUAAAGAAUGGUGGAUGUCACACUCGAAUUUCCUUAAGAACUCAAAUUUAAAGGAGCUUUGGGAGUUAAUUGAUCCAAAUAAUGAGUUGGCAGACUCUACUAGGAAUUUUGGAAAACUUUGUGAUUGUUGGGUAAAUAAUUGGAUUUCAAUUCUGAUUUGGUUAGUUUGGAAUCGGCCGGUUCCUUAGUGGGGGAUAAAAUAAUUAGUGAUGGAUGGCUUUGGUGGGUUAUGGAGACUGUGCUAAAUUAGGAUGUAUAUGUGUAAGGGAAAAAGGAAUUCUUCUCAAUCAGUUAAUAACUUUCUUCUUCCUUGCAUUGUCUUCUUUGAUUGUUUCAAAGAAGAGGAAAAAUUUAGGAGAUCCCUCCAUGGAACAAUGGUCAUGAAAAUUGAAUUUUGGAAGAAGAGAAAUUGAGAAAUUGGUAAGCUUUCUUAUCUUUCUGUACUCGUGGGUUCGGGAAAGGGUGAGAGUAAGAAUUCCCUAAUAAGUUUCUUUAAAAUGGGUACUGGGUUUUAAGGUUUAAAUGUCUUCGAUUUAACUGACAUAUGGUUGUCAUGUUUAGAUUCCAAAAUGAUAGAGGCUUUGGCAUUUAGAAAAGAUAAGCUGAUAAGGAUGAAUGAGUUCAGGUAAGUUUCUGUGCUUUGCCUCUAGGAUUAUCGUUAAAAAUGCAGUAUUGGAAUGGUUUGUGUUUAAGUUGUUUUCAGUUGUCUGAAAUUCUUGUUGUGUAUGGAAAUGGAAAAUAAGCAUGUUGAGUAUGAACCAUAACAUGUAAAUGUGUACGAUGGAUGUUAAAUAUGUAUGCAUUGACUAAGUAAUCAAUUGUGAACUGUAUGAUGUAGUAAUAAGUAUUAAGUGUAGUGACUUAAGUGAUAUGCAUGAUUGUAUUGUAUGAGGAGUCCAGAGGAAUUUAUCUUGAAGGGGUAGAUGAAGAUAGGAAUAAUUAGCGUAUUGGAGGAAUGAACGGACUAGAAUGAGAUUCUAGGGAGUUUGAGCGGCAUCGAGGAUUGGUAUCUACUAGCUCACUAAAGCGACGUCAUGACGACAGUCUAUCAACUCUAUGGAGCGACACCGCGACAAUAAUUAUCGACUGUUCCUUCAGGGCAACACCGUGUAAAUGGUUUAUAAGUCUUUCGGGGCUACACCUCGAAAGAGGUUUAUUUAUUCCUUGAAAUCGGAAGUCUGCCAAAAUAGUAAACAUGAGUUCAUAUUGUGUAAGACCAUAUCUAGGCUAUGACAACAAAUGAAGUCUGCUAGGAUAUUAAACAUGGGUUCAUAUUACGUAAGACCAUAGUUAGGCUAUGGCAACAAAUAAAGUGCGCUAGGACAGUAAACAUGGGUUCAUAUUUUGUAAGACCAUAACUGGGCUAUGACAACAAAUAAAGUCCGCCAGGACAAUAAACAUGGGUUCAUAUUGUGUAAGACCAUAACUGGGUUAUGGCAACAAAUGAAGUCCGCCAAGAUGGUGAACCAGGAAACUGUCAAGGCACGAAAAGGGAAAUCACUGUAUGGCUCGUGCGGCGAGUAGCACAAUAGGAUAAAUGAGCCAUGUCUAAAAAUACGGGUAAAUGAGAUGGUAAAAGAAUUUGUGUAGCACCUUAACCUGUAUUCGUUGUUAGAAUAGGGUUAUGGAGCAUUACCAUAAAACCGUAACAUAAAAUAUACAUUACCAUACAUUGAUAUAAACAUAGCAUAAUCCAUUAAUAAACAUGCAUAUGUUCCCUUAAUUAAGCCUUCGAGGCUUUAGAAACACUUUAGAAACGAUUCAGGACUAAAUCGAAAAUAUUUGAAACAAUGAGGAAAAAGUUAGAAAUUUUAAAACUAUAGGGGUCACACGACUGAGACACAUGCCCAUGUCUCAGGCCGUGUAACAAUUGGAAUAGGGGCACACGGCUGUGUCCCAUCCCCUAUUCGUGCCUGUGUAACUCUCUGACUUAGGACACACGGCCAAGCCACACACAGUCGAAAUGGCCUCACAUGCCCGUGUGCCACGCCAUGUGCUAUGCUGUGUAACUGCUUGACUUGCAACCUUUAAAACCUAUAGAGGACGCACGACCGUGUCGCAUGGCCAUGUGUCACACACGAUUGAGACACACACUUGUGUCUUAGGCUGUGUGGACAAGAAAUUAGCCAAAAUCAAGCCAUUUUCUUCACCCAAUUAAAACAUGUACCUAAACACAAUUUGCACAUAUGACCAAGACAUUAUAACAUGCCCAAACAUGCAUAAAAUGACCAAUUCACUAUACUAUUAAUCCAUACAACCAAUAUGCCAAUAAGGCACCUCAAUCACAAACCAUCAAACAUAUCUAAAAUAUGCAUAUUUGGCCAAACAUCAACCAUACACAUCUAACUUAUUUCCAUACCAAAACAUACCAUAAUUGACCACAUACCAUAUCCAUAAAAACUUAUCAUUUGGACCAUUACUCACAUACAUCAUAAUCACAUAAGUGACACAAACCAACCAUUUCCAAAUGGUAUCAAACAAACAACUUAUAUAUACAUACCAAACUCAACAUUUAGCACUCAAGUCAAACUUUAAACAUAAGUUCCCUAUACAUGCCAUUUUAACCUUGACCAAAACAUCAAAAUCUACCGAUAUAAUCGCUGGAUAGUGUGAUAGGUCUCCAACGAGCUUCCAAACUGAUUAAGCUUCCGAUAAUCUAAAAAUCAUAGGAAAGAAAACUACGUAAGCAUAUAAUGCUUAGUAAGUUCGUAUAACAUGGACAUAACUUACCAUUUCAAUACAUAACUUUACAAUUCAACAUGAUACAAUCCAACCAAUAGCUUGGCACAAUCCUAAGCAUCAUCAACAACAAUUGUUAGUGCAUUAAUGCAUAAUUCACUUGAAUUGUCACAUGGUAAGGUAAAUUCACAUGAACAUAAUGCCGUUGGAUUCAUACUUUCCACAAACAUAGAUAUACAUUCGUAGAUCAUUUCAUACCUUUCCAUAGGUUCAUAACAUAACCAUUGGAAAACUUACAGCUCCUUCCCUUUUCAUGCCCGUUGAACCACUUAGAAUAAUACUGGAUACAUGGGAAAGCUCACACAAAGUGUGCUAAAUGUAUAGUUGAAACCAUUCUCUUUCCUUUUCCUUUACAUCGUUGCUCAUUCGAGCCAUAAAAUGGGUCUACUCACACAAGCUGAAGGUUAGAAUGUAAGCUAUACAGUGCCGCUCACACAAGCUGACGAGUAUCUGCAACAAAUGCCGAAACUCAACCAUCAGUAGAACAUUCAUGACCAGCACCCGAAACAUGGUAACCCUAAUGACAUGUCAUUUGUAUCCUAUAUAUUACUAAGGUUCAAAAUGGGCUCAAUAAUCAUCGAAAUGUCGUUGGGUUUUCAUCGUUUCAUGACAUGAUAAAUAGCACAAUGGAAUAUAUAUCAAAAUAACAUUAAAACAUUAUUUACACAUACAAACUUACCUCGAUUACAAAGACAUUGAAAUAAUAUCAACUAAUCCUAGUCUUUAGCUUUUCCUCGAUCUAGAUCAGUACAAGGUUUAUCUUGAUCUAAAUAAGCAAAUUCAAUUAAUUUAAUACUCAUACUAUUCAAUUUAGUCCAAAAUUCAUACUUUUGCAAAAGUACACUUUUGCCCAUAAUAUUUUAACUUUUUUACAAUUUAGUCCUUAAUCUCAUAAAUUGUCAUUUAUGAAAACUCAUCCACAUUUCAUGCUAGCCGAAUUACCUAGAGACUUAUACAACCUCAUACAAAUCAACAUUCCACAAAUUUAUUACAAAUUUGUCAUGGUAUUUUACUACUUUCACAAAUAAGUCCCUAAAUGAUAAUUUCAUCAAAAAUCACUUUACAAAACUUGUUUAUUUAACAAAAAUGACUCAUAAUCUUUCAUUAAACUUUAAAAACCAUACAAACAUUUUCAUGUAAAAACCUUAAUCCUUUAAAAAUUUUGCAAAUUAGUCCCUGAACUAGUUAGAUUAAGCUAUAACGACUUCAAAAACAUAGAAAUAAUUAAAAACGGGAUCAAAACUACUUACAUGCAAGUGAACUUAGCUUGACUGAACCCUAGCUAUGGCUUCCUUGAUAAUUUUGGUUGAGGGAUGUCAAAAUGAAGAAGAUGGACACAUUUUGUUUAAUUUAUUUUAACUUUAAUUACUUAUUUACCAUUUUGUCCUCUAAAAUUAUUCAUAAGUUCAAUAAAACCAAACCCAUAAAUGUCCACUACCACAUAAAUUGGUUUAUUUACCAUCUAAGUCCUCUUAUUUUAAAUUUUGAUCGCUAAUAGAUACUUUUAACUAAUAGAACUCUACUUUUUCACCUUUUACAAUUUAAUCCUUUUCACGAAAUUAAGCACGCAAACGUCAAAAUUUCUUAACGAAAUUUUAACAUGACCCUGAUAUAGUCCUAAAAACAUUAAAAUAAUAAAAUAAAUAUUUACUUGUUAAAUUUGUGGUCCCAAAACCACUGUUUUGAUUUCAGUGAAAAUGGACUGUUACAAUUUGCCAAACUAAGAAAAGGAGAAAAGCUGAUAGAAGUGCCUGAGAAUGCAGGUAAGCCUGUUAAUAAGGUAAUUUUCCAUUUUGUGAUGGAAAGAGAAAUUGGUAUAUGUGGUCUUAGCAAGGUAGAGGUAAUAGAAGGGAUAUCUUCUUCGAGGUAUGAAGUAUCCACCAUUAUUAGCUCACUGAUAAGUGAGUCAAUGAAGUAGAUUCUAAGCCAAACGUUCGAAUAGGUAAAGUCCACCAGAGAUUUACAGAGAAAAAAGAUGUCAGGAUAGGACUAUGUAGAACAGGAAAAUCCACGAGAACCAUCAAAUGAGGAAGUUCGUAGAAGACUACCUUGGGUGGAAAGUCCAUCGAAAAAUAAUGGAGAAAAAAGAAGUUCAUCAAGGCUAUAUAGCUUAGGGAAGACCAUGUGGGACUACCAAAGGUAAAGACCGCCAAAGGAUUCUAGGGUGGGAGAUAGUCUGCUGGAAAGUAUCCAAUAAUUGGGGUAUCUUAAAAUAUUGGACUAAGGUGAACAAGUAUCUUGGAGUUACAUUACGGAUAUGAUCCCGCUUGGAAAAAGGGGAAUGUUAAUUCAGUCAGCCAUGUAUCACAUUCAAGACCGUGAAUGAGAAUUUUAGAAAAAGACCUUAUUCAGGAAAGGGAUCAAGCAUAGGUUAAGACGAAAAGUAGACAAUUGUCGAAUUAGUACGACAAUUCCAUAUAGAGUUCAGUGUGGAUUAAAGGGAUCAAGGAAGGGAUCAACAAUUAUGGCGAAGUCUUGAUUAAAAUGCCAGUAAAUGUUGCCCAUCAACGAUAAAAAAUAUGAGUAUCAAAGAUAAGACACAUCAUGAAGGGUAUACGAAAAGUCUAGAAUAAAGACGAACAAGGUCAAGACCCAUAAGAAAGUAAUGCUUAUUAGAACUUAGUUAUGGCUGAUGGUUAUGUCCACUGACAAUUAGCUCGGAGAAAACAAUGCAUUGAAUAUGCCAGCGAAAUUUAUGAAUUCUCCUAUGAAAUUCAGGGAGUUUACAUUUGUGCAUAGAAUUCCAUUUUUCUUAAAUUUUAAGAAGUUUUCUAUGAAUAUCAACGUAUAAGAUCUCACUAAGUUCUUUCAAACUUAUAAAAUUCACGGCUUGUAUGCAAGUUAGAUGAAGACUUGAGGAUCGAGUGGAGGGACCAAGCUAGACACCAUCAGAUGUUAGUGAUGGGCACGAUAGCUGUUUCAUGUAUAUAGAAGGGCACCCUUAGAUGCCACGCUUCGGGAAAUUAAGUUGGAUAUAUCUGUAUCAAACUCUUAAUUUAAAAAUUUGUAAAUAACUGCUAGGUUUAAUAAGGUCUCAAAGUUGUAAGAAUUUAUCACUUGUAUGAUAUGAGUUUUAGUAGAAGUUAAAUUUUGAAAUUUGAGAUUUGUCUAAGUACGUAAUUAAAUCAGUUUAGGAAAUUUGUUAAGAUAUUCAGGCUAAUUGUGACAUUCUGUACCUGAACCUUGUGAUUGGGUCGGGAAUAGGUUGUUACAGAGGAUGGCAAUGGUGGAUGACAAAACUGAAACUUUUCUGUUCCUAUUCUUACUUUUGUUAAGAAUAAAAAGAAGAAAAAAAGAAUGUCCUUCCAUUUCUCUUUCCCACUAACACUUACACACACUAUUAAAACUAGCUUUAUUUGAUAAAUUGUUUUAUAUAACAAACAAAAAUGUUUUUGAAUGAAGUUUGUUUUUGAACAAUGAAAUUGUAAAGUUUAAAGCAUAAAAAUUAUUUCAAGACAUCCGAACAUCUUAGAAAAUGUUUUGAACACUUAAAAAUUUUAGGCAAAGUUUAAAAACGGUUUUAAACUCUUUAACUUGAUUGAAACAUUUUUAAAUUGAUUGAAAAACUAAAAGUAUCAAUAUUUUCCAAACAAUAUCAAUACCCAUUCAAUCUUUAUCGAUACCAUUUUCUAUAUCAAUACCAAGUUGCUUACUGUCUUGAAAAAAAAUUGAAUAAAAGCAAAAAGUAUCGAUAAUUUUCAAAAUAUAUCGAUACCUAUUGAAUUUAAUCAAUAACAAUUUUGUAUUUUGACUUGAUGAUUUUUCAAACAAUCACAUAAAGUAUCAAUAACUAAUCGGCUGUAAACGUCACAGCAAUAAUGUGCAAGCAUACACUGUCGAUGCAAGUAUAGUAGACAGACGUGAGUCUGUCGGAUAUCGAUUCCACAGGGAUGGUUGUCUUUUUUCUAUUAAUGUCGAUGCAAUAACUAGAUAGAAAUGAGGUAAAUUGUGAGUAUAGCUAUCAAAGAAAUAAUUUGAAAACAAUAAGAUAAAGUAUGUUAUGGUUAAACUGAGAUCCCCAACAUGAAUCUUCAGCAGUAAACUAAGUAGUCACACGGUAUAAAAGAUAGGUGAUUGUCGACGCAAUAAAAUUUAUGUAUAUCUUACCAAAUUCCACUCUGUGGUUUAAUCUAAGACUUAACCAUGCACAUUAACCUCACUUUUGGAUAACGACAAUAGAGCACUAUUAAGAACAAAUGGACUAAAUUCCUUUAGUCCUUACUCAACUUUCGCUGAAAAGCUUAUUAGCUCAAACUGUCACUGCACCUUCCAAUGUUAGUGACUGCAAUAACACUUCCGUGUCUAGAACAUUCAAACCCCCAAUAUUAAACAACAAAAAUAAGAUUUAAUAAGAUAACAUUUAACAAAGCAUUCAUUGUACUUCCAUACAGUAGAAAACAUAGAGUAAUCACCGGCAUUUUCAAGAAAUGAGAAAGAAUCAAAUGGAAAGUACUAUUCCUAGGCUACUCGAUUGAAUCUAUCCAUUUCUCCUAGUUUUGCACUUAUAUCUCCUCGUCAGGAUUGGAUCUGCAUCAGUCUUCACGUUGGCUCACCCAAGGAAAGCUCAAGCUACCAUAGCCGUAAGCUUCAAAAUAAGGUAAGAGAAUGGUGGUACACCAAAAAUUUUCCUCUUUUCAUUUUUCUCACGUUAUCCUUUUAUGUUUUCCUCAACAGUAUAGGUGUCAUUCUCUCAGGAUUCUUCUGUCCUUGUUCGUAUAAGGUAGUUACACCAAACUGGACAGCUCACUCAUGGUUUGCUCUUAUCAGACAGUUGUCAACUGCGGCAACAAUUCUGAAUGCCAUCUGGAAUUAACUCCUGCAGUGACAUUACGGAUAUUUGUCAACUGCAGUGACAAUUUCGAACGCAAUCUGGAAUUAACUCAUGUAGCAACAUUAGUGCAGUAAGAUAGCAAAAUUAAAGAUAAAAUAUGUUAGGAUUCACUGAAUUAUAAAAAUGUAAUUUACUAAACUAAAAAUGCUAAAAUGCAUGCUAAGGGUAACUAAAUGGGAACAAUUUAAAUAAUAAGUAGGGAAAAAACAUAUAUUCUUUCUACUACAAUCAAUAACCUUUCAAAAAUAUCGAUACCUUUUACCAUGUAUCAAUAAAUGGUCUUUGGUAUCAUUGUAAACUAACUUUAAUGGUCACUAAAUGAGACAUUAAAUGCUAAUAGUAUUGAUACUCAUAGAAAAAGUAUCAAUACUUUUUGUUGCAAGUGAAUUAAAUGAUAUAGUAUUUUCAUCUCUAGCGGUUCUAUUUAUUUCCUCAACAACCACAAUGGUUGGAAAUGAAAUAUGGGGUAUAAAUACCAACUUCCAAAGGUCCUACAACAACAAGAAAAAAUAUUCAAGCUUAAAGAUCAAUAAAAAAACCUUUUGUCCUAACAUUUUCUAUACUUUUUCUUACAAACACUUGUGAGCUUCAUUAUUAUUCUAUCAGCUCAAGUGUUCUUCUUUGUAAUUGAACUUAAAUUGCAAACAUUUUGAUCUUGUAAGGAAUUAUUCUUGGUUUGCUUAUUUGUAUUUCUUUGAGAGGGUUUGUGUCUUCAAGUUUGAGUAAAAACCUUAAGAGAGUUUGUAAGGUUAAACCUUGGCCUCAAAGGCUGCCAAAUUAGUGAAUUUGGGAAAAUCCUUAGUAGUGGAAAGCUAAGGUAGUGGAGUAGGCAAUUGGGGUCAAACCACUCUAAAUUAUUGUGUUCAAUUUUCUACUCUUUCUUUCGAGUAUCCACAAAAUUUUUUAAAAGUCAAUCCAUCCCUUCUUGGCAAUUUCAAUUUGAUUUUUGAGAUAACACUUGUAUUUAACAAAAUAAUUAACUUAUUAAAUAACCAAAUCUAAUGGACAUUAAUUCAUCCUUACAUAAGUAAGAGAAAUGGAUGGCAAGGAAGUUGUUGGGCCACUAAUCAAGUUUUAAUAAUGGCUAAAUUGCUCGAGUCUUUGGCAUAAUUAUAACUUAAGGGCUUGUUUAAAUUUAAUAAAAUCUGUCUAUUUAGCUCACUUCACAAUUUAAUCUCUAUAUUCUAAUUGGCAACUUAUAUAAUUUAAUCACUUGACAAUUUGAUCUUUUAAUUUCAUAUACGUCAUAUAACUCCUUGAAUAAAAUCCUUGGGGUUAGCUUGACUUAGAAAAUUUUGUCUUGAAAUCAACUUUUCUGACACCAACGAAAAUCGGGUCUUUGCUCGUACUUUUUAUUUUAGUGAGGUAGAUUAAACCCUAAAUCUAAGGCUUAGAUUUAUUCAUUUUGAUCUAAGGAUUAAAAACAUUUUUGCUUUCAUGGUUUUCAUUUUAAAAGUUCUCACUAUAGUUGUCACCAAAUUUAAUUCCUACCAAAGUGAGUUUAUUUCAAAUAUAGUUAUUUGAUAAAUUGAAAAAUUAAGUACUAAAAAAUAAGUGCUAAAAAAUUAAGUAUUAAAAAUUAAUGCAUUAAAUUUAAGUUUCAAAGUUGGUUUGAUAUAUUACUUAAAACUUAAUACUACAUAUAAUUAGAUUGUAUGAUAAAUAUAAACUUUAAAUUAUUAAAAUUUUAUUCUACAAUUUAUACUUAAUUUUUAACUAUUUCAUAAAUUUUAAACAUUUCAUAUUAUUUUAAACAAAAUUAAAUUUUAAACCUAAAAUUUUUAUGGAAAAUAUAAUAUUAAAAUAAAUAGAAAAUAUUUUUUACAGCUAUUAUCUAUUUAUUAUUUUCCAUGUUUUUUAUUGAAUUGUUUUUAUUUUGAAUUAUUAAGCAUAUGUAAAAUAAAUAAAUAUUUCAAAAUAUUAAAUUUUAUUAAAUCUAGUUUGUGAAAGAAAAAAACCCUCGCACGUGAACACAAAUAGUUCACACGAACGAACUAGGGUUUGGGAAGCGUAAUCCUUUAAAUAUCAAUAGAAGCUCUCCUCUUUGAAAUUCUCAAUCGCAACGUCACCAUUCUAAAGAGAUUAUCGUAAAUUCGAGUACAAAGCGCUAACCAAGAUGAGAGCCAAGGUACUUUCCUCUAAUCUCUCAUUUUCAUGAAUUUUUUUUAUUCUUCAUUCUUAUUUUCUUCUUCAAAUAUAUAAAUCCCUUUUGCGUUUAGAAAUUAAUUUGUUUUUACUCAUUAUUUCGUAGAACUUUGGGGUUUUAUGAUGUAUGAUCUGUUUUCGAAAAGGAAAAAGCGGCAUUGAAGGGCAGGAAUAUUUGUGAUAUUGGUUGUAAUGAAUGAUAGAGCCUAGGAUAAAUUUGAUUACUGUCUGAUUAAUCCAAAUUCUUUAGUUUUAAUUGCUUUUGCAGUUUUAGCCAUGUUUCCUUUUAGUUGACCGAUCGUAAUCAAUGUGGUAAAGUAAAUAGAGAAAAUAAAGGAAACUGGGUGAAUUUGAUAGAUUAUUGAGUUGAGACUGAAAAAUGAGGAAAGCUGGUGAGAGAAGCCUUAAGCGUAAGUGAAUUAUGUGUUAACAUGCAACUAUAUGGGUUAUCAAUUUGGAAAGUGCUUAUAUUUUGGUUAGCUUUUUAGCCUUUUUUCCUCUUUCCUUCAGAUGUUAACUUGCAAAGUGACUGAGAUGAAAUGCUAUUGAGGAAAAUUAAUUUGUUAGCUUUGGUGCUAGUUUGGGGUGGGGAAAUGAAUGUAAUAUGAUAUGCUAUUCAAGCUAAAAAUCUUGAGCAAAUUCUUCCCUUGAGCAUUAUUUUGACUCUUCUGGUGAUUCAAAUAUAACUUUGUUCAAUUCCCUUGAACAAAAAGUUUUAUCUGGUUGAUAUACAUUCUUGUUCUAGCUUACCCUAAUUUAUUUCUUGGCUAUUUGAACAAAAUGGACAUGGUAACACUUUGGAAUUAUUUUGUGAGGGAGUGAUUUGAAACUAAAUGCUCAACUAUCUUAUGCUUUUCAGUGGAAGAAGAAGCGUAUGAGGAGGCUGAAAAGGAAGCGCCGAAAGAUGAGACAGAGAUCCAAGUAGAUGCGCCUUGGACUGAAAUAGUUUUUCCCUGACAAUCCCUUGUCUUCAUAAUUAUCCUGCAUAUGUUGCUUGAAGUUGUGAAGAUUGAAGGGUAUUUUCAGGAAACCUUAUCUGUUGUCUUCUAAAUCUAGGUUAAAGUUUUAAGACUAUUUGAGCUGUUUGUCUAGUACUAUUAGAUAUUAUGUUGGGGUUUUGUGGUUUGAUCUGUGUAAGCAGUUAUCUUAACAUCCUAAAUGUUUGAAAUUGAAACUUUUGUUCUUCUUAUAUGGCCUAUAAUAUGCGAGAUAGAUUGUUUCCUUAUAUCUUCUAGCAUUUAUGAGAUUGUUGAAAUGGCCUUCGACUGGUUAGAUUAUUAUUUGAUUUUAUAUAGUCAUCAGAUCAGGUAUGUCAGCAGUUCUCGAUUCGAUCUGGGUUAUCAUUACAUCCAUCCAAAUCCAACAUAAUUAUUUGGUAUGGAGUAAAAAGACCAGGAGAUACUAUCCUUGCGGGUUUUAUCGAGGAUAAAACGCACUUGAAAGCAUUGAAAUUCACAUCUUUUUGUAUCGGCAAUAAUCUCAAAUUAAAUUAUAAUGAGUAAAAAAAAAACCGUUUUCAAAAUGAGUCUUUUAUUCGAUGCUUGUUGAAGAGGGGGAUCAUAAAUAAUGUAAUAUCAGCCAUUAAUACAUAAUUAUAAGUGUUCUACAUGUAAUAUAGGAUUUACAACAAAAACAGUAACUAGCUUAUUCAAAUAAAAGUGCCACAAAUUUGAGUCCUUGUGCUUGAACUAGAUUCAUCUUCAUUCCACCUUCCAAGUGAUCGAACCACUGCCAAAUGAUCUCAAAGCCAUUUCUUGAUAACAAAAUUCAUAUUUAACAGUCAGAUCAGAAUCAAAAUCACAGAUCGAUAAUCUUUCGAUUUCUUCCAUUUUCCUAUGUGUUUUCGCACUCCGAAAAUCAAAAGUUAUCAAUGGCAGAAAGGUUGUACUGCAUUAUAAGCCUUUCUACAACAUGUUGACUAACAACUUCUCUCAUAUGCAACUCCUUCAAUACUUGUGCUGCCAGCUCCAUUUGUCCUUCAUGAGCAAUCCCUUCCACAAGUAUGGUAUACGUUGUCUCGUUAGGCAUAUAGCCUUUCUCUAUCAACAUCUCGAAAACCUUCAAGGAGAGAUCAGUUCUGUGGGAUUUGCAGAAUCCUAAUAUAAGGGCAUUGAAAUUGUCAACAUCAGGCUUAAAGUUACUUUCUUCCAUUACCAUGAAAAUCUGCAUUGCUGCUUGCAGCAUUCCCUCCAAGCACAAUCCUCUGAUUAGUGAGGAAUAAGUGUACGAGUCUGGAGUGAAGCCAGACUUGGUCAUUUCAUAUAAAAGCUGAAAUGCUGGAUAUGUGUUCCCUUUUCUGCAUAAACUAGAAAUUACACUCUUGUAGAAAUCAUUCGGAGAGGAACUUUGUUUGCUCGCAAGGCUUUGAAAUAUGGAGAAUGCCUCUUGCACCAUUCCCUGCUCACACAGCACAGCAAUAGCAUUAUAUGUUCCUUCAUUAGGUUUACAACGUCUAUAGAUCAUCUGGUCUAGACACUUAACCACAAGAUCCACCUUCUCCUCUUGGCAAAGUUGAGCGAUUAUCGGGUUAUAACUUGUAGCACUGACUUUAAAACGUCCUCUAAUCAUUUCAUCUAAAACAUCCAUAGCAUGGUAAGUCCUGCCAUGGAGGGCAAGAGAACCAAUCAAAAUAUUGUAAGUAACUACAGAAGGAGAACGAUCAUCACCAUCCAUCUCCGCCAAAAGCUCAUUUGCUUCUUUCCACCGGCCCUCGUAACACAAAUUCCUUAACACUAUGUUAUAGCUCACAACAUUUGGAUUAAAUCCUUUAGCAGGCAAAUCUCUGAAGAACCUAAUAGCUUCAUCAGUCCUCCCUUCCUUGCACAACCCAGUCAACAAAACAUUGUAACUAACCAAAUUAGGCUUCCCACCUUUGGCAAUGAUCUCAUCCAAAAGCUUCGUUGCUUCAUUUACACCUUUUUCCUUAUAAGCAGCUUCAAGCAAGAAAGAAUAAGUGAAUUCAUUGGGAACUAGUCCUUUUUGUAUUAACCUAUCCAAAAGCUGCAAGCUUUGCUUCAAGUUUCCAUGCAUACAAAGACCUCUAACUAAAGAGUUAUAAGUAACAGUAUUAGUUGGAUAACCAUGAGCCUCCAUUUUUUCCACUAACUGCAUUGCAUGCCCAACAUUUCCUCGCUUGCACAAAUGAUUCACCAAGAAUGUAUACGAAGCUGCAUCAGGUAUGAUACCAGAAUCAACCAUCAUCUCCAUCACUCUAAUAGACUUUUUCAUCUUAUUAACCUUGCACAAAUCAUACAACAGCUGAGUAGCUUGAACUACAUCAGGCUUCUGUCCCUUCCCCACCAUAUAUUCCAUGUGAAAAUAUGCAUCGCUAAGCCUAAGUUCCCUACUUUUACUGUCACUCUUCCCAGUCUUCCAGUUGGGUAAAGUAAAAACAGAAUCUUUAGGAGAAAUUGUGAUCUGGGUAGUGGCUAAAACCUUGGAAAAGCCCUUGCUGAGUGAAAAAUAAUGAAGGUUCGCGAUUUGGUAAAAGAAACCAGAUGGUCUCCUUGUCGUUUCAGGUGACGGGUUUGUCAAAAAAGAUAUAGAGUUGAUUAAAGUUGCCAUGGAUUACAAAAACAAAGAAAAAAAAGUAUGACAGAAAGAGUAAUUCAAUUCCUGUUGAGGAGUAAAAAGGAAAACAGAAAGCGAUGAAUCUAAGUUCAGCAAAUAUUUUCUAAGAGAAACUGAAGAGAAUAAGAAGGAUGAACAUACAUAUAACUUGGUGGAGUGGGCUUUGAAAUGAAGAUUGUUGGGUGGCUUUUCUUCAGUGAGGAGAGCUUCUUUUACUUUGGCUAGAGGGCAAGGGCAGAGACUCACCUCGUCGCCUGCCCAUUGCCAUCCACUGCUCUUUCCCUCGUUAUCCAACUGCAGCUGGUGGACAAUUUUUUUAGCUACCUACGCGCUGUUUACUAGUAUGAUAGCCACGCGCUGACUCUCCUGAACUUCCCGCAAUGUUAAUGCUUUUUUAAAGCCAAGCUUCUCGGUAUUGAGUUGUGAUAUUAACUUUUAGGUAUUUAAUGAAGAAAAAUUUAGAUUAAAAUAUUCUUUAACCAAACAGAGUUGAUAUACACACAAAUUCACUAACCAUUUUUAUAAUCGAGGGCUGGCCAAGCACGGUGAAACAUUUCCCUUCCUUAGGCUUAGCACGUGCCUUGAAAUGUGUCACACAUUGCGAGGUGUUAAGGUAAACUGAUGAGCUCGCAAACUAAUAAGCUUGCAGAUUGACGAACUCUCUAAUUAGCGAGCUCACAAACUGGCAAGCUUGUAAAGCAACAGAAGCGGCUCGCCACAUGCGCGGUGAAAAAACACGCGACGACAAAAGAACCGCGAAGUUAUUCGUAAGAAAGGGCUAAAAUUAUAACCAUACCAAAAACAUGUGUAAUAAACGUGUUCACUAAGUUCCAUUCCAAUCCCAUUUCGUCAAAAUACUCUAAUUUACAAUUCAAAGAUUUGGGGUGUGACAAUCACACACCUAAGUUUAAGUAUUGUAACAAGUAUAAAAAGAUUGUUCCAAUAGAGAGCUAUUAUUAAUUAUAACACUAAUCACCAACUAUUACUCUAUAAUUUAUCCAAAUAAAUCAAUAACAAUUUUUUUAAAAAUUUAAAUUAGCUAAUAAAAUUAAAAAAAUUAAUCAAUAAAAAAAAACUAGUAUUACAAUUUUAUCCAAUGAAUUAACUAAUUAUUAUAUCUCCACCCAAUUUAUCUUGAUAGAGUUUAUUACUAAUCUCGGUACUAAGAUUCCCUUAAUUCUUUAUUAAUCUAUUUAAAAAAUAAUUUAAUGUAAUUAUUGUGUUAUAUUUCUAUGUCAAUAAUUCAAACCAAAUCAAUUAAAAAUUGUUAUAUCCCCAUCCGUAUAAGGACAAGUGGCAAGCUGGAAGGCCACCUCAAACUGGAAGGUCACGCACAAGCCUUCAUCUCGACACAACCAUUUGGACAAACACAAAUCAUCUGUUGCCCAAACCCUUAGGCUUCCGUGAGAAACAUGAUGCCUUUGGUCCAAAUAUGACAUGUGUUCAACUUCUCUAUAACAUCAAGCCAGAUUGAAUGGCAAGAUCUAUCUCAUCACAGACAUCCUUGUCUUAUCGAAGACAUCCACCCCAUGUAACACCCCUAACCCGUAUCCGUCGUCGAAAUAAGGUUAUGGAGCAUUACCGUAAAAACAUAACAUAAAAACACAAGUUUCCAAACAUUUAAUUAAACAUAGCAUAAUCAAUUCAUAUUCAUACAUGUCGUCUCUUAUUCGAGCACUCGAGGCCUUAGAAUCACUUUAGAAACAAUUCAGGACUAAAUCAAAAACAUUUGAAACAUUAAGGAAAAAGUUAGAAAAAUUCAAACUGCAAGGGUCACACGGUCGUGUCCCAGCUCGUGUCUGUACUCGUGUAACUCUCUGACUUAGGUCACACGGCCAAGCCACACGCCCGUGUGCCAGGCUGUGUGCUAGGGCGUUUAACUGCCUGACUUGUAACCUUUGAAACCUAUAGAGGACAUAUGGUUGUGUCGCAUGGCCGUGUGUCACACACGUCCAAGACACAUGCCCGUGUCUUACGCCGCGUGGACAAGAAAUUGGCCAAAAACAAGCCAUUUCCAUCACCCAUUUCAACCAUGCACCUAAACACAAAUUGCACAUAUGAUCAAGGCAUAAAAACCUACCCAAAACAUACAUAAUAAGACCAAUUUAAUAAGCCAUCAUCCAUCCAACCAAUAUGCCAUUAAGGCACCUCAAUCACAAAGCAUCAAACAUAUCUAAACAUAUGUCUAAUUGGUCAUAUUUCAUACAAGCACAUUUAACUAAAUUCCAUAUUCAAGCUUACCAUAAUUAACCAUAUUGCAAACAUGCCAAACUUACCACUUUGGUCAUAAAACCAGGCAUCAACUUGACCAUAUUAACACCAACCAUCAAGGCAUCAAAUUCCAUAAGUACAUAAACCAUAAUGACACUUAUACAUACCAAAACAACAACUAGAUCAUUUAUACACAAGUCCACCUAUACAUGCCAUUAUAACUUUGACCAAAACAUUAAAAUCUACCAAUAUAAUCACUGGAUAGUAUGAUAGGUCUCCGACGAGCUUCCAAACUGAUCGAGCUUCCGAUAAUCUAUAAAACAAAGGAAAGAAAACUACGUAAGCAUAGAAUGCUUAGUAAGUUCGUAAAUCAUGAACAUAGCUUACCAUUUCAAUACAAAACCUUAUAUACUAAACAUGAAUCAAUCCAACAUAAGCUUGACACAAGCCUAAGCAUCAUCAACAACAUAAGUUAGUGCUUUGACACAUAACUUAAUAAAAUCAUCACAUGGUAAGAUAAAUUUCAUGAACAUAAUAUCUUUGAAUUCAUACUUUCCAUAAUCAUGAAUAUACAUACAUUGAUCAUUGACAUUUCAUACAUUUCUAUAGGUUCAUAAUAUAGUCGAUCGGAACACUUACCGUUCCUUCCCUUUUCAUGCUCAUUGAACCACUUAGAAUAAUAUCGGAUAUGCAGGAAGCUCACACAAAGUGUGCUAUACAUAUGGUCGAAACCAUUCAUUUUCCUUUUCAUUUACAUCAUUGCUCACUCGAGCUAUAAAUGAGUCUACUCACACAAGAUGAUGGUCAGAAUUUAUCUACAUGAUGCCACUCACACAAGCUGACGAGUAUCCGUUACAAAUGUCGACGAGGCACUGGUGUUAAUUUAGCCAGAGUCGAAUAAAGAAUUUGUGAUCUAUAGUGAUGUAUCGUUAAAUGGUUUGGGUUGUGUAUUGAUGCAAGAGGACAAAGUGAUAGCAUAUGCUUCUAGACAGUUGAAACUGCACGAAAAGAAUUAUCGACACACGAUUUAGAGCUUGCAACGAUUGAAUUUGCUUUGAAGAUUUGGCGACACCAUUUGUAUGGAGAAAAAUACCAUAUCUUCACGGACCAUAAAAGUCUGAAAUACUUAAUGUCACUGAAUGAUUUGAAUUUGAGACAGCGCAGAUGGCUCGAGUUAUUAAAAGACUAUGAUUUAUCAUUGAUUAUCAUCUAGGAAAAGCUAAUGUUGUUGCUAAUGCUUUGAGUAGAAAGUCUUUGUUUUCUUUACAAGCUUUGAACACGCGGUUGACAUUAAUUAAUGAUGGUUCUAUUUUAGCUGAGUUGAAAACUAGACUGAUAUUUUUGCAACAAAUUUGCUAGACUCAAAAAAAUGAUGAUGUAUUGAAAGCUAAAUGAAAAUAAAUUGAGACGAUUCUUGAUUCAGACUUUCAAAUUGAGACCAAUGAUAGUUUAUACUUCAAAGGUAGAAUUUGUGUAUCGAGAAAUUCUGAUCUUAUUCAGAAGAUUAUACAGGAAGCUUACAAUAGUCUAUUGUCUAUUCAUCUUGGUAGCAAUAAAAUAUACAGUGAUUUGAAACAAAUGUAUUGGUGGCCGGGUAGGCAGAAUUUGUGUACCGAUAAAUUCUGAUCUUAUUCAGAAGAUUAUACAGGAAGCUCAAAAUAGUAGCAUGUCUAUUCAUCCUAGUAGUAAUAAAAUGUACGGUGAUUUGAAACAAAUGUAUUGGUGGCUAGGUAUGAAACGAGGGAUUUCUAAAUUUGUAUCUAGAUGUUUAGUAUGUCAGCAAGUUAAAACCGAGCAUCAAGUACCUUCCAGUUUGUUACAGCUAGCGAUGAUUCCAUAGUGGAAAUGGAAACGUGUCACGAUGGAUUUUGUAUCGAGAUUACCUCUAUCUCUGAGAAAGAAAAACGUUGUUUGGGUCAUUAUUGAUCAUUUGACAAAUUUUGCACAUUUUAUUCCAGUGUAUACAGAUUAUUCACUCGAGAGAUUAGCAGAUUUAUAUGUUGCUGAGAUUGUCAGAUUACAUGGGGUGUCAAUUUCUAUUAUUUCUGAUAGGGAUCCGCGAUUUACAUUUCGAUUUUGGAGUAGGUUACAUGAGGCUCUAGGUACUCGUUUACUUUUUAAUACCGCAUUUCAUCCUCAGACUGAUGGUCAGUUCGAGCAAGUGAUUUAGAUACUCAAAGAUAUGCUUCGAUGUUAUGUUCUAGAGUUUGAAGGUAACUGGGAGAGAUUCCUAUCGUUAGUUGAAUUCACAUACAACAACAGUCAUCAAUCGAGCAUAAAGAUGGCACCAUACAAAGCUUUAUAUGGUCGAAAGUGUCGAACUCUAUUGUAUUGGACCGAGCCUAGUAAGAAAAAGCUUUACUGGGUUGAUUUGAUAUGAGAAACCAAAGAAAAGGUUAAAGUGAUUCAAGACAGUUUGAAAGCAACUUUAGAUCAACAGAAAUUGUAUACGGAUUUGAAAAGAAAAGACAUUGAAUUUCAAGUCAGCGAUAAAGUGUUUUUAAAAGUCUCACCCUGGAAAAAAGUUCUUCGAUUCGGUCGUAAAGAAAAGCUAAGUCCGAGGUUUAUUGGGCCAUUUGAGAUCACUGAAAGAAUCAGGUCAGUAGCUUAUAGAUUAGCUUUUCCAUCAGAUAGGGAUCCGUGAUUUACAUCUCGAUUCUGGAGUAGGUUACAUGAGGCUCUAGGUACUUGUUUACUUUUUAAUACCGCAUUUCAUCCUCAGACUGAUAGUCAGUCUGAGCAAGUGAUUUAGAUACUCAAAUAUAUGGCUCAAUGUUGUGUUCUAGAGUUUGAAGGUAACUGGGAGAGAUUCCUAUCGUUAGUUGAAUUCGCAUACAACAACAGUCAUCAAUCGAGCAUACAGAUGGCACCAUACAAAGCUUUAUAUGGUCGAAAGUGUCGAACUCUAUUGUAUUGGACUGAGCCUAGUGAGAAAAAGCUUCAUUGGGUUGAUUUAAUAUGAGAAACCAAAGAAAAAGUUAAAGUGAUUUGAGACAGUUUGAAAGCAGCUUCAGAUCAACAAAAAUCGUAUACGGAUUUGAAAAGAAAAGACAUUGAAUUUCAAGUCGGCAAUAAAGUGUUUUUAAAAGUCUCACCCUGGAAGAAAGUUCUUCGAUUCGGUCGUAAAGAAAAGCUAAGUCCGAGGUUUAUUGGGCUAUUUGAGAUCACUGAAAGAAUCAAGUCAGUAGCUUACAGAUUAGCUUUGCCAUAGAAGUUAGAAAGGAUCUGUAAUGUUUUUCAUGUGUCGAUGUUACAAUAGUAUCGAUUAGACCCUUCACACGUGAUUUCACCAGUUGACGUUGAGAUUCAGCCUGAUAUAACGUACAGUGAAUAACCGAUCAGAAUUCUAGCUUAAGAGGUUAAAGAAUGGAGAAACAAAAACAUAACUUUAGUAAAAUUUCUUUGGCAACAUAAUGGUAUAGAAGAGGCCACCUGGAAACUAGAAGAAGCUAUGAAAAUGCAAUAACCAAACCUCUUUUCUGGUAAGAUUUUCAAGGAUGAAAAUUCCUUUAGGGGGAGAGUUCUAAUAGCUCGUUUUUAGUGAAAACAGAACAGUGGUUUUGGGACCACAAAUCUAACGUGAAAAUAUUUAUUUCAUUAUUUUUUUAAUGUCUACGGUAUGCUAGUAGUGUCAUAUAAAAAUUUUGUUAAGAAAUUUUAAUGUUUGCAUGCUUAAUUUCGUGAAAGUGACUAAAUUGAAAAAGGUUUAAAAGUGGAGUGCUAGUAGUUAAAGGUAUCUAUUAGCUAUGUGAUUAAUUUUUUAAGGGAUUUAAAUGGUAAUUAAACCAUUAUUCUUAUGAGUGGACUAAUAUGCACACUAGUGUAGUGAUUUUUUAAAGGUUAAAAGAAGGUUAAUUUAGUAAUCAGCAUAUUAAUCUUAAAUUAAAUAAAACAGAUUGGUUUCAUCUUUUCUAUGUUUCUUCUUCACCGAAAAUUGAAGGAAAUGAUAAACAUUUUUAGGGUUCUAAGCUUUGGUAUUGAUUUCUUUUUGCAUGGUAUGUAUUCAAUCCCCGUUUUUAAUGAUUUUUAUGUUUUCAGGAUCGUUGUAGCAUAAUCUAACUAGCCCGGGGACUAAUUUGCAAAACUGUUAAAAUUUUAGGGUUUUUCCAUGAACAUAUUUGUGUGGUUCUUGAAAUUUAUUGAAAGAUUUUGAGUCCUUACUGUUAAAUAAAUAACUUUUGUAAAGUGAUUUUUGAUGAAAUUAUCAUUUAGGGACUUAUUUGUAAAAGUAAUAAAAUCCCAUGAUAAAUUUGUGAAAUGAUGUUUUGGAUUGGUUGAUAUGAGUCCCUAGGUAAAUUGUCUAGCAUGAUAUGUGGAUGAAAUUGCAUAAAUUUCAAUUUACGAGCUUAAGGACUAAAUUGUAAAGAAGAUAAAAUAAUAGGGGUAAAAUUAUAGUUGUGAAAAGUUAAUUUUGGAUUAAAUUGAAUAGUAUGUAUAUUAAAUAGAUUGAAUUUUCUUAUUUAGACCAAAUUAAGCCUCGUACGGAUCUAGAUUGAGGAAAAGAUAAAAUCUCAUAUUAGUGAUCCUAUCUCGACGUCUUUAUGUUCGUGGUAAGUUAUGGGAAAUUAUUAGAUAUUUACCGUGUUUUGUUUCUGAAAUUUGAAAUAAUUUAUUGUAUUUUUUGAAACAAAUUAAAUGAAUUCUUUUUUUUAAUUGCAGAUUUGCAGCAAAUGGGUUCUUUGAUUAAUAAUAAUAAUGAUAAUAAUAAUAAUAAUAAUCACAUAUCAAGUACUAUUAAUGAGAUGGUAAUAAAAGUUAUAUUUGAUACUCAUGUUAUUUGCUAAAUUAAAUUAUAUUGUAUUAACUAUUUUGCUAAUUUAAUAAUGUCAGGGUCUGUACCGCGUAUUGAGGGGCCGUGUUAAUAGUGUAGGGUUUCUGCCAGAUGAACGCCUAAUACCAUACUUAGAGUUAGCCGGGUUCAGAUCAGCGGCAUUGAUCCAGACUUUUGAUCUACGAUACGACUUGAUUUCCGCUUUAGUCGAGCGAUGGCGUCCAGAGACCCAUACAUUUCAUUUGCCGAGCGGGGAGUGUACCAUCACUCUAGAGGAUGUUGCACUACAAGUCGAGCUUCCCAUCGACGGGAAUGCGGUCACGGGCGUAAGUUCAAUCUCUAGGCCGGCUACCCUUUGCUAUGAAUUACUUGGACGCUUGCCAAGUGGGGGGAAAUUUACCAGUUUGAAAUUUUCAUGGCUAAAGGCCAAUUUUGAGCAUUUGCCGAGUACUGCCAAUGAAUGGGAUGUGAUACAGGCCGUUCGAGCUUACAUUAUACACCUUAUAGGGGAUGUACUCAUGCCGGAUGCAAACGGCAAUACGGUCCACUUGAUGUACUUACCCCUAUUAUCCAAUUUGCAUAACACCCGUUCAUACAGUUGGGGGUCCGCUAUAAUGGCCUAAAUACAAGGUUAUCGGAAUAGUGGUUUCGUAACCACAAAUCUGAUUUAAAGAGAAAUUUAUUUUAAUAUUUUUGCAUAAAUAUUGAUAUGGUAGGAAAAUUGUAUGAAAAUAUCGAUAGAAAAAUUUUACCGAUUUAGUGGUUAGUUAAAAAAAAUUUAUUGAAAAAAUUUGGUAAAAACAAGGUAUCGGGACCUCGAUCUCGUAAAACCGAGUCAAAAAUAUUUUUUAUAAAUAUUUAUGAAAUGUUAGUAAUAUGGUAUUAAAUUUUUGUUAGAAAAUUUCUACGUUUGGGUAGUUAAUUAAGUAAAAAGGACUAAAUUAAAAAGGGUGUAAAAGUUAUUAGGAGGAUUAAAUAGCUCAAUUGUUGAAUGAGGAGGGACAUAAAUUGCAAAUAAGCCUAAAAGGAGAUAUUUUGGGCGGCAUAAGCUGAGAAAAAUCUGGAGAAUUGGUGAAAUAAGGGAAAAAUGGGAAAAUAACAAAAUUUACUAAAAUAAAAAUGGGACCAACUUGUAAUAUCUAGAAUUCUCUUCAUAUCUUCUUCACUAUCAUCAGCCAAAAAUGUCCUAAGGGUUUAUUCAAGCUGGUAUUUCAUAAUUUUUGCACCAAGUGGUUAAUCCUUGCCUUUUUCUUGUAAUUUUUGUGUUUCUAAGACUUUUACAACUAGGUCCUAUUACUAAAUUCAUUAGUUUUUGAUUUCAUGGAUGAAAUUGAAAGUCAUCAUGGUUGAGUGCUGUAAGUUUAUGAUGAAAUAGCAUGAAAUUGAAGCUUUAAUUUCAAUAGAAAUUGAUUUGCAGGAUCUAAUUGUGAAAAAGUUUGGAAUCAAAGUCUAGUGCUAAAAUUCAGAUUUUCAAAGGUUAUAAAGUAGUUUAAAGUGAUAUAAUAAUGUGUUAAUUGGGAAAAAUCAUCUCAAUUGAGAGGUUAAUUGAGCAGGGACGAAAUUAUCAUUUAUUGAAAGCUUAGGGGGAAAAUGGUAAUUAAUAUCAUGCACUAAAACAGUUUUGGACAGCAGCAGUAGGUUAACUUUGAAAAAUCACCAUAAAUUUUAGAAAUUGAAUUAGAGGAUGAAUAAAUUAUGAAAUUAAAUAUUAUUCAGUCUAGUUUCUCAUAGAAGAAACGUGUAAGCAAUGGAAUUGUAAAUUAUGAGAUAUAAUAGGUUUUGUGAGACAAGGUCAGAAUGGUUUCGGGUUCCUCUAUUCUGAAUUUGGAAAAUCAUCAAAAAUUGUAGGAAAAUAAUUAGGGGCUUAAAUUUGUAUUUUUAAAAUACUUAAUUAGUCUAUUUUCAAAAGAAACAAACGAGAAAAUCAUCCGAAUUCUGUACUAGGAGAUAAUUAAUUUUUAGUGAAGAAUGGUCAAAACUGUCAGACAGCAAAAUAGGGAUGACUUUAAAGAAUAAACUGUACUUAUUGGCUAAAUCAAAAAUUCUGAAAAUUUUAUUUUAAGAAGAGAUGUGAGUCUAGUUUCGGGGAAAAUUAACGGAUUUUAAUUUGGAGUUCCGUAACUCAAGAUAUAAAUAAUUUAGUUACUAUGACUCAAGGAGACAGCUCUGAAUGAAUUAUAAAUAAUAAUGGGAUUAGAGAGAAUGCUACAUAUGAACAUUAAAUGUAUUAAAUUAAUGAUUAAAUUUAUUUAUUUAAAUCCAAAAAAUUCAAAUACGAAGCUAGAUCGAGGAAAAGAAAAAGUUCAGGAUUAGUAGAUUUUUGCAUACGAACAAGUAUCGAGGUAAGUUCGUGUAACUUGAAUUAUAUUCUUAACUGCUUGAAAUGUUUGUUAUUGAUGUGAAUAUGAUUUGAAUGUUCAUUGUAUAAAAAUUGAUGAAACAUUGAUAUAUUUGAUAAAAAGGGGAAGAAAUCCCGGUUGAAUGGAAGGAAAAUUCAAUGGAUCUUUAAAAAUGAAUUGACGGUAAAAAGGAUCUAGCUCGGACGGGUGAUCCUAUCCUGAUAUAGCCCUCCCGAAGAAUAUGUGGAAAAUGGAUUUAGCCCGGAUGGGUAAUCCAAAUUAGGGUCUGAAUUUAGCCUGGACUGGUAAUUCAGAUCGAAGCUCAUUAGAGUAAUUGUCAUUGCAGGGGAUUUAGCCUGGACUGGUAAUCCCGACAAUACUCUAUGAGUUUAUAUUAUAGGGGAUUUAGCCUGGACUGGUAAUCCCGCUGUAAGGAUGAGGUUCGCGGGAGUGUGCUCUUUGAAAUGGAAAUGUGCGCACAUGAAUAUGAAUUGACGGACCUGGAUUUGUACACUUAGGUGUACCCCUGAAAAUCCAUCGAAAUUCCAAGUAGUUCAACGGGAUAAAUAUGGAAAAAUAACAAUGGAAUGGAAAUCAUGGAAUUGAUGAGCUCAUCAAUCAUGGUAUAUAUUAUUGAUACAUGGAAAUUAUUGAACUAACUUGAAUGUUGAGUUUGUGCAUGUUAGGGGAAUAAUGCAUUGAAUAGAUGUAUGAAUAUUUAUUGCAUUGUAUUGAAAAUAUUAGGUAAGUAUAAUUCUUGUUACAUGAGCUUACUAAGCACAAAGUGCUUACCCUGUUUUCUUUUUCCCUGUGUUGUAGUGUUAAGAGCUCGGAGGUCGGAUUUAGUCGGAGACGCAUCACACUAUCAACCUCAAGAUCUCGGUAUAUAAAAAAAACUUUAUUUUGGAAAUCAAUGGCAUGUAUAAGCUGGUAAAGUAAAUGUUAAUGUGAAAUGAAUGUAUUGUUAGCCAUUGGUAUGGCUAACAAAUUUUGGUUUUGGUAGGUGAUGAAGUUAUCUUAUGAAUAUGUUAAAUCUAUCUUGAAUAUAUGUUGAAAUGGAUUGGUUGUGUUGGAUUGGUCUCGGUUUAAAAUUGCAAGAGAGAUUAGAUAUUUAUAAAGGGGUUAUAUUGAGUUCAUAAAAAAAUAAAAAAUAAAAAAUUUCUUAUGGUUUCGAUUUAAUCCCGGUUUUGGUUCCGGUGUAUGUUUUGGGCUUCGAAGGCCCAUCCAAGGGACGUCAUGACAUGUUUUGAUAAAUGAAUAGUAUUUAACUCGUAAUAACAAAAAAUUUAUUCGGUAAAAUCUGGUAAUGCCUCAUACCCUAUUUCAGCGACGAAUACGGGUAAGGGGUAUUACAUCCGCAGUUUUAGCCAUACUGUAUUGCAAACCUUGUCGGACGACAGAUCCUUCUGCGAUGGACAUAGGCGGAUGCCUCAUACUGCUACAGUCGUGGGCACUAUACCGGAUGUCAUUCUUGGCAUCCAUUAGUCACCAAUCAUACAUAUUUCCACUCGUUAAUACGUGAUGAAUUUUUACUCGUUAUAAGAAUUAGUUGAAUUUUUUUUAGAUUAUAUUGUUUUAACAAUUUGUUUUCGUAGAUGGAGUACUAAUUCGGGUAUCGAGAGGUCAUACACGGUUCCGAUAUAUCAUCUGAUGAUUGAGAAUCAUGCUGGAGAGGGGGUAAGUUUUUCCAAUAUAAACAUAAUUUUAUUAUUUUAUCUCACUCGACCCACGUUAAUAUAACAAUGUUAUUAACCGUGCAGUUCAUUUGGAUGUCGUAUUCUGUUCCAGAAAUUAUGGCGGUUAUUCCCUCAUCUGCCCACGUCCACUCAAACCUAUGGUGUAUUAGCGCACCCGUUAUCAAUUUUCAGGUAGUGGAGUGGUAUCUUGGCGAUCGAGUACUCUGGCAGUUCGGUUGCAUACAGUAUAUCCUGACACUACCAGUACGAUUGGGAGAAAUCCAUAGGAUGAGCAGGAGGGGGAGGUAUGGAAAUGAUUGGGGAGAAGUGCAUGAAGAAUAUAUUACGAUGUGGAACAACCAAUUGGGGAGGGUACCUCAGGUGGAUCGUAUUUUGGAUCUGUAACCCUCAGAGUACAUACAGUGGUACUGUGAGAUAGGGAAACCAUUUUUGUUUGGUGGGCGGUCAAUGGUAGUCCUUCCGCAUACGACACGAAUUGGGCAACCCCUUCCAGAUCUACGUCAUGCACCAGAGCCAGAGCCAGAGCCAGAGCCGGAGCCGAAGGCAGAGACGGAACUACAUUCUAGGGAUAGUUCUUAUUGUCUAGAUUUGGGGGCAAUAACUAUUUCCCGGGCUCGUCAGGCCACGGAUAUCAUUCAGAGUUUGAUAUCUUUAGCCCACUACCACCUCAGUACUCUAGUCAUCCUAGCUCAUAUCCACCUCAGUACUCCGCUCUUUCCAGCCCGUAUCCAUUGACGUACUCUAUUCCUCCCGGCUCAAGUUCAUUGAUGGCAUUUGAGACAUAUGAUUUUUCAUCUAUGUUUCGCACACCCCUACAUACAGAUGACGAGAACCUUGAUCAUCGUAAUCGCCCGCAAUGUGAACGUCGGGCUCCACAAAAAUAUACCCCUAGAACCACACCAUCAAACCAUCAAUUUUAGGGGAAAAAUUGAUUGACUAUCAAUAUAAAUAACUUCAUAUUUAUGUAAUGAAUAUAGUUGAUUGACUAUCAACAUACGAUAUCGGAUAGGGGAAAAAUUAAGCAAUAGUGGGCCCCACCAUUCAUGCCACUGAGUUAGGCACAACUAGUCGCGCCUGUGAGAUAGGCUCAACUAGUCGCGCCUCUGAGAUAGGCUCAACUAGUCAGCAUGUAUUUCGUAUUUAUACCCGGGUUAUAUACUGAUCAGGGAAAAAAAUUAAUAAUAUUUUAUUAAACGAGAAAAAAAUAAAAUAUUUUAAUAUAAAAAAUUGAUUCGCGCCUGUCAAAUAGAUGCGAAUAAAGAAAACGUACCAUUUCGAUAAUUAAUCUAGCAGACAACUUAUUUAGGUAUUUAAAAUUUUUUUUAAUAUAUUUAGGUAAAAAAACCCUCGAGUUUCCACUUCCCAGCUUUCCCUCCUUCAAUCUUGCUCAAAGUUGGGAACAUCUUUUUCUUCUUGGCUUUAUCGUAUGUCAAUUUUCCUUUCCACCUUUUUUUAUAUAUAUAUUUUUAAUCUGUAUUAAUUAAUUUCGGGGAUUUAUUCGUUAAAUUAAGUUGAUUUAGCGAUUUCAGUUGUGUUUUUGAGUUCGAUGUUUUAUAUUUUCAGAAAUAGGAAAGAAAUUUGGUGAUUUUCAUUCCGAAUUUCGGAUCGACUCUCAAUUGGUUUUUCUCCGUGUGCUCGUAGUCGAUAGGAUUAUUAGUUGUAAUCCAUAUAUGACAUUUAUUUUUAUUAGAAAAUGAAUUAUUUGGAUGGAAUUUGAUUCGUUCUGACAAUGCAAGCUUUGAUAUAUUUUCAGCUUUUAUUCCUUGCAAUUGCUGACCGCGAGUGUUUGUGCCCUGUCGCCACCACUAUUAUCUCUCGGUAUGCUCUUUUCCUAUGCUAAUUUUCUUCUAAUACUCUUAUUUGGUUCUGUUUGCUUUAUGAUAAUAUUUUGUCACGGUUUUUCAGCGCGGACGCAGUCAAAGUUGCAAAUAAAUGCGGUGAUAGCUUCUUGCCGUCAAAGUUUGUACGCGAAUUAAGCCAAUAGGCCUUGGCUUGGAAUUACAGUCUAUUGUUGGAAGAAAUAGAAGGCAAUCUUUCUCUGUUGUAUGUGCUGCAGCUUUGAAGGGCGAAACCAGAAAAUUUGUAUGAAAUUUUAAUUUUUAAUAAUCUAUAUCUUAUAAUUUUUAAAAUAUUAAAUUAAAUUUUAAUAAUUUUAUGAAAAGUCAAAGUACAAUUUUACCUCUUUAUUAAUUUAAAACUUUAAAAUUUUUUAAAGAGCCACCAAGCCCCCCUCUGGCUGCUUUGGUAAGCUUGUCACUAUAAUAACUGCUUUUUGUUCAUUUUUGCUACUUAUUGAAAUUUUUCAUCCAGGAAGAAUAGCAUAGAGAGAGAAUGUUAUUUGUCUUUGUUGGAUAUCAAAUUCAAAACUAUAUGUGUGUUUGUGUUCUACUAGCAUAAACAGAUUUAAAUCCUGAAAUAGUUAUAGUGAAGAGCUAAAAGUAUCAAGGAAGCCUUUGUACUAGGAGUCGAGUUGUAUUUUGCCCCCUCUAUUAAAAACAUGAGUAAAUUAGUUCUUAUACAUUAUAUCAUUGAGUAAACUAGUUCUCUUGUAAAAAAAUUCAUCUUUCUUUUACUAUUAAAAAUUGGCCCCUAUUAAUGAGAUGCAUGUCUGUUUGGUUAUUUUGUCAAACAAGUUAGUUUUUAAAAAUCGAUAUGGAUGAAAUUUUUUAAUGUAUAGGAACUAAUUUUCUCAAUUUUUAAGUAAAGGAGAUAAAAUAAUAUUUAUCUUCUAGCCUUCAUCGGAAGAACUUCACAACUUGUAUUCAUAAAUGCUUAUGUUUACGUGUGUACUGCUUUCAACAUGCUAAAAGUUGACGGUUUAAUGAAAUUGGUACUGAGUUUUUUACUUGGUUUGUUUUUUCCUGCAGAAUGCAACAUGCAGCGCAUCUGGGCAAAGUCAGACCGGUACUCGCGAGGCACCAACAAUCACCCAAGCUCCUGUCCAUUGUAAUAACAAACAUAUAAACUUUCAAUACUUUGCUAAAAUUUGUUAGAUGUAUUCCUUUUUGUGUUUUUCAAGUGAACAUAGAGCUACCCCACCUUAACCAAAAUGGUGACUAGGAAGGCUAUGAUGGGCUAGAUGAUUUUGUUAGAAUAAUUGACGACAUAUGGCGGUAGACAAUUCUCAUGCUUUUUUUACAUUUUGCCAUGCCACGUCCAAGCUUGCACGAUCUUAUGUUGCAUCUUAUGGCGGUAGAUAAAUACUUUGUUUGAGCUAUAACUAUAAGUUGCUCACAUGAAGUCCAUGGAUUUGAUCUACUCUUUAUUCUUCAAAUGUUUACGAGAACGUAUCAUUUAAAUUGCUUAAUAUGGUUUUAUUGAAUUGCAGCAGAGGAGAAGUCGCCACAACUUGAUGACGGUGAUUUCCACCCUGUGAUGAUGACGUUGAUGGAGGCAACUGGUCAGGUGGAUUCUUCCUGCUCGGAUUUCUUACGUUUUUAGGCUUCUUAAAGGAUAAAGAAAGUGAAGAGGAUUACCAGGAUAGUCGAAGGAGAUAGAUUUGCCGAUUGAUAAAAUUUUGUGGAACCUAUUGCACCUUGAUUCUAAUGUUGAGGUCCUUUUGAUAAUGAAUAAUCUUCAAGGUGUGUUUGCAGGGAAUUAGAGAAAGGAUUUAAUUUCUGACAAGGUUUUGAAAAUUCGACAUUCUUUUAUAUAUUAAAAAUUCCAAAAUUGAAUUAUCUUGUUUCGUAUAAAUAAUGAAGAAUUCUAAGAUUUAUAUGGAAUUUUAAAAGGUAUUUAAACAAUUCAAAUUUCAUUUAAAUUUGUAGCUUUUCAUUUUUUUUUCAAAUUUUCGUAUUUAAUUUACAUUGUUUAAUUAUAAAAGAAACUUAAAUAAAAGUCAUUUUAUUUAAUUUUAGUAUAUAUAUAUAUUAGAGGUGGUAAAAAGGGAAGUUUGUAUCGGGUUUUUUUGGAAUUGAAUUUUUUUUAGUUUGAUUUGUUGGGCACGGAUCGGUUUAGACCGGUGAUGAAUUCAAAUUAUUUUAAAUUUUUUAAGUUAUAAAUUUUUAAUUUUGAAUAUAACACUUAUCAAUUUAAAUUCAUCUUAUAAAAAACAUAAAUUAUAUAUAUGUAACAAAGGUAGUUGAUACAUACUUGAAACGUUCCUCAAUUGAAGCCAAGUAAUUUGGGUUCAUGUUCCUCAAUCGAUAUCAAGUAAUUUAGGUCCAGUACAAUCCAAAUUUAUGUGUGUUUCGGCUGUUCCCAAUAUAUUUCGACUCAUUUUGGCCUAUAUCGACUUAUACUCGUGCAUAACAGCCUAUACCGGUUCGUACAAAAUUUUAAUAUUUUAAACCCAACUUUUAUUUUUUUUAUCUUAAACAUUUUAAAGUUACUGAACCCAAUUAAUAAUUUUAAAACUUACAUUUGCAUAUAAUUAUAUAUACAUUAAUAUAGUUGAUUAAGAACCUAAAAAAUAAUAAUUAAGAUAUAUUUCCAUGUGUAUAUAUAUAAUUUAUGAAGAAACUAAAAUUUAAACUAUAAAUAUAUAAAUAUAUGUGAAAAAAAUACUAAACCUAAAAUGCAUGAUACACUAAAAACACUAACAUUGGUACAUAUCAAUAUCAGGACAAAAAUGGUACACUCACUAGUACGAUACUGAUUACCUUAAUAGAGAUAUUUUAUAUAAAACGAUUACAGUUCUUUUUAUAGGUAAAAUUUAUGAUUAUAUGAUAUGUAUAUAAAUUUAAUAAACAAUAUCAUUAUAUGAUAUGCAUAAAUUUUAUAUAUUUGAUUUAUUAUAAUAAUCUAUAAUCUCACUCUUUAUAUAUAAAAGCAUGAGUUUAGAAAAACAAUUUUUAUUUUAUUACUGAAUAAAAUUCUAAGCAUCUUAACUAUCACUUAAUUAAUAUUAGAGUUAAUUAUGUUAAUUAGUUAUUAAUUUGAAUAAUGAUACUUUGCAUUAAUUAUAUAAAUUAAAACUAUAUUAUAUGUUCAGUAUGUUAAAAAGGGUUUAAUUAUAAUUUGAAAAAUUUUCUAUUAUAAUAUUUGGAUUGAUAAGUUAAUAUAUUUUAAUUACAUUCAAUAAUUCAAAUAAGAAACAUUAUUUUACGUUAAUUACUACAAUUAAAAAUAAAAUAUUUAAAAAAUUAGUUAAAUAUUAAACAUGUAAAAUCACAUGCAACACAUGUGACAUUAGAAGGUAGUAUCUAUAAAAGUAUGGAUUUGAAAAAGGUUUUAAAUUGAUGAAAAUAUAUUUUAUUAUUUAUUAUAUUACUAUAUUGACAAUUGAAGAACUUUUUUUUUCUUACUAAAUUUAUAAACUUAAUACUCAUAUUCUGAAAUAAUUAUUUCAAAACCCAAAUAUAUUAUCUUAAGUCCAAACCCAAAUAACAUACUGAUUGUUAUUCAACCCCAAAAUAAACUAAUUAUAUCUUAAGUCCAAAAUAACAACAAUAAACUCAAUACCCAAAUACAAUUUGUAAAACUUAAAAACCCAAUUCAAAAACUAAUGUAGUAAAAAUAAUAUUUAUUAAUAUAUUAAAAUUUUAAUAAUAUUUUAUGUAUACUUAGUUAUAUACAUUUUUUGUGAUAUACUAAGUUACACAUAAGUAUUGAUACUAUAAUGUAUAUUAUUAUAUUAUAUAAUACUAUAUUGUGCAUACUAUUAUUAAUAAAUUAUUCUAUAUAUAUUAACGUUACGAGCAUAAUUAAAAUUUAAUUGAAUUUAAGUAAAAACUUUAAUAUUACAUAAUAUAUAUUAAAAUUUAUAUUAAUACUUAUAUAAUAUAAUAUAGACUUUUAUAUUAUUAUAUUAUGUAAUACUAUAUUUAUGAGAAAAGUUGCAUUGUUUGGGUACCGUAUAUAAUAUAGUCGUUGUUGCGACAAGUUUUAUUUGUGGUCGAGACAAUGACUUCAACAUUUGAAAUCACUUCGAAGUAAGUGGCUUCAUGGUUAUGGAAAGACCAUCUUCAUUGUCGCGACCCUAGAUGACCAAGCAAUCUUAGUGUUCAACUCAAUGAGCUCUUGGUCGCGAUAAGGGAUGAUGAGGAGAAAACUCCUUGUCAAGUCAGUGUGGUCAUUUUCACGACAAUGCAUCUUGUGGUCGCGACAAGCAUCUUCUUUGUCUUAUUUCCCUUCACCUCAUAAGUUUUUCUUCAUUUCAUUGCUACAUCGAAACCUACAAUGUCAUUUUCACACCAUUAAGUAUAUGGAUGAAGGCAACUAAUGUAAUUAUUCAAAAUAUACUAAUAACUCACUUGACAAUAACAUUUAAAUCAAAUCCUAAAACUAAUGUAAAGUUUAUAAAAUGACUAAAUGUCAUUUGAAAAUAAGCUUCGUAAGUGAGAAAAUGGCCUAAUUUACCAUAUCAAUCCUAACAACGGAAUGAUGCUACAUUAUGUAGAAUUUGUAUACACGAUGUGCCAGCUUUUGGUUCAUUAUCUAUUUGAGCUCAAGCUUUCAUUUACAUCAAAUUAUAUGAGUCACACAUACAUAACCCAUCAUCCACUCAAAUUAAGGUAUGUCACACCAUUAACGUCAUAAGUGAAUAAAUCCAUAAAUGGAUCUAGGAUCUAUUCUACUUGAGUUCUGUUUGAUGAACUAUCAAUCCAAUCAGUCACAUCUAUACCUCUAUCUUUUGGGAGUCAACUACUUCGAUACCAAAGACAAGGUAUCUCUCCAUUUGGACUUGAUAGAUGACAUGUUUUCAAUUGAUUUGCUCAAUUCUGAUUAGACUUAGGAUGUGUUUAGAUUAUCUACUAAUAUAAGAUUUAUUAUCGUAUUUAUAAUCUGACCACAUAAAGCCGCUUAGUAUUAGUUUACAGCGAGUCAAUAUUUUCUUUUAUUUUGCUUUGCGUGCAAAAACCAUUUAGGAAAUUAUACUUAAGAUAUUAAUCAUAAUGAUGCGUUUUUAUUAAACCAAUUUGUUCGAAAAUUAGAAGUACAUAGAUGAAAUCACUACAUUAAAUCUUUAAAAUUUUUCAAUUUGAUCCUAUUUCGUGCUCGAAUUAAUAAAAGAGCUUUCGUGAGCUCGAUUAAGACUCAAAUUUAAUUACUAUACAUGAAUUGCAUGUGUUUGAAAUUGGAUUGUAUGUGUACAAGAUUAUUUACUAUAUAUUUUAAUGUAGUUGCUCUGACAAUGAAUGUAGCAUUCCAUAGCUCGGACCAAACAAUCGCGUUGGGCAAGGGGGUGUUACAUUCUCACCUCAAUUUUAUGAAAAAUUUAACAAGUAUUAAGUUUUCAUUUUUCACUAUCAUUAGCCAUUUAAGCACUUUAUUCAAUUUGUGUAUCAUUUAUUAUUAGCCCUACUUUUAACAUGUAUCACUCUUGUUACACUUAUAGCUCAUUAUGUCCAUUAACAAGCCUUAUUAUCAAAAUUUUGAUUUAUUUCGCCCUUCAUAAACCUUAGUAAAAUACACUUGGAUACUUGGGAUUCCAGUCGAACACCCUAAAACAUAUAGUGCGAAACGCGCAUCCAUCCGAACACCCUAAAAUAUGGGCCCAAGAUGCACUUAUAUGUUAUGACCAGCAUAAAUCAUUGUCUCCAUACUAAAUGUUGUCUUCAGCAUAAGCAUGCACGCUAAUCCCUAUGGCAUGCCAAUUGUAUCCUUACUAUUCUACUAAGUCUACUAGGGUUUUUGUCACAUUCGAUUUCCUUUAAACCCGAAAAUUUGGAACAAUUGGGGGUUAAAUUGAAAGAACUCGUAAGUUGGCAGUCUAUACUGAAAUUGGAUAGGAUUAAGAUCCAAGUCUAGUUCGGUUGGAUUAGAACCAAUAGUUUCCUUAAUGAGAGACAAAUUUUUUAUCAAUAGAUGGUCUCUAGAAGGUUGGUAACUGAGCGGGGAGGGCUAUAUAUAGCAAGGAAAUGACUUCCUGGGGAAUGAAUUAUUCUCUUUCCUAUUUCAUUUCCUUCUCUUCAUUUAUCUUCUUUGUUGCUCCGAAGAUAAAAUGAUUACGGAAAGUUCUGCAUGGAGUAGAAAUCAGGAGAUUGGAGUCAAAAAAGUAGAGAAUCCAUAAAGCUGGUAAGGUUCUAAGUUCAUCGACACAUGUAAGAAUUAGAAAACAAAGUUAAGAGUUUUUAGAACCUUUCUAGGGGGUCUGCAUGUUUCUGGGAAACUAAGAAUACUAAGUCUAAAUCAUGAUUUUGGUUGUCAUGUUUAGCUGCAAGGAGAAUGGAAAUUCUGGCAUUUGGCAAAGCUAAAUUGAUAAGGAAAAGAAGCAUCAGGUGAGUUUUUGCACUUCAACCCUAGAAUGGCUUAGUAUAUUCUAGAUCACACAGACAUAUGGGUACCCGCCAUUUUAGCUCAGUAUGCAUGAAUUAACUAUGAUUCAAUGUUCUUUCAUCUAUGAUAUGCAUGAAUUUUAUUUUAUAAUUGUAGAAUAUGAAAGGGAGUUAUUGAUGGGUUAGACAAAGUUAUGAAUGGGAUAAAAGAGUGAUUUCUUUAGAUACCGCCAUAUGGUGAUGCUGAGUGCACUCGUGAUGUGCGAAGCUCUUGGCCUUGCAAAUGGGACAUUGUAGUGUUCAAGCAUCAAUGUUAGGAAUGGAGAUAUGGAGGAAUGGGCGGAAGAAUAGGGAAAUUAGAAUUUGAUUAAGAUUUCGCCAUCUGGUAUUGCUAGGUGCAAACCACAAUGUGCGAAGCUCCGAGCCUUGCGGGGGGAGGACACAUUGGUGUUCAAGCAUCAAGGUCGAUAUGAGAUGAAUCAAUGUCGAUAGUUAUAUGGUUCCAUAAAGCAACAUCGUGACGGCGAUCAGUAGGCUUUAUGAGGCGACAUCGCGACAAUGAUAAUGUCUUUUGGGGCAACGCCUCUAAGAGGCUUAAGAUGUAAGACCAUAGCUCGGCUGUGGAGACCAAUAAAGUCCAUCGAGAUAGUAAACACGGGGCAGUCCACUGAAAUAGGAAAUGUAAAGACCCAAAAGUCAGUGGAGCUGAAAAACGGUAGGUUCAAAGUUCUAUUUUUCGAUGAUAGAGUCAGUGAAUAUUAUUUAUUAAUAUUUAAGAAGGUAUUACGAUACUAUUCUGUUAUUUAGAAAGUUAAACAAGGUACAAGUGUAUCAGUCCUAAAGUCAGUAGUAUUAGAAAAUACAGUUUGGGGACCUUGUUUUCGUAAACCGAGGCCAUAGAUAUUUAAUAAAAAUAUUUAUGGAGCUAGUUUAAAAGUGAAUUAAAUUUUCGAUAAGUAAAUUUGUUGAAUUAGUGAUUAAUUAAGGUAUAGGGACUAAAUUGUAAAACUAGUAAAAUAAAUUGCUAUAGUAAUAUUUAAUUAAAACAUGGACAAGGGACUUAAAUGACAAAUAAACCACUAUGUUAUUGAUAGUGGACAGUAAUGGAUAUUUUAGUGAUGAUUAAUUGAUAAAUUCUUAUUAAAUUAAAUAAAACAUUAUAAUAGAAUAAUAAUUACAUAAAUUAUAAAAGAUGGUGGAAUAAAAAAGGAUUAUUUUCUUCUCCAUUCAGCCAAAACCAAGAUAUGAGAAGGGAGAAAGAAGAAUGUCGACCUUAGAGGUUUUGAGUUUUAAAAUACCCAUUGGUUUGUUGAUUAUGCUAAUUAUUUUGUUUGUAGUUUGAUGUCAUCUAAUAAGUCGUACCAGUAAAGGAAAAAGUUUCUUCACAAUGUGAAAUACUACUUUUGGGAGGAACCAUACCUAUUCAAACAAUGGAUAUACCAAAUGAUUAGAAUAUGUGUGGUAGAAAAUGAGGUAAACAAAUUUUAUAUCACUGUCAUUCAGCUCCAAGUGGGGGACACAUCGGAGGAUCAUGUAUUGUGAGCAAAGCCUUACAAGUUGGGUUCUUUUGGCCAACUUUGUUCGGAGACAUUUAUGCUUAGGUAAAGAAUUGUGAUCGAUUCCAGAGGACUGGAAACAUAUCUAAUAGAAAUGAUAUGCCACGAACAAACGUUGUUGAGGUACAAUUAUUUAACAUUUAGGUUAUUAACUUUCUUGGUCCUUUUCCUCCUUCUUUUGGCAACAGUACAUUCUAAUAAUAGUGGAAUACGUAUCUAAAUGGAUUGAGGCUGUGGUGUGUUUCGCAAAUGAUGCCAAUAUGGUGAUGAGAUUCUUACAAAAACAUGUGUUUACAAGGUUCGGAACCCCAAGGGCUAUCAUCGGUUAUGAAGGGUCCUAUUUUGUGAACAAAUGGUUGCUCGAAAAACAUGGAGUGAAACAUAAUAUUGCCACAACUUACCAUCCACAAACAAAUGGGCAGGUUGAGUUAGCAAAUAAGGAGAUAAAAGGUAUACUCAAGAAGGUAGUCCGUCCAAACGGAUGAGAUUAGGCCAAGAGAUUGGAUGAUGCUUUGUGGGCCUAUCGGAUAGAUUACAAAACACCCUUAAGGAUGUCUCUCUAUCAGUUAGUUUUUGGGAAAGUCUAUCACUUGCCUUUGGAGUUAGAGCAUAGAGCUUACUUGGCUCUCAAGUAGCUUAAUAUGGAUUUCAAGCUUGCCAGAGAGAAAAAAAUGCUUUAACCCAAAGAAUUAGACGAACUUCAAAUGUUUUCCUAUGAAAAUGUCAAGCUAUGUAAAGAGAAACUAAAAAUAUGGCAUGACAAACACAUCUGAAUCUGCGAGUUUGAAAUAAGUCAACAGGUUGUUGCUCUAUUCCAGAUUAAAGUUCUUUUCUGAUAAGUUCAAAUCUCGUUGGUCCGGUUCAUCCACCAUUUGUCAAGUAUUUCCAUACAGGGUUGUUGAACUACAUGAUGUUAAGGGAGGUAAGUUUAAAGUCAAUGGUCAAUGCCUUAAACAUUAUUGGGGUGAUAAAGCUGAGUGAAAUAAAAACUCUUUUUUUUAUUGGAUCUUUAAAAUUUUCCCUUUGAUUUCAAAUAACCAACUUAGACACUAUCUUUUUUAACUAUUAUAUUCAAAGAAAUUCUGUCUAGGAGAUUAGAUUUUAAGCAAGAUAACUUGUGACCUCUCCAAUCUUUCCUAGGAAUUGCUUUUUAUAUAAUUCUCUGAGAAAGUAUUUUUUUAAGUGUUUUAAUAAAACUUCGAUUUUGUUCAAUAAAAGGUUAGUUCUAACCUAAUUGUUUUGUUUUUUUUAAUUUGCACAUGCAGUUACAUUAUUUAUUUAUUUUAAAUAAAUGGUUGUGUUCUUGUAAAUAUUUUUCAAGCAACUAACACAUAAUAAAUAUAUAUAAACACAUAUUUUAUAAGUAAUUAUAUAUAUUAUUUGUUAUUAGAAUUUCAAUAGAAUUAUGAUUAAUAAUAUUCGCUUUUUAUUUUUACUAAGUAGUAUAAAAUUUUACAAUUAGACCCUUAAUUGCAACACCCUAAUGCCUAGCAAUUUUUCAUCCCUAUUCCUUUUCCAAUCGUUUGCCCCUUUACCAUAAAUCCUUAAUCCAUUGUCGGCCCUAUUUCAACCCUCUAUUGCCGCACAUCACACUUCUUCCACAUACUAAAGUCGUCGGCCACCUUAGCAAACUCCUUGCAUCAUUGCACCACACCUCACCACCUCUCUAUAACAACAAAUACAACUAGCAGUCACACAUGACACCUUGUUCCAUCUCCUAAAACCGCUAGCCACCUUAGCAAACUUCUCCACUACCGUACCUAACACCAUUUUCUCCAAACUCGAUGCUACAACUUGCAAAACUAGUAGCCCCUGUCCUUUUCAAUAGCAAUCAGCAGUGCACUUCAACCUGCCACCUACCUUCAGUCAUUCACCCUCCAUAAACCCUCAACCUGCCACCCUUCAAUUCUAAAAAAAAUUCACCAGUAAGUUUCUUAAAUCGUAACUUUUACUCUCUUAAACCACCAAGUUGUUGCACUUGACCUUUAACCAAACCACUACCCAAGCCGCCAUUGAUCACCCUAAAACCCCAACCUAACACCACCACUUUGCUGCAUUCUAAAGUUGCUCCUUUGUGUUUUUAAUGGUUAAUAAAAAAGGUGGUAAGAAAUUCCAUUUUCCUAAAAAACUUUAUUUAGAUUUCAUUUUUUUAACUUUUUCAAUUGCACAUGAAUUGUUAAUGUUGAAUUAUUUCUGACUAGAUUUUGGGAAAUUAUUACUUGUUGUUGUCAUCUUAUGUUAAGUUUUAGGUUGCCAACAUGUUUAAAAAAAACACGAUCCACUGUUCAACUUCAAGAAUCACAAAACAAGUUCCAUUCCAAAGAAACAAAGGCAAGAUAUGAAUCUACCCCAUGUUGUGAUAGACCUUGAUACCUGCGAGUUUAACCAAGAAAAGGCAUUAUCAAUCAAAGAGAAGGGAACAACCGAAGACGAAUAGCAUCAUCAAUGACCCUGUUAUACUUAAAAGUAUCAUAGAGUUGGAGAAACCAUUUUAAAUGUUGAUUAGGGUCUUCUAUCAUAGUGCCCCUAAACUACAGAUUAUUCUGAAUCAUCACCGAUUUUAUCGCGAAGUUAUUAGCUGUAAUUACCGGCCUUGCUAUACUUUCCUAAACCAUGUCUAGACUUGGUAAGGCAUAAUCCCUUAGGGUUUUUCGUUCCAAGCCAUGUGUAUGUUUGCGGGUAGCUAUGGUGUUGGUAGGUUUACUAGGACGUUAUCGUUAGUAUCACCGAACAGUGGAUUUUCACAUGGUACGUUACCUACAACAGGUGGUGGUAGAUCUUGCAUCUGUUGUUGCUGCUAUUGUUGUUGUCGACAAUUUUUUGGGAUUAUUCUCUUUAGAUUUGUGACUGCUACAAUAGGUGUACCCCUACUACAAGUCAUACACUAACCUAGAAAGAAAAGAUUAGUAGUAAUAAUUAAAAUAAAAUCGUAUCUAUAACUUAAAAUUUUCAUAACUAUUCUUUUACGUGCAAAAAUUAAAAAUAGACUAGUGACGUUGCCUCCACGGCAAUGGUGCCAACAACUUGACUGCCUCCAGACGUACUAACGUUUAAAGUGUGAAUACUGCAAUAAAAAAUAGAAAUAUGAGGCGAUAUCUGCAAGUAUACGGGUUGAGUUGUAAUAUAGUUUUAUAACAAAGUAGGUGAGUACUCCGAGGAUCGUACCCAAGGGAGACGAGCGCUAAAUUAAUUCUAACUUAAACACUAAAAGAUCUAAUGAGUACUUUAAAUUAGUUCUAGUACAAAAAACAUAAAAUAAAAGGUUUUUAGGGUUUUUAUAAUAAUAAAAUAAAAUAUCAUAAAAGAAAUAAACUUCAAGAGAUAGAAAAUGAGAAUGAAUCAAAUCUUGAUUAUGGGUGAUUAACUCAGUUCGAUAGUCCCCAUCAAUUGUCGUUUCAGGUUCCUCGUCAAUCAACUAGUCGCUACUUUAGCAGGAUCUUUCGAUCUUCCACUAAUGUAACAAGUUAGCAAAGGCUACUUAUCUUUCGACCUCACAGUCCAAACUGGCUUAGGGUGAAGGUAUUCAUAAAUGGGUCAUACCAAUUUUGGGUUAAUUCCCACCUUGAUGACUUUCUGGGGUUGUCAGGCCUAGGGUUUGUUUCAUGUUCCUCCUUUCCCAAAUAGCUGACCCGUUGAAUAACCCUACAAAAUAGUUAAUAGAUUAUACCUCCGCUCGCUAAUCCCCCAUAAAGGGAUUAGUUCCUCAUGGUUUUCAUAAACAAUAUAGAACCAAUAUAAAGAGAAAGCAUGCUAAUUAAAUUGAUAGUAUAGAGUAUAUGAAAAAGCAUUAUUAUUUUAAGAUUAAUUACGAAUCCACAAAGUUUGAAUGCUUUCCAUAAUUCAGAUGUCUUGAGAACAACGGAGAACAAAUGAAAUAAAUUCUAAAACCUAAAAACGAAAGAAAAACUAAACUACAUUUACUAAAGAAAAUCUAACCUAAGUGAAUGGUGUCCAUCACAUGUGCUAAAGGAGCCUAUUUAUAGAUUCUAAGUGGUCGUCAUCCUUAUCCCUAGGUUAGUUGAUGUUCUCGAGCUUUAAGUUUGAUUGUGCAGACGAAAAUAGCUCUACUUCGUGUUUAAUUUCCUUCACAGGGUUGAUGUCGCGACACACCAGGACAUGUGUCAUGACAUGGCAAUUAGUAUACUCCUCUUGGGCUAUCUUCAGAGGUAUGUCGCGACACCCUCAAUCUGUGUCACGACACCCUCAAUCUGUGUCACGACAUCGAAGGCAGUCUUGAGCUUUCUCCAUUUUGCUCCCUAUGUUGUGACAUCGAACAUCCCGUGUUUCGACGUAAUGACCAGUAUUUGUUUAGUACGCCUUCUAAAGCUCUCCUGUACACUUACAAAGUGCAUUAGCUCUCCUUUAGGCCUCAUUUGGCCCCUAAGGUCAAUAAAAGACUCAAUUUGCACAUUUUAUUGAAUGUAAAUAAAACUAAUAAAACUUAACUAAAACAUAACGAAAAUGCUUGUAUUCAAGCUCCUUGAAUGCGAAAACUAGUUUAAUUUGCUACACCGAAUUAUGAUAGAUCAACCAUCAAAGCUAAAAAUCUAUAGUUCUGUACCUAAGUCUUGAGCUAAUUCUCGAGACUUACAAGCCAAGUCUUAACACUUGCUGCCUAAGUUUCGAGACUUGUAGUCUCUGCACAUGUGCAACUUAAAUUUUUUUAUCGUUUUGAGCCCCUGAAACCCUAUUUUAUAUUUUGUGCAUGUCCAAACAUAUGAGAAAUGUUUUAAAAUGAUUUUAAAAAUGCAUUCAAGCUUCUUAAAGGUUAGAAUAUAUUUUAAAGAGAAUUUUAUUAAGUUCUUAAAUGACGUUUUUUGAAAGAAGCUUUUUGUAUAAGCUAAGAAAGUGUUUGGUAACAUCUCCUAACCGUACUAGUCAUCAGGACAUAUAUGAGGUGUUACAAAAGGAGUCAAUCCCAAAACAACUUGGACUCCAAUGCGAGGAAAAUCACAUGAUAGGCAAAGGGAAGGCAAGCAUAAAAAGGCUCUUGAAGAAAACUUUAGGACAACUUAACUAUUAAUCAUCUUUUAUUUUUUUAGUGUUUACAUAAUCCUCAAACCAAUAUUAAUUUAGGCUUUUUUUCUUCUUCUUCUCUUGUAAGUCUUUAUAUUUUCACAACUCUAAUGCUCCCAUAGCUCUUUCUUUCUUUCUUUCUUUUUUUCCUUUUCACUUUCACAAUUCAACUAUCAACCCAAAUCUAUAUUGACCCAAGCUCACAUUAACAAAUCUAAAUACCUAGUAUCUAUUUUCUUGAAUAGAUACUAAUUGAAAGGCAACAUGAAACUCAUGUUUAAUAAUGGUAAUCAUGAACUAAAUUUAUAAGUUGAUUGGAUACACUUUAUCCUAUAUAUGUUUUCAUGAUCUAGUACAAAUGAAUUUGUACCUCAAAUCCAUUAGCUAUUGUUUCAACAUCAAAGAAAGUUUAUGUUACUUUGCUCAAGAGUCAAGUCCGAGAUGGCCACCUAAUGAAUUUCAAAAGGUUGUUGGCCAAAGCAAAACAAAUAGGCCAUUAAUUGUUUCAAAGAUUGAAAACAUAUAUACUAGACAUUGUAUUAAUUAUAAUUGUGGCGGAGUAAUCAAAAUGAUAAUAUAAUUAAUGUGGUGUAUGAUAUGGUUUCAUUUUCCAAGAAAGGUAGUCCUUCAGCAACCUUAGCAAAUUAAUUUGGUGGGAAAUGAAAGGCAAUGCGGGCCUCUAGAAAGGACACUCUGCCUGAUUGUACAAAAAAGGUUUGCUCAAGACAAUAUUUAAAGUUUCACAACAUGUUAAAAUUAUUAUUGUUAUAAAUAUCAAGUCCAAGUUCAAAAGCCAAAAAGAAUAUCAAAGGUAAAGAUAGAAAAUGUUCAUACAAAUUAAAUUUUAAAAGAUUAAAGUUCGGAUAUCUAACAACUCUUUUUCCUUAAGUUACUCCAUUAAAAUACAAAAAAAGAAAAAGAAAAAGACAGACCAACAUGCGACUGUGCUUUGGGUUUUAUUCGUUUAUUUAUUAUUAACAUAUCCCCCUCCCUCGGGUCUUCUCUCUCUCUCUCUCUAGUUGAACGGUUAAGCAGUCCCUUCUUUUUCAAUCUUGUCAUAAAAAAAAACCCAUUUUUCUAUUAGUUUCUCAGCUUCUUUAAUCUUUAUAUAUCUCACACUCUCUAAGUUCUUUGGAGAAAAAGGAGAUAUAUAUAUAUACUGAAUUGUGUUUUAUCGAUCAAAAUCUAUGGGGACAAGAGCAAGAAGGAAGCAAAGCUGGUACACGCAGACACUAACGCCAUUAUUGGAAGGACCAAUGGACCCAGAAAUGCAAGAAGAAGGAAACAAGAAGGAGAGAUCUUGGGAAGUAAUCCGAGAAUGGUUUCGAACACAGAAGGGAUCGUCUUUUUCAUCAUCACCAACUAGCUUUUCCAUGUCUAAUUAUUUUUACGGAAACGGAAGCAUACCUCCUGCCAGGAGGCACGAUUUAAGACUUUUACUUGGCGUCUUGGGUUGCCCUCUCGCCCCUAUUCCGCUACUUAAUCACCCGAUUCAUCACAUUCGCCUCAAAGACAUUCCUAUCGUAAGUUUCACAUAUAUAAUCUUGCCAUAUUGUACAUUAUCUUAUAUAUGUGUUUUGAUGGUGUAGGAAACAUCGACAGCGCAUUACAUAAUACAACAAUAUUUGGCAGCAUCAGGAUGCUUGAAACAGAGGCAGAAAUGUGGGGCGAAAAACAUGUAUGCAACAGGGAGGGUGAAGAUGAUAUGUUGUGAGACGGAGAUAUCAAGAGGGUCAGGGAAAGGGAAGAACGACGUGAAAAGUUUAGGGACAAGGAGUGAAGAAAUGGGUGGGUGCUUUGUGGUCUGGCAAAUGAAGCCUGAGAUGUGGUCUCUUGAGCUUGUUGUUGGAGGCAACAAGGUUAUUGCCGGCAGCGAUGGCAAAACAGUGUGGCGACACACAUCUUGGCUUGGCACACAUGCUGCCAAGGGUCCUCAACGUCCCUUGCGCCGCAUUAUCCAGGUAUCUACCUACUUCAUUCAUUUUUCUCCUUACCAUUAUUAACUUUCUUGGUGUUUUUUUUUUUUUUUUCAAAUUUCCUACUUUGAUUUAACAUUAAUAAACUACAACAAAUUGACGAAGAAGGAGAAAAAAAUUCAUAAUUAAUAAUCACUAAAACCAACAUUGUCACUUCAAUAAUUUGUUUGGCCAAGUAAUUAACUUUAAUAAUUCGUAUAAAUACAUCCGGUAUUUUUUUAUUAAUAUGGCUAAUAUAUCAAAAAAACACUAUACUAUUAAUUUUAGUUUAAAGAAGUCCUUAUACUAUUUUUGUAGUAAAAAAUUAAGAUGAAGAUUUAUUAAACAAAAUGUAUUAGUUUAAGUACUUUUUUAAUAUAGAUAUAAUUGUAAUGCAAAUUAUUAAAUGUAUUAGAAUCUUGAAAAAUACAUAUCAUUAAUUUCCAUAUAAAUUAUAGUUAAUUAAUUAAACUCAACUAAAUUAAUUAAUAAAAUUGAUUGCACCUUGACAUCGUUUUUAUUGUAAUACUCAGAAUGACAUAAGUUUCAGAGCAUUUAUAUAUAUGUAUUUUUCAUUCCUUUUAAAAGUUUUGACAGUUAAAGCACACAUUUUUUCAUAUAAUAAAAUUUAAACAUCAAGGUUAAAAAUCUUAAAACCCCUACUUUAGUGACAAUAUAAAGAUCUCAUUGGCUAUAUUAUUACAUUAGUUAAAUACAUUAUGUGUGAUAUAACUUUGAUGUAUUUAGAUGACCACUUAACCAUGCAAUUUUAUGAAAAGAAAUUAAUUAAGUAAUUGAGUUUGGAGAUUAGGAAAGUGAUAAAUUAAAAAGCAAAGAAAGAGAAAAUAAGAAGGGAGAUGAGGAGGAGAAUCCCAAGGAAAAUGGGAAUAUAAAUGAGAAGGAUGGAUGGAGGGAUUGUCUCAUGCUUUAGCAGACACAUUUUCUUUUCUUUAACAUGAGAAAGGAAAUAAAUCUGAGGGUAGGGAUUAUAUUAUUUGUAAGCUGACAUCAUCACAUCUCAUGUAUGAUAAUUGCUCAAUCACGUACAUCUAUCAAUACCCUCCAUUUCCAUCUUGGGAUUGCCACCCUUCUGCCUUUUGCUUUUUGGCCUUUUGCUUUUUCCCUCUUUACCAUACCUUGUAUUAUUUGCUUUGCUUUUAUGGGUAUUUCCCCCCUUCUUUUAUUUAUUUAUUUAUUCAUUCACUUCAUCUCAAAUCAUCCCCUUUUUACUAUUUGUCUAAUCCUUUUUCCUCUUUUGCUGUCCAAUUUAUGGGAAUGGUGACAAAUACAUACAAUUACACAUGUUCAAAAAACUUUAGUAAUGGGAGGGUUAACAAUCACAAGAGAAUUUAUUUUAUUUUGAAUAGCAUUUUGUAAAAUAAAAGUAGAUAUAAAUCAAGCUAUUUUAAAAGAAUGAUUAGAGUUGCUUAAUUCGAUAAUUUUUUUGAACAAUCUCAUUAUAAGUUCUGAUCAUUUUUUUUACACAAUACCUCAACUACCUAUAGUCUCCCCUAACCCAUAAAUAGGAGGAUAAUACGCUUCAGCGCACUCGAACCCAUAUCCGAUUACAUUUCAAUUAAAAGCAUAUUGAUUUUCUCCUAUAUUAAUAUAUUAUGUUUUUAUAUUAUAUGAAAAAUUAAAUAUCUAAUAUUAAAAUAUAAAUAUUGAAAAGUAUGUUAAAUUAUUUUUAAAAAAUAAUAAAAGAAAAAUAUAUAAAUUUUCUAAAUAUUAAAUAAAAUAUCAUUUUUUCUAAAAAAAAUAGAAAAAAAAUCAAUGUGAGUCUGAACCACCUUAAAUUAAAUAUUUACAAUAUAAGGGUCUGUUUGAUUGCCAGUAAAAUAUUUUCCGUAAAAUGAUUUCGGGAAAAUAUUUUACUUUUCUGUAAAAUGAUUUACUAGAAAAUAUUUUCUGGUGUUUGAUUGAAUCUGUGUAAAAUGUUUUCGGCUGUUUGACAUAUUUCCUGGAAAUAUUUUUCGAAAAAAUUGUUUUUACAUAUAUUGAUAUAUAUAUUAAUAAAUUUUUAUAUUUUAAAUUAUUUUUACAUAUAUUACAAUGAUUUAUUUAUAAUAAUACUCAAUUAUUAAGCCACAUAUUAAUCGUUAUAAAUUGAAAAAAAUUAAUAUCAAAUAAAUUAUUUGUAAUUGUGUUAAAAAAUAAGUAUUGAAUAAUUAAAAAAACAAGUUACUAGAAAAUCGAUCAAUAGAAGCAAUUUUCUACCGGAAACGAAGGAAGGAAUGAAUGAGGCGAUAGAGAGGAGAGAACGGAAAAUGUCUUACGGAAAUUGAAAGGGUAAGACAUUCUCCCUAAAAUGUAACUCAUUUUCCCUUGUUUUGGAGUUCAUUUUCCAAAUGGAAAAUGUUUUCCGCCAAUCAAACGCUGAAAAAGUUGAAAAUGAUUUUCCGGAAAAUCAAUUCCUUCAAUCAAACAGACCCUAAAUAGAUUGGGUGAAUCCCAAAUUUUUGAUCCAACCAACAUAUACCGUUAAUGUCAUACGUAAAAUGUAUCCCAACUUAUUCAGUCUUCGAAAAUAGUUAACUUAUAACUUCAUAUAUAUAAUUAUAACCCUUUACAUGAUUGUAGGUAAAUAUUGUUAAAAUUAUAAAUAUAAAUGAAAUUCCACAAAUGCGAUUCACAUAAAAGAAGGAAAGAAAUAAGCUUUUUACAAUUAUACCCUCUUAAUGUGGUGAAACUUUUUAAGAGAUCUUUUAUGUAAUUUUGGAAUUCUCAAUAUUUUUACUCUAAUAAAUUAAUUCAUGUGAAAUUAUAAAUAAAUAAAUAACUUGACAAAAAAAUGAAAUCCUUCAUCCAAACGCAAUCCUAAAUUUUUUUUAAUUAGAAAAAGCAAAAACGGAAUGACCUUUUCUUUCUCUCAUAUGAGAGUCCCGUCUUGUUUUGGAUCUUUAAGAUGAGAUAAUUUCAAAAGGUAAAAAUAUUUUGUAUAUAAAAUUUCAUAGUUGAUGAGUUAAUUUUGUUAUAUAUAAAUCAAUUUUGAUAUACGAGACUUAAGACAUUGUCUUGUAUUUCAUUAAUUACACAAAGCUGGGGUUAACGGGGAUGAUGAAUUCAGGGUCUAGAUCCAAAGACAACAGCCAGCUUAUUUGCUAAAGCCCAAUGUUUAGGCGAGAAACGAAUAGGCGACGAAGAUUGCUUCGUCCUAAAAGUAUGCGCCGACCGUGCAGCGGUGAUGGAACGAAACGAAGGACCAGCUGAGGUAAUGAGGCAUGUAUUAUACGGCUACUUUUCCCAAAAGAGUGGGUUACUCAUCUACUUAGAGGACUCCCAUCUAACCAGGGUUCAAACCCAAGAAGAGAAUGAAGGUGGGUGUGCUAGUGCCUACUGGGAAACAACCAUCGGAAGCUGCAUCGGAGAUUACAGAGAUGUGGAUGGCGUGUUGAUAGCGCAUCAAGGAAGGUCGAUCGCCACUGUUUUCCGAUUCGGGGAGCUGUCGAUGCAGCACAGCAGGAGUCGAAUGGAAGAAUUUUGGAGCAUUGACGAUGUUGUUUUCAAUGUUCAAGGACUCUCCAUUGAUUCCUUCAUUCCUCCAGCUGAUAUCUUUGAUCGUUAAUGAAUAUAUAUUAGCUUCACUAAUCUUCCACUUCACUAUGACAACUAACUUCAUCAACACAUGAAUAUAUUAAAAUAUUGGUGGGCAAGGUUGAUCGAUCACGCAUCUUAAUUUUAACCCUAUUUAUUAUGCUCAUAAAAGAAUGUUAUCAAAUCGGUACUUUUGGUGUGGGUUUGAAAUAAGGAAUUUUAUUUUUCUCUCUUUCCGAUGUAAUAAUGUUUUAAAUUGAUAGAACAAGUGUUUAUAUAUACGUAAUUCUAGACGGUCUUUAUUAAAUUAUACAAUUUUAUUUCAUAUAACAAUUUUAAAUUAAUUAUAUUUUAACUAUCUUAAAAUAUAUCAAACAUUAUAAUUGUAAAAAUUCUCAAUUUAUAUAAGGGAUAAAUAUUAUAUCAAGACGUGAAUUUUAGUUUAAUAUGAAAUGUUAUACAUAAAUUUUUAUUUUGUGUAAUUUUAUAUAUAAAAUUUUGAUUUUAAUUUAUUGUCAUAAAUUAUCACACCAUUAUCGAUGUAACAUCAUUUUAUGUUUAUAUGUUGCAUACACAAGUAAUUAUAUUUAUCCAAUGUAAAUAUAAAUUGAUGUAUUUAUUUCUUUAAAUAUGAAAAAUUGAAUUAAAAUCAAAGUUUUAAGUAUACAUUUAAACCACAAUUAAAAUUUCAUCUGUAUAAUUACACCAAGGCACAGUUGAUGUGUAAUGCUCCUUGCCCGACCCGAUCGUCGGGUCUAAGUUACGGAAUGCUACAAACAUUACCGAAACAAUUACCGAUGAAAGUACAGAAAUCAUGUCAAUCAAACCAUCAUUUAUAACUGACCGCCUCCAAGCUUGCAAACAUUUAGAGUUAAAAUUGUGCAUAUAAAUAUAUAUAUUAAAUGUGAUAUCUGCAAGUGAACAUGUCGAAUUGUAAUAUAGAUUAGUGUACAAUGGAAUACUGGGAAGUAUUAUAAGGAUUGUACCCAAGAGAUGUUGAAUUAAAUCUAAAAAUAUUAUUAUCUAUAGUAAUAGUUCUAAAUAGUACUUAUUAAAAAUCAUAUUGCGACAGCCAAUAUUAAAGGUUAAGAUGGGAAAACAAAAUUAAAAAAAUCAAAACCACGCAGACAACGUUAACAAACAAAAAUCACUCGAAUGACAAACAGAAGAUUAGCUUGCUUUAUGGUUAUAAUCAACUUCAGAUUUAGGGUUUUUAUGGAAAGAUUAACUAUUACCUACACAGUAUUACCUCUCGGCCUCUACUGCCUAACUAAUCAACUAAUACAUGCUUACAUCCCGGUCUCACUUUCCUAACUAAGAAACAUACAUGAUUUACUCAAUAUCCUCAUCUCUCGAUCUAUUUACCUAUAUUACUUCCUAGAGUCGUCAAGCCUAGGGUUUAAGAACACAUGUAUUUACACCAAUUAAUCCUAUUGGAAAAACCCUAACUCUUUCGUUAAUCACUCCCACUUCCACUCGUUAAUAUCCUUAAGGAUCUAGCCACUCAUCAUGCCAAAAACCAUCUUUUCUACAAAUAAAUUAAUCAUGCAAAAACACAAAAUAAUAUAAAAGAGAAGAGAUAGAAAUUGUUUGUAUAAUAUAUUAGAGUGCACAGAAUAGCAGAAUCCUUUGACAAUGCUCGAGAUUUCGUUGUUUGCAAACAAAUAGUAAUAGAAAAGUACUGAAAUAUUGAAAUUGCAAAGACUUGGAUUCAAAUCGAAUCCAAGCCGAAGAACAAGAAAUAAAAGUGUUUAGAAAAUUAGACUAAAACCUAAACUAACCUAAACCUACUAAAAUAAACCCGAAACAUAAUGUGGUAAAAAGCUCCUAAAACUUCCACACCAACUUAACUAUUUAUAGGGGAGUUUAGCAGUCCUAAUUAGGGUAAACACCAUCCUUAAUUACAUAAAAAGAUUCAUUGUGCAAACAAAAACACCCUUGCUUAUUUUUGGCCUCACGUCGCACUUGUGUCGCGACACAGACUUUUGCGUGUCAUAACACACAACUUCUGAUAUGGCUUUCCUUAUCAGCUUGGUUGUGUUGCAACUCUGAAAGCUUGUGUUACGACUCAGCUUCAAUUCCUUAUGCUCUUGAGCCUAAAAUUAGGUGUCUUGCACACUCAAGUAAAUCGUUAAAACCACCUUAAGAUUGAUAUUGGCCCGAUUAGGUCAACUAACUUGAAAUAAUGCGUAAAAAUGCUUAUUUUACAAUAUUUUAAUCCUAGACUAAGAAAUGUGAAAUUGCAAUACAACAUAUUAAAAUGCUUAUAAAACUAGCUCGUUAAGUGCUAGGAAGUACUAAAUUUGCCAUUACAAUUUGUGGCAGAUCAAAUCCCCCAACACUUAAGUCAUUGCUUGUCCUCAAGCAAAUGAAAAAGAAAACUAGAAACUAAGAAAAACGGAAAGAAAAAGGCAAUGAUAAUGUAUUCAAGAAUGCUUCAUACAGGAGACUGAAUCAGAGCAAUGCAAAUAAAAUGUUAUGCAUAAUCAUGUAAUUCUAGUGCGAUAUGUAAUUAAUUCCCAAUUUUUAAUACCAGAUAGAUUACUUCAGCAAAUUACAAGGUAAACAUACUAAAGGGUGCUAAUUAUAAGAUUCGAUAAAAAAAUACACAAAUAUACAAUUAUGCUAAAAGUACCCUAAGUGGUAAAAAUUUUCAAAACUUAGAUUAAUUUUCAUCUAUGCAGUGUAUACUUAAGUCACAUAGGAAUUUUUAACUUGUAACAUUCUGCGGCUUAGGUUGGUUCAAAAUUCAAGAAUAGGCACAACAAAACGGUUUAAGCACGAAAGUAGUUUGACACAUUAUAUUAUACCCAAUACUCCCCCAAAUGCCCCAAUUAAGCUCACCACCUUAUAUCCACUUCUCUCACCUUCCUUUUCUCUCCAAUUCCUAAGGUACAGUGUAGUAUUCGUGAGUACAACCAUCUUAACGAGUUUUUUGUACAAACAUGAGUACUUUUCUUUUUCUAUUUUCUUUUUUUUCCCUUUUCUUUUCGCUCAUUUUUCUUUUAUAUAUUCAAGGUUUUCUCACUUGGCAUUUUAGCCUUCACAAACUUUUCUUUUGAUUUAUUUUUCUACUCAAACACAUUUGCAGGAAUCUCAUAUUCACUAUACCGCAUCGUUCUUUAGGUUCACUCUAAUUUUUCUUUAUUUUGAAACUUCCAUUAUGUAUUUAUCUAACCCUCAAUACUAAUGGCCUAAUGUCUAAAUUCGUACGAGGACCAAAAGAGAAAGGAUUAAGCAAUUAUAUGUUCAGCUCAUGGUUUCAUUAAUGGUUCAUCAAGAAAAUGGAUUUAGGCUCAAAAUAGGGUACUAGGGAAUUCAUGUAUCAGGUAGACUUUUUAGCUCUAUUUCUUUUACCAAACAAUUCCUUAAUUCAUCCCUAGAUAUUUCAAUACAUGGAUCAAAUUAACUAAAUUUAUCAAUUUUUACAACCUAAAAUACAAUUAACAUACAUGCUAUUUGUGUAUUCAUUUAUCACAUGGUAUACCUAACAUACUUCAACCUAUUCACAAUGUAGAAUUAAUUAUUAUCAAAUUAAAUUUACUGAUGAUUCACACAAUCAUAUUUACAUGCUCCUAACCAAUCACUUGUAUUUCUAUAAGCUCGAGCAUAAACAAAACAUCAUAAAAAAAUUAUUCUAAAAUUUUCCUAAAAAUUGACAAGAAAAACAAGGAAAAAGUUAAAAGCUCCUAAAAUUUUUAUGUUACCCCCAGAUUUUAUUAAGCAUAUUGUCCCUAAUGUGCACAAAAAUAAAAUAGAGGAACGAAAUUACCGAUUAGUAUGAUAGUCCCGUGUGUAAUGUUGGGUAGUCUCGUCCUUCUAGAUUGAGCUUCAAAAUUUUUUUCCAUAAAAAAUAUGGGGUUCCUACCCAGAAGUUAGCUAAUAGAAAAAUAAAAUUAACAAAAAAAUAACUAAAGUCUAAAAGAUAGAAAAAUAAAAAUCAUCCCAAAAAUAUAAAUUGCAAGUCCAAAAUAAAAAAAAAUUCCAAAUCAAUCGGAGUCGUGCAUUGGCUUCGUUCCCAUUACUCCUUUUCCAUUGCCUUGUCCCACAGCAGUCUUGGUGGCCCUCCUACUCGAAGAUUGGGCCGGGCACUGUAGGCUUGGGCUGCGAAAUUUGAUUCCCAUAGUCGUGGGGUGUUCUGACUAAAAUAUUACCCCGUAGUCCAAAGCUCGAAAAGGCUCCUCCUCCUCAUCAUCAUCAUCACCAUUGUCAUCGUCAUGAUCGUUGUCAUCACCACCAUCGUCUUCCUCCUCGGCUCCCCAUCGGUCUCAUUGGGGUGUGGAAAGGGCACGUACUUGUUUGGUGACAGGUUAGGCACUCGUAUACCGUGCCUCUACACGUAGUCAAUGCCCAUCAGGGACAUUUCUUGCAUCCACCUAAUAGCCCAUUCCAUAUCAGACAUAUUUUUUAGACCGGUGAGUUGGUUUUCAGGUCUACUCUUUCUUUGAGUGCUGGUGGUACGUCCAUCUUUUCCUUCCGGUGUUGAUUCCAUUCCUUCACUUGCUUUCGUUGGAGCUCGACAAAUUGAGCGAACAUAUUAUUUUCGAGGACUCUUUUCUUUGACAUCAUGAAUUGUUCCAUAGGGGACAUUGUAUCCUUCACCUAUUUGUAGAGGGCCAUCACUCAAUGGGGGAAGUACAUGUCUCGCUUUUGGCCACUAAUGAACUAUUACAUCUCCUGAUAAGCCUACUGGCCAAUGUAUACCUGUUGUUUCUACAAAAUAGAGUGAAGCAAAACCGCUCAAAAGGCGGUGAUGUAAGAGACAUUUUGUGUCGGUAAGAUGGGGGUGUAAAUGAAUUGCACCCACAUCUUAGCCAUCGAAAACAUAAUGGCUUGAUUAAAUUUGAUAGGAACAUUAGAACCGAAUUGGCGAGUCCACUCGCCAUGCCCCUGCAUGAGAUAGUGUAAAAUAGUAUCCAUAUCGAUGCCUCAAUAAUAGUUUAAGUCAACAAAAUCUAAAUAACCUAAGGCAUAAUAUAGUGCAUCAUAUUAGGCACAAAUUUCCUAAGGUGUUACCAGUACAUCUUUACCCUAGACUCUAACGUAAUUAAAAAUAUCACUUGGGCGUCAAAAAAUUUCUUGUUCCUUAAGGGGACGCGUAAAUUUCAUAAACAAUGGCGACCAUUAAUUCGUUCGGGGUCGAGCAGAAAUUGCGGCAGUGGUGGAAAUCCACCAUGUCCUAAAUCAUAUCGCACUCGGUUAGCGAGGGGACAAACCCUCACUCUUGAAUGACUAUACAUCCAUUCAUUUACAUAUAGUAGCGCUCAACUUCUAUGUUAUAGAGGUGAGUAGCGUCAAAGUCAGUCGGCAGUUCUUGAGCGCGACAUGCUUUAUAGGGUGCCAUAAAUAGUAACGAUUCAAAUAAUAAGAACAAAACGUGUACAAAAUAAAAAUGGAACGUCUAACAUUGAUUGUUCGUGUUUGGCUCAACUCUGAUGUAUUUUGGCAGCCAAAGAAGGGAGAUACACAAGAAAAAAAUUAAUUAACAAGUAAAGGGAGAAGAGAUUACUGACGAACAGAGGUGUGGAUGCUCAAACUAAAGCAACAACAAUGGAGGAGAGGUGCGAUGACUCCUACUUUUGGGUGCUCCUUUAGUGUGUUUGAAAGUGAAAAAAUAGGUCUGAAACUAUACAGCUUAAAUAGAAAAUCCAAUGGGCCACGUGUUAAAACAGAGUGGAAAUUGUAGAAAACGAUGCCAUGUCACGACACAUUGCCCUAAUUUUCUAGGAUUUUUGUUUCGAAAUGCUAUGUCGCGUCACAGGUUUGAAAUUGUGAAAAAUUUUGGUUCGAAGUUGCACAUCACUACAUGGCAUUGGGUUUUCCACUCCUUUGCUUCAAAGUAGCAUGUCACCACACAAAGGGGUACAUGUGUCGCGAAACGUACUAGACUUUGUGAAAAUGAUGUUUUCAGACGUCUCAGACUUCUUGGGGUUGUGCCUAAUCAUUUCAAAAAAUUUCUAAAGUCAUCCUAGCCCUAAGCUAACCUAUUUUUUUUACCUAAUUACAAUUAAAAUUCAUAUUUACAACUCUCAAAAAUCCAAAAAAACACAAAAUUACAUAUUUAUAAAGAUGAUUUGGGAUGAUUAAAAUUAAGUGUAGCUAUCAGACUUGUCCAUCAACCUGUUACUAUCCGUCAUCGACUUUUUGUUCCUUUGUAGAUCGUUGCCUUCCGUCCGCGAGAGAUCUAUUUUUGUCUGGUUCCUUCAACUUAUCUUGUUCCCUCAGACCAUGUUUUCCUACACACGUCACACCUACAACAUACCUUUGAUCAAGACAAUUAAGGGUUACGUAGAAUAAUGCAAAACAUUUCCUAAUUAUUUUUUGAUCCCUCAUCUUGGGAAUCUUUGCCGCAUUUGAACAUUUCUAGUUCACCAUCGAGUUUAAUUUUUAAUUCAUGUUUCUCGAGAUGAAUGGUUGAUCUAGAAGCUGCUAAAAAUGGUCUACCCAAUAAUAUGGAGACUUUUGGAUCUUCCUCGAAGUCAAGAACUACAAAACCGACUGGGGCGAUAAAAUUUCUCACUUUAACCAAUACAUCUUCGAGUACACCUUUUAGGUGUACUAAGGAUCUAUCGACUAACUGUAGUGUUAUUUAAGUGUUCCUUAACUCCCUUAAUCCAAGUUUUCUAUAGAUUAAUAGAGGCAUUAAAUUAAUAUUAGCCCCUAAAUCAUAAAUGACCUUACUAAAAUAAAUGUCCCCUAUUUCUAUGGGAAUUGUAAAACUACAUGCAUCUUUCAAUUUAGGGGGUAUAUUUUUCAAAAUAAUAGCACCAUAAGAGGCAUCAAUGUAAAUUUGUUCUCCAUUUUUUUAUCUUUUUAUGCUUAAACAUAAUUUCUUUUAAGUACUUGGCAUAUUUUUGUAUUUUAUUGAUUAGUUCCAACAAGGGUAAAUUAACAUUACUAGACUUAAAUAAGUUCAAGAAACUUACAAAAAUUGCUUCAUCCCUCCUCCAUUUCUCCUCAAUCCUUAAUGGGAAUGGUAUUUUUGUGAUUACAGAGUUUGUGAUUACUGGCUCUACCACUGGUUCUGUCACUUGUUCGAUCGGCUUAUCAUGCUUUUUUUCAUCCAUGGAUUCCUCGACGGACUCUUGCAAAUCCUCGUUUGGUUGAAAAGGGGAUUUAAUAUCGUUAAGAGGCUUACCAGAUCACAAAGCAAUAUCAUUUGCAUGCUCUUUUCCCUCAUUCUAAGGACUAUUCUCCAUAUUGCUCGGUAUUCUUAUACCAAUGUGCUUUUGCAUGUUACUUAUCAUCUCCAUCAUUCGGUUCUAGAUGCUUUAUUUGAAAUCCAUCAAUUUGUUUCUAGUUAAAGUACAUUUAGACUGUACUUGUUGGAUGCCCGUCUUUAUUGACUGAAUCUCUCCCUCUAUCCUAUUAAGAAGUUGACAACAUACAGUAUGCUCAUUCCCCAUGGAGCGGUCUUGAGAUCUUUGUAUAUGUGGAGGUUGGUAAGGAAGAAUUACUUGGUUUUGCACAUGAUUUCCAUUUCAUGAUUUCCUCUCUAUUUUAGGUUCGAAUGAUCAUUCCAACCGUGGUUGUAUGUAUUUGAAUAGGGAUUUCCACCCCUAUUACCCACGUAGUUAACUUUAUCGGGUUGAUGAUCCAAGUUUUGCCCGCAAUGUUGGGUCGACUUAGUAAUGGUCGAUUUAGCUACCACUACCAAUCGGUUCAAUUUCUCUAAAAUAAUUUGAUAAACGCCCACCUUUUUAUGGCUUUUGUCGCUUAUGGUUUUUGGCUGUAAGUGAAUCUCUUGUUUGGCCACAUAUAUGAGUUCAUUAAAACACCUCUGGAUGCUCCAUCCAAAGUGGACUAUAGAUUAUUGUCUAAACCAAUAUAAAAUAUUUGCAUUUGGAGCCGCUCUUGCAUUCCAUGAUGGUAACACUUUCUCAAUAGUGACUUGAAUCGAUCCCAAGCUUCAUAUAAAUUUUCACCGUCAAAUUGCUUCAAGUUGGAAUGGGUCUACUAAUCGAGAAAAUUUUAUGUAAAACAUUUCUUGCUAAUUCGUUCCAUGUAGUAAUGGAACCAGGUUCUAAUGAAUCUAACUAAUCAACAACAUGGUCACAUAAAGAAAAGAGGAAUAAUCGAAGAUGCUUUGCCUCAUUAGCUACUCCGUUGUAUUUUAAAGUGUCACAUAAUUAGAGGAAUCACUACAGAUGCUUGUUUGGAUCCUCCAUCAUGUUCCCUCAAAACUACAAUGUGUUUUGGAUCAUUUGGAUCAUUAUCGUUUUAAUCUCAAAAUUAUUGGCGUUGAUCAUUGGUUGUUCAAUGCUACCUUGUACAACAUCGAGUGUUGGUAGUGCAUACCUAUGCAAUGUUCUUUAAGCCAUCAGUAGCUCUUCACGGAUCAGGGCUUGUGGUUCGAGUGGAUCACCAAAUAAAGAAUUUUUCCAAGGUAAAUUAGUUACCACAGGUGGAUCAUUUUGCAUGAAAAAAUAUUUUUGGUAUUUUUAAUAAAUUUAAAAUUAAUAAAAAACCAAAAUAAAUAAAAAUUGUAUCUAUAAUUUUUAAUGUUCCUAUUUACCCUAAUUAAUUUGGAUUCAAUGUCAAAACCUCAACAAUAACAACACCAUCAACUUGCUCACCUCUAAACCUACGAAUGUAACUUGUGAAAAUGUAACUUGUAAAAAGUUUCCAAAAGGACCUUAGGCAUUGUUUGUUUAGCUUAGAGCCAAAAAGACUUACCUUUAUGUUAUUAACCAUUAGCUUCCAUAAUUUUAUCCUUGAAUAGUCCUUUCUUGAUGAGCCUUAUUUUUGAAGCCUUAAGCCUAUACAAGUUGAAAACUCGAACCUUCUCUGUCCCUAGCAAUAAAAAUACACUAUGUAAUGGAUGUCGAUCUAUAGGCAUUGAGGGAUAAGUGGAGAUGUUAUGCUGGCUUCAUAUGUGCUUGAGAGGAAAAGAAGAGGCUAUAUGGUAUGGUAUAUAUAGAACCUUGCUAAGUAAAUUAGUACAAAAAAAUCAUAUAUAGUGAAAUAAAAGCAAGGUGAGAGUUAAAAGCAUUGUAAGUGAAACGGUAAAAAAACAGAAAAAAGAGAUCAAAUGAAAAAUCAAAGUCAAGCUUAAAUAGAAAUCUUUCAAUUCAUAAUGUGUAAUACUUGCUCGUUUACUCGAUAAUUAUGAUAUGAUUUUGCGCUAAUGGUGUAGUACACCCGAUUGUCUAAAUACAGUGCUAGUUGGGCUAUAAAGUGAUCUGGUUAAGAAUGGUCUUAUAUUUACUUUACUAGAUACUCAUUUAUGUUCUUCUCAGUAUGUGUACGCCAUAAAGAAAGACAAGUUCUGAAAGAGUGUGACACCUAUCAAGUUCCACUAUGAGAACAUGGGUUAUAUAUGUGUAGGAAAGGAUUCUAAAAGGGUUCUUCUUUCUGGAAAAACGACAUUUUGGUUAUUUCUUCUUCUUAAAUCCACUAAAAAAUAUUCUUCACUUAUCUGAGAGCUAAGAUUUAGUUUAAUCAAGUGAUCAUUUCAUCUUUGGGUAAGUGUUACAGUCUUGCAUGUUAAGUUUUGAAAGAAUGAGUCUGUAAGUGGUAUAUGAACAGUAAGUUGUAAGUAUAAAAAACCCUGCAUGGGGGUUUUUCCUGUUGAUGGAGAGCUAUAAAUUUGUCUAUAAGUGGGUAUUAAUGAUAAUAUUAUAUUUUGUAAGCAGUUGUUGCUACUGGUUCAUGUUAAAUGUUCGAGUGUGAGCUCCAAGCUACUAUAGGUGAGUAUCAGGUGAAUCUUUACACUGACUCUUCUAUGUAAAUUAUACAAAUAGGAGUAUACGAAUAUAAAAAGGAUAAUUAUAUCUAUGGUAACUAGUAAAUAUACAAGUAUGGUAAAGAUGAGUGAUGAUAUGUGUAAAACUCCAUCGAAGUGAAUGAUGAUAGUAAGCAUGCAGGUUUGGCCUGAUAUUCAGGAGGUAAGAAUCAGUGUAGAGAUAUAAAUGUAUCUGGGCAAGUGAAGUGUCACCCCAAAAUUGGGCCUAGGAGUUUUAGGGGUAUUCUAGGGACUUUAGCUUUAGUGUGCUUGGAAUUUUGUAGGCAUGGUAACCGUAAAUGUUUUCGACUAUGGUUUUUAGGAAUUAAAUAAAUUUUGUAAAAAGAGUAUUAGAGACCAUUAAUUUUGCAAAGUGGAUUGAUUUGUAAAAGGGUCUAAAUUUUGAGUUUUUAAAGUGCAGUUAAACCAAAACUUUAAAAACAACCUAUUUUCCCCUUUUCUCCUAAAGAUUUCAUGUUAGUUUUUCUUCUUCCCUUAUUCUUGUGCCGUCCCUUACAUCCAAACCCUUGUUCAUCAAAUUUCAAUUUCUGAACUUUAUUCUUUUUAUUUCCUUCAAUCUUCAAAGCAUUAAAUCUCUCUAGAAUUUCAUAAAAAUACUAAAAAUACCAUUGAUCUCAUCAUCUCUCAAACUUGUGGGUUUUCUCAGAGUUGCAAAAAAAAGAUCAUUUUUCUUCCAUUGAAGAUAAAAAUUUGAUUUCUUAUUAGUUUUUAAUGUUAUUGGGUCUAUAAAACUGAGUUUUUAGCCAUUUAAACGCAUGUUUUAAAUAAAAGUCAAAAAUUGGAUCGUUAAUGGUGGAUUUUAGGAUUUUGAGUAAAAAUAUGGUUUCGAAAUAUUUUUCAAUUAUUUUUGACAUUAUUAGAAGGAUUCUAAACUUACUUUAAAGUUUUGUUAACGAUUUCUUGAGUUUAAAUGAAUUCUCGUGAAAUUACCAUAACAUCUCGAAAAUUAUAGAACCAUGAAUUUAAAUAAUUUUGGGUAGGUUGAAGGUUGAUAAUUUUUCGUAGAGGAAGAAUUAGAUGAAUGAAAUUCAUUUUAGGUAAAAAUAUUUUGUAUAGACCCAGAUAAUCGAAAUUCUAAGGUUCUAUGUUGAAGGUUUCAGUUUCAUGAUAACCUAGCUUAGGCUUGUGUUUUUAAUUGCUUAAGGUGAGUCUUUAGCUAAUUGUUGAUUGUAUUGCUGUGUGAUUUAUUGUGUUGAAGGUUUGGAUCUAUGAGCUAAGGAAAGGAUAGUUGAUCUUUCAACGUCUAGGUGAAAGUAGUUAGUGAGUGUUUAGAAUCGUUGCUUGUGGACAUGAUUCAUUGCGUUAAUUCAUAAUUUAAAAGUAGGCUAAACCCCUACUCUAAAUUUCAAGUGUAAGCUUUCUUGUACUCUUGAUUUAAUUUGUGAAAUAUGUGCUAGUGUGAUUGUGAAAAUGUGAAAUGAGAUAAGAUGUUAUAGCAUGUGUUAUGUGCUCAUAAUUAUCAUUGUUAAAGUGUAAAUGUAGGCAUGUUAUACAUGCUAAAUGGUAGAGAUAAUGUUAUGUUUAUAAUGUGAUAUUUGCAGUGAAUAAGUACAGUGAACGGUAAGUAAAUGUGUGUGUUAAUAACGGAUAUAGUUGGCAUGCCAUAGAUUGUGAGUACUCACCUAUAUGUAUUGUGUUUUUGGGCAUUGAGGCCCUGGGAUAGGUUGGAGAGAUAAGGGAAUGUGAGCUAAGCUCCAUUCAACGGAACAUGUUUGAUGUGUUGGAGAAUGUUAGCUUUAUGUUUCACUUUUUGGAUAUGUUCGACUCUAUGAGUCAAUUGGUGUGUUGGAGAUCCGUGUAUCUAAUGUGUGGUGAUAGAGUCCGCUUCCAUGUUUCAUAGCUCAAGUGCCAAAUUAUCUUUAAAUGUAACAUUAAACAAUAUGACAUUAAAGUUGGUACUGUUGUAAUUAUGCUAUAUAGAUGUUUCGUUAAUGCAUGAUGACUUGUUUGCGUGGUAGUUUUUCUAAGCAUUCAUUGAGCUUGUAAAGCUCACCCACUCUUUUUUACACCAAUGCAGAUUAGUUGAGUGGUAUAGGAUAUGAGACUGCGUCAGAAGGGAUGAUGCCUGGAUAGCUCCAAGGAAGUGGCAAAGUGGGCUAUUAUGCAUACAGUGAAAAUGUGUUGUAGUUAGGACUGCACUUUAUGAUUCGGUAUCUAAAUAACUUCAAUAUUGUUAAAAAAUGUAUUAAGUUUGAUGUACGAAUUUUGUAAUAAUAAUGUAUUCCUUUGUUCUUAAACAAUAGGACUAUUAGUUUUAAAAUAAUAACGAACUUUUUUAAAAAUAAAAUACGUCUGACAACUGUUUAGAUAAUUUAGUUAAGGAAUUUUGUGUUGUAAUACUCGAGAUCCAGACUCAGUGAAUCGGGUUGGGUUAGGAGUGUUAAAUAUUGUACAUACCGAUAUCAUUUAGAAUCUUUUAAGUUUUUUGAGAGAUAAAGUAAGAGAGAAAAGGAGAAAUAAUGACGUAACCUUCAUGAUUAAUUGAGGACGAAUGGGGGAACAAAGUCAUGUGCUUCACUAUUUGUAGUACUUAAAACCAUUUUGAGCUACCCUUUUGUUUGAAAUCCAAAUCGUCCUAAGCCUCAGAGCGUUACAAGCCUAGAAGACCUUUGCGACCUGAACAUUUCAUUUACACAUUUCUCUUGACUUGUUUGUAUUUGUUCAGAUGAACACCUUCGAUUCGCUUUAAGUGUCUAUAAUGUAUUUAUCUAGGUUAUUUUGAUGGAUAACACAAUUAUACAUAUAUUCAUUUGAAUUGCUUUUAGAUUUGUUGGCCUUUUUAAUUUGUUAAACUAAUUUUUUGUUUACUUUAAAAAUACCCAAGUUAGCUAAAUAUCAGUUUUAGGUUGCAUGUGAGAUAGUCCUUAUACAAGUUCAAUGUUAUGUUGCCUUUUUGUCCAAUUUACUCCAAGGGUCAUCUUUUUGCAUGUUUUGUGUGUUUGGUUGAGGACAAGCAAAGAGUUAAGUGUGAAAGAGUUUGAUCUAUUGUAAUUUGAUAUGUCAAAUUAGGCUUCCUGUUAUACUUUAGGAGCUUGUUCUCGAGAAAUUUAAUUGUCAUUUUCGUGAUUUAGGUUAGUUUUUAGUUAUUAGAUAUAAUAAGUGUUUAAUGUGUUUUUAUAAUCCUUUUGAGAGCUAAAUUGGCCAAAUGCACCAUUUGGACCUUAACGAUCGAUUGAGUGUUGUAGAAAUUCAAUGAUGGCCGAACUUGAGUGAAAACAUCAUCAAGGAAGAGGAUAUCGCGAUACCGAAGCGUGGGCAUCGCAGUACACUCGACAAUAUUGAAAUGAAGAGAAGAAUUCCACUUACAAUGGUAUCGCGAUACCCAACAUCCCAAGGAUCCCCCAUUUGGAGAUUGUCUGUGAUAUCCCGAUAUCCACAUUUAGGGAUCGCGAUAUCACUAUCGUGUGUGGAGACAAAAAUUACUAGUAGGGGUAGUCUUUGUCUAACAGAAGAACAAUUCAAAAAGACACAUUAAGAGGCACUUUGGUUAAGAGAAAGGGGUCAUAUAGAAGCUAAAAAAAAUGGCCAAAAUUUGGCCGAGAAAAGGAAACAUUAGACACAUUAGAGACAUUAGGCAUUAGGUACAAUAUUAGCUUAUCUUCUUAGGUUUUCUCUCAUUUUUAGGUUUUUAUUUCUUCUUCCCUAUAUUUAGGGUUUUAAUUUUCUGCUUAUUUCUUUGUUUUUCUUUGCAUUCUUAGAGUCAAUUUUAUUAACCUGUUUAAAACCUUAAACUUGGUUGUAAUCACAUUUUAAUCUCCAGUUUAAUGUUAUUUCUGUUUGUUUCCUUUUUAUCUGUUAGAAAUAUUAACUUUGUUGUUCUUGGUUAUUUAUUUUACUUCUAGUUUGUUUUCCUUGAAGUUUUUUUUAGUAAAAACCAAGAUUUCAUCUUUCUAUUGAGUUUUAUGUUAAUAGCGCUAAUGGUUGUUUCUUUGAUGUUUGUAAAUUUAAACAUGGUAAUGGGUAACUAAACCGUAAGAGGUUGGUUGGUGGAUAUAUGGUUAAAUUGGUUUUUGGGUCAGGGACUAAAUUGUAAUAAAUUAGACUAAAUUGAAUAAAUUUGAAAACAUAAGAUUGACGCCCCUAAGAGAAAAUUAAGAUAAGUAAGACCGAAAGGUAAGCUUAUUGGGAACGAAUUCAUUGUCCUGGGUUAGUUAGGUGAGGUCAAGAGAUAAACCAAACUAAUUUGUCUAAUUUGAUAAAACAAAGACCAAGAGGUAAAAUGAAGCCACUUUAGGAGUUUAAGUAAUUUACAUCCCUAAUUUGAUAAUUAAUUAACCACAUUGAAUGCAACCAACCACCAUUUGUUAUUAAUUAGUUUAAUUUCUCUCAAAUUAAUGGUUUUUCGUAAUAUAGUACUUAGCGAGUAGUUGGUUAGACUCUUUAAUUGCAUGUUAGUAGCUAGAAUUCACUUAAUCGUCGACUCUUGUGGGUUUGAUCCUUGGAGUACUCCUAUACCCCGUUGUACAAUUUAUAUUACAACUAACCUAUCACACUUGUAGACACCACACGUAUUUAUUAUCUGAUUAUUUGAUUGCUUUAUUGUUUAUUUCUCUCCUUCUGUAUUAGUGUUUGUGCGUCGUGUUAGAGUAUGCCCAAAGAUCAAUCAUGAGAUGGUUGUAAUAACAUACUUGAUUUAUCAUGUUUAUUAAUAUAAUGAGUUACCAUUAUUAUUUCAAUUUCUUUUCUGUGUGCAUAAAUAAACUGUUUUAUAGUAAUGUCCUAAGAAUAAUAUGAUUAUUCUUAAAAGGUCCUUAGUCAAGUAUUAUUGUUGGCUAGGACAACAAAAAUGCAUUAAGACUAACAUGUAGUUGAUUGAUGAUAAAGAGUUGUCAUUGAUAUGGAAUGUCAAGGUUGAUGCAUGAAUAUGUGUGUUAGAGAACAACAUAUUGGACUGACCCGUUAUGAGUAUGUUUCUUAGAUUAUUAUGUAAUUGUCACAACAUUACUCAUAGUGAUUAAUAUGUAUAUGAUCCUCAGACUUGAGAUCAUCAUAAUCCCAACAUCGUGAGUUAUGUAUUUUGAUACAGUCAAACGUACACCGUAACUGAUUGUUCUAUAAAGGCUGAUGCUGGAUAUACCACAAUCUGUGUAGAGGGAUAUGGUUGAUCGAUAUAAGAUAAGUCUCUCCUACAUAAUCGGAGUAAUAUCUUAGGCCACUUGAUUGAGUGGGACUAGAAAUACAUGACCAUGCUCAAAUAAGUUGAUAUGAGAUGUCAUACUUAUUUGUAUAUCAUAGUCUACUUAAGAUAUCAAGGAACAUAGAAUGGACUAUGCAAGUGUGACUAUUCCAUGACUUGUGUCCAAUCCAGAGAUAAAGGACUUAAGGAUUAUUGCAUGAAAGGUUAAUCAUAAAAGGUUAUGUCGAAUCAUGAUUUCUUGUGACUUAGGUAGCAAUGAUGCAUUGCUAGGUGCCACUCAUUGUUUGUAACAUUGGAAUCGUUCUAGUAUUACUGCUAACGUUACAAGAACCUACAGAGUCACACCCUAUAGUUGAAAUGAACGGAAUAAAACAUAGUUGGUAUUGUGUUUGGUUAUCGCUUGAAUUAAAUUAAUUAUAGAAUUAAUUUAAUUAGGUAAUCAAAUAUCGAACACAUUAUAUGUACAAGGUUGUUGUACGCAUAAUGAACAUGAAUUUGGUUAGUCUAUAAAUUCAAAUAAAUACAUAGUUUACCGAAAUCAUUAAUAUAAUUAAUGUAAUUAUAAUUUUUCGUUUAAAAAAAUGUUGAUAUAUUUAUUUAAUUUUAAGAAACCCUAAAAAGGGAUAUAAAAUCCCGUUUUUCUUUGCUUGGUGGGUCUAGCAGCCGUCAAAGCAAAAUCUUCUCAAAAACAGUUUUUGGGAUUCUUUCCGUUUAUUGUCAACAGGGUGGAUUACGUAGAGGCCGGAGUCACGUUAGAUUGCAACUAGAUUCGAUAGUAGAUCAGAUUACUCGUUGUCGAGGCAUCGCUGUCUACUCAGAAUCACCAUUCGGUAAUUUCAAAACCCUUUUUCACCUCGAUUCGUUCCUCACACAUGGAUCCAUGGUUAGGAUCGCCGAAUGUUUUAUUUUUCCGCUGCGCCGUAGGGGUGCCGGCGUUCCAACACGUCGAUGGUCAAAGAGCCAGUCAUCUAUCAAGUCCAAUUGGGAGAUGCCUUGUCUUGGGCAUUGGAGCAGAUGACUUCCAGAAAAUAGAGAUAUAGAUGUGACUGACUAGACUAAUAGUAUAUUAGACUAGACCCAAGAAGAAUAGAUCCUAAAUCCAUUUAUGGAUUUAUUUACUUGUGAUGUUUAAAGUGUGACUCGUAUACUUCCAUGUAAGUAAAAGCUUGAGUUCAAAUAGAUAAGGAAUCGAGAGCUUAUGUGUUGGGUAUACAACUUUUGUAAUAUGUAACGUCAUUCACAAGAGUGGAAUUCAUAGCUUGAGAUGUGGGUAAAUGAUAUCCUCUCAUUGGCAUUACAUGGUUGAUGAAAAGUAAAUGUGGUCACGGGUCGUUCGUCUUUGUGAUGAAUGACUUGAUUACUAUUUGAUAGUAAUUGACUUUUCAUGAAGGAAGAUGUUAUAGUUACCAUGAGAUAAAAUAUGAUCAUAUUGGGAGAACAGAUUUAUCCCAAACAGAUUGAGUUGCUUUCAUAAUGGUAUGCCGUUGGGGAGAGCUCAGUCACGAUACUAUAGUGUAAUGACUUCGUGACUAAAUGAGUUUAUAAUUAAUAAACGAAAAGCUGGAACUUAAUUAUAAAUCAUUUGAGCCCUAAUCACAUAUGUCUAAUCUAUCUCUCUGCUAGCUCAUUCAAACCAAAAUUUAAUUGCAUGUUGAAUGAAAUGAACAAAAAUAGAUAGAAAUGGUAAAAAUGGAGAAAUGAGAAACAUUUGGAAAUGAAUGUGAUUUUCUCCAAAAUGAAAUGAAAAUGAUGCGGAAAUGAAUUUAUGGUUUUCGAAUUAAAUGAAGUUCGAAAAUAAAAAUAAAUCAUUUGGUAUAAUGAAUCCGUUGAAUAUAGAAAUAUUAAAUAUAUUCUCUUAUAGAUUAUUUUACAAUAAAGUCAUGAUGAUUUUAACGGAAUUAGAAUUGGGUUGAAAAAAUUAUUUAAUUAGGAAAUUAAUUUAUUUAAAUUAAUUUAAGAUUUUAUUUUGGGAAAUAGAAAAACAAGUAUUGGGUUGGAUCGAAUUAUAAAGUACCGGGUUAAAUUCAUGAAGUACUUGUAAUUGGACCUGAUAUUGGAAAGGUCCAAAAGCCCGUCAUGUUUAAAGUAAGGGACAACAAACCCUAGAUUGUUUAACUAGGGUUGUCACCCCACCUAAUCCUAGUUAGACUAGGAGUUCGUUUUUCUAUUUGAAAUAGACUUCUACAAUUCAACAAUGGUUUUACCUCUUCUCCCUAUCAAUAGAUGGCACUUGUAGGGCGAAAUAUACAACUUUAAAUGUUGUUAUUCUACCUGAAAAUAGUAAGAGUUUAUUCUCUCAGUAUUAAUUCUAUUUUCUGAAAUAAUAAUUUUGUCGGUUUCCAUUGAGAGAAGUUUUUCUUUCACAUUGAAAGUAAAGAAAACUAUUUUUGGUUUUGUGUUUGAUUCGAAUCGUUCGAAUCCACACUCAAAGUAGCUAAUGGUACAAAAAUAGUGAAGGUCGUUCGGUUAAAAGUUAGAAACGACAAUGAUCCAUCUAGCCAAAAACACAGAUGCGAUUUCAGUAAAUGGUUUAUUGUUAUAUAUAUCACAAACCAACUUAAUUUUAAAAAUUUUUAUUUUCCACUAUACAAGAAAAUCGUUUUCAAACUGGAUUUGUUUCCAACACUCCUAACCACUAAUUAUUCUAGAAAUUCAUGCGAUGUCUGUUCCCAACUAUCCAUUUAUAUCCUUGAUUCAACACACUACAAAUCUUCAAGAGGCCAUGCCAAGUAGAUGACACAUUCGCCUUCAAAUCGACCUCCAUAAAGGGAGUAUUACGUAUGCAUUUUUUCUUGAAAUCUUGACACCAAAGUGCAUUGUGGUUCACAUGUAAGCGCCAAUUAGCCUUGGCGAGCAUUGCAAAAUUAGUAAGUCUCGUUUUCCUCAACCCCAAACCACCUAUACUUUCUUGACCAAGUGCUUAUAAAUACUACUGCUCUUCAGUUUCUACCCAAAUUGAAAGUUUUUAAUCUACCUCAUCUCAGAUCACCAUCCCAUUCUCUUUAAUACGGAUGCUGGUUGUGUCCCACCAACAGAUAAAAGAUCCUUUUGCUUUGAAGCGGCAUGGUUGACUCAUGCAGAUUUUUCAAGGGUUUUUUAGUAGGGUUGGUCUUCUACGGCUACUUCGAUGGAGAAUGCAAUCAACGGGGUCACUGAUGUAGUUAAAUUAUGGAAGGACUCUGCUUUUGGUAAUAUCUUUCGAUGAAAACGUACUUUAAUUCUUCGUUUGCAAAGUUGAGCUAGGAAUGAAUACCAAAAAAUGCUAAAUCAGGAGGAGCUUUUAUGACUACAACUCUCGGUUGGAUUGGAUAGUACAUCGUAAGAGUAACAUAAAAUUUUUUCAUCUGACAACCAUUAUCCGUCGUAAUAGAUGCAGGGUGACUGGCUUUUUUAUUGAGAAUCUACGGGUUACAAACCAAGCAACAAUUCAUUGCCAUGUGGUUGGAUUGUUUGAAAAGCUUUUUCAGGCAAUGAAAAAGCUUAUGCUUACGAUUACAUUCAAUUUUUAUUAUUACGAACAUUAUUAUCUGAACUAAUAUAAUCUUUUAUAUGGUACAGCUAAAUAAAAAAAAAUAUAAUAAUAAUUUAAAAAUAAUGUGAUGCAGUAUCCAUAUUAGGAUCACAUGUGAACCAUCCAGACUGAGAUUAUCUAGCCACAGAUUAUGUUGGAAUCCAGUUUAUGCUAGUCAUCCAAUAGUGCAUAUAUAGGGACUGUUAUGUUUUCGUAUAUCUCAAAAUUUGUUUCCUCUUCACAAAUGGUGCUAUUAUCCUAUAGUCCAUUCGUCAAACUUUACCCACUUCCCAAUAUAUUUGGUCAAUGUAGGUAUAUCAACGUUUGUAAUCUACCAACUUUUUCCUGUUGUGGAACCGACCGAUGCAUCGGUUCGGAUUAUGGCAAAUAAUCAUUCAAUCGAAUUUUAUAAUUUUUAAAAUUUUAUAAAUUAUUAAUAAUUUAUUUAAAUAAAAUUGGACAACUAGUCUAAUAGAGAAUUGAUGACUCAACUGAUUCAACUACUGAUCAAUUUCAAAAACAUUGCAUAAAAACGAAAUUAUCUAGAUCAAAUUUCACUAGUUUAGAACCAUAAAUUGAUUGAAUUUUAAAAAAAAAAUUAUAAAGCAUAUCAUUUUAGAAAAAGGAUUGUAUAGAACUGUGAUUUCACGUCAUCUCUGUCCCUUUCUAAUAGGAGAAUGACAAAUUAGAUUCUUCCCCCUGAUUUUUAGUAUUUUUAGUUAGAUUUGAAUUUUUUCAGGAAGAAAAAGCUGAAAAUCAAGAAGAAAAAGCUGAAAAUUAAGAAGAAAAAUCUGAUUUGUCAUCCUCUUAUUGGAAAUGGAUGGGAUGACAUGGAAUUACAGUUUUAUACAAUCUUCUCUCAUCGUUUUAUAUACUUUUUUAGUUUUUAUUAAUUCAAAAAUAAAUGUUGAUUUUUAUAUAAAAUAUAUUAAAAAUUAAUAUGAAUAAUACAAAAACAACUAGAUUGGAGUUUAGAGUUUGAUUCUAAUUCAUCUUGGAUAAUAAUAUAAUGUUUUUUUUUGCUCAAAUAAUAUAAUGUGUAUGGUUGUUCAGUUUUUGGUUUAUAUCAUACUAAAGGUGUGUUUAGAUGGGUGGUGCAUUUACUUGUAUUUUACUGUAAAUAUAGCGAUAGCAGUGAAAUUAAAUACUAUAACAAUACUGUAGUGCGAGACAAAAAAUAAACUAAAAGCACCAAACUGCACCUUAACUCCCAUCCAAUUGAAUCUUAAAAGUAGGUUGUAUGGCUUUGGAAUGAAUAUUUUUGUUUACUGCAAUAAUUAAAAUCCAAAUUUUACGGUAAUGUGGAGAAACAAGACAAGUUUAAAUUUUUAUUGAAAAUCAUGCAUGAAACUUCGCUGAGAACUAGAAUAUAUGGAAAAUAUUAUGGAAAAGGUGCUGGAAACAAACCCUAUAUCAUCCACUGCUAAUUCUUUCUCCUUCCAUUUCGACGGAUCCUUCUUCUCUUUUGUGGGUUUCGCUUGAUCAUCUUCACUAGCCAACGAGGUCUCCCAGUUGUGAAAACUAUGUAUCCCAUACUCAAUCCAAGCACUAGUCCACUUCCAUAACCCAUUGCUGCAAUUUUCCAAAUACUUGUUUCAGAUUCAUCAGCAACUGUUGAUGGAGGUGAUUCUGGUUCCUGAUCGUUGCCGCAUUUCUUUGACAAUGGAAAUCCACAUAGUCCGGAGUUGCCAUCGAAGGAAUCAUUUGAGAAAGUAUCGAAAUGAUUAGCUAAUGGUAUAUGCCCCUCAAGAUUGUUAUUAGAAAGAUUCAAUGCUCCAAGAAAUGUCAAGUCAGUUAACUGCACUGGAAUUCUUCCUUGAAGCUUGUUUGACGAGAGAUCCAAUGAUUCAAGUGCUGCCAUUUUUCCAAGUGAUGGUGGGAUAUUACCUGCUAAGCUAUUGUGUGAGAAGUUGAGCACUAUGACUGAGUUGAGUUCUCCAAGUUCUUUAGGAAUCGACUCCUUGAAAUGGUUGCUUGAAAAAUCAAUAACUGUGAAAGAAGUUAAAAUUCUCUCAAGUUUGAAAUCCGACCCUUUCAUUGUUACAAUUACAGAGUCUUGAUAAUAAUAUUCUCCCAUGUACUUUGGACCACUUUUGUCUACCUGAAUAUAUUUCAUUGAUUUUAAAUUUUCAAAUAGCUCUGGUGGGAUGUGACCAGUGAACUCAUUUUGAGAGAGAUCAAUCAUUCGAAGGCUACUGAAGGUAAAUGAUCCAUUGAAAUUUUGUGUGUCACCAUGGAAUCUAUUAGAUCGAAGGACAAGAACUUGCAGAUUAGGAAGCGUACCUAACCAAUAAGGAAAUGUAUCAUUUAUGUUGUUGUUGCCCAAAUCUAAAACUUCCAAACUGUAGCAGUUCGUUAAUGAUUGUGGAAUUGAUCCUUCAAGUUGGUUGUCAUUGAGGUUAAGUGUUCUCAAUGAACUAUAUCUGACGUAUGUUGUUGGAAUUUUUCCGCGAAAGUAAUUCGUUCUCAAAUCCAUAACUGUGAGACGUCUAAAAUUGCCAAGACAGUCUGGAACAAUCCCACCCAACUUAUUCUUGGAUAAGUCAAGUACAACAAGAGAACUCGAAUUGCAAAUAGUAGGAGGUAUUUCUCCAACCAACUCAUUGUCUGAGAUUAAGAAAUAAAGCAAUGACUGUGGUAAAGCUGGAAGUGGUCCUUGAAGUGAAUUUGAACGAAGAUCGAGAGCUGAUAGAUGCUUCCCAGGAACUUGCUCUAUGCCAGUCAUGAAGUUCAUAUACAAGUUCAAAGUAAUCAAGCUCUCCCAUCCUUCGGCUUCCCAUUUUGUAAUGGAACCAUGAAUUUGGUUAUUAGAAAGAUCUAAAACUUGCAAGUACUUGGAUGCAUUCAAGAAGCUUGGGAAACGUUGCAUGUUGCAAGAAGAGAAAUGAAACUCAAUUACCAUGGGCAGGGUAGAAUUGGAACCAUUAUUGCAGCUAGUUAAUGAUAGUAAGCUGUUAUGUGAAAGAUCAAGUAAACUUAGAUUCCUAAGCUUCACAAGCUCGGAUGACUUGAUAUUGCCACUCAAGUUAUUUGAUGAAAUGUAAAGAUCAAUAAGGUUCACAAGGUCAAAGAAAGAACCUGGAAUUGGUCCUUGGAUUUCAUUCUCUGACAAAUCGACAUAUUGGACUAGAUUAGGCUCUUGAAUUGGGUCAAUGGGACCAUUAAGUUUGUUAGAGUUGAGGUCCAACCAAUUCAAAGAUGGUAGACUAAACAACCAACCUGGUACUCUGCCAUUAAGCAAGUUUGCAUUUAAGUGGAGUUCUCUUAGAUAUGGAAGUCCACGUACGUUGUUGGGAAGGGUACCCUGAAGGAAAUUGGAAGAGAAGUCCAUGAAAGUAAGGCCGGUGAGGUUAAAUGUUGAUGACGGCAAGAACCCACUGAAAUUGUUAUGGGAAAAAUCCAUGGAACUUAGAUCGUUUAAGUUCCCAAAAACAUCUGGAAUUUGCCCUUGGAACAUGUUGCCUGAGAUAUCCAAGAAGGUGAUUUUUGUGAGGUUUCCAAGUGUUGAAGGGAUUGACCCCAUAAAAUCACAACCUCGAAGGUUAAGUGUUUUCAAGUGUUUAAGGUUUCCAAUUGAGUCUGGCAACUCUUUUGAAAACCUCGUCUGUGAAACAUCCAACACUCUAAGGGGACUACUCCAAUUUGUUUCAGGUGGAUGACCAAUGAGAUCGACGUUAAACUGAAGAAUGAUAUUUUCAAGAUAUGGAAAUUGUAAAAUUUCAGCUGGAAAUUUUCCUUGCAGAUGACAGGCAAAGAGACUCAGAUGCUUCAUUGAGACAGUCAAGUUAAGGAAAGAAUAGGGUACAACCAAAGACAAAUCCAUAAGGUCAAGGAUCAUAUUUUCUAAUUUUGUAAGGUUAUGGACAAGCAUGUUAAAAUCAUGGCUCCUAAACAAAAGAUGAUUCAGACCGAGAUCAAGCGAAACUAGUUCUGACAAAAGAGAGAUUUCAGGUGGGACAAAACCAGUGAGUCCUAUGCCAGAGAGAUUGAGAUAUGUUAGACUUUUCAACUUACUAAACUCAGACGGGAUUUCAGAGUCGUCGAAAUCAUUGCCGGCAAGGUUGAGCCAUUGGAGGUUUUGAAGUGAGAAGAGGGCACUGUUUGACUGGAGAGAACCAACCAGACCACUCCAACUGAGAUCAAGGCCAAUCACGUUUCCUUCCUUGUGAUCACACAUCACACCAUCCCAUUUGCAACAGUCAGUACCUUCAUCCCAAGAUUUUGUCUUAAAAGUUAUGUUUUGAAAAGGAUAGGUUUUAUCAAGGGAAAUGGAGAGGUUGCUCUUGAAUCUUAGUAAUGAAGAACUCUGUUCGGGGCGACAUAAAUGCGAUGGAGGAAGAGAUAAAGAAAGGGAUAACAAUGGGGAAUUGAAGAAGGAAAAAAGGAAGAAGAGGACUAAAUAUAACCACAUUGACCAACAACCCAUGCUUCUUUUAUGAACCCAAAAGAAGAUACACAAGAAAUUGGUUAUGGAGUUGCUUAUAUAAGUUUCAACAGGAAGCAUUUACCAUCAAAGCAAGUCACUCCCAAUUUGUUCCACUUAUCAACUCGUUGAUUACCCUUUUUUUCUCUCUCUUUUACUUGUACACAUCCAUCAAUGGCCGGCAAUUUAGCUAAUCACUACCAAUCUGAGAAGUUAGUUGGUUGUCUUUUUGCCUAGAUUUUUCCCUCUAGAUUACUUGCAAGUUCUCCUUACUGACCAUAAAGGAAUAUGAAAUUAUGCACGAAGCUGUUACACUAACUUUUUGUUAAAAUAAUAUAAACAAAACUUGAUAAUUUUAUUUGUAUUAAAUUUAUAUUUGAUGUAUUGAGAAUAUAUAAACUUAUAUAUUAUUAAUGGUCACAUAAUAUCCAAUAAAAUUAUUUGCGGAAAUGUGGAAAUGUAAAUGAAAUGAAUACCCUUUUUCUUGUUAUAAGAAAAGAAUAGAGUAUUAAGAUUUCAACAUUCAAUGAGCUGGGUUUUGUUUUACUUGUUGAGUAUGAUUGUAUAAGCCAACAUAAUAAGGUCAAAUUUUCACACAAAAUAGAAAAUUAAUUAUCAAAAUUUUCCAAUGGCUGAGACUUAAAAGCCCAUGUAGCCAGUUUUUUUAAUUAAAAAAAAACAUUUUCUUCAGUAAAAGAAAAGAAUAUUUGAGUAUCGAGAAAUUAAUUUAAGAAUAAAUGUAAUUGAGACAUCUAUUUAUAAGGAAAUGUCAUAAUCAUAUGCGUUAAGGAUGUAAAAGCUUGUCAAAUUUUUAAAAAAAAAAUUUAAGUUUUUUUACGGUUAAAAUGCUUUAAAAAUAUUAUUUGACCCUUAAAAUUCAGGAUUCUCUAUUUUUUUUUAAUUUUUCAAUUAAUGCAACCAUAUGUCACACCGUAAUUGUAACUUGUGGAAGAAACUAAUAAAAACGUAAGAAAUUUUAAGAAAAAAAAUUAUGAAACCUGAGAAAUAGAAAUUCAUUGAGAAUUUAAGGUUACGACUUUCUUAUUGAUUUGAUGUUACUACGUUUUUAAUUGAAUUUAAUGUUGUUCUGGAAAGGAAUUGGAUGAUUGUUCAUGAUGUUAUAGUGAAUUAUUGAUGGAAAUGGUUUGAUUUGAGAUGCUAGAACGGUGAAUUGAUUUUUGCUGAAGCUGUUAAGUCUAAUUGUGUUUUGCAUAUGAUUUUAAAGUUAUCUGUAUAGAAAUUGAUUCGAAAAGGUUGUGAUGUAUUGUUAUGCAAAUGUUCUGGAUUCUAGAGUAUCAAAAAUGGAAGUUGAUUAGGUACUGAUAGUUUGCAACUUUACAGAUGUGUAUUCGAAGAAUUUGUUGAGUUUAUUACCGAAAUGAGAAGUUGAGUUUGACAUAGAUUUAAUAUACAGGACUGCUCUGAUUAUUAUCGUUUUGUACAAAAUGACUUCAUCUGAAUUAAAAAAUAAAUAAUUCAAUUGCAAGGAUUAAUCGACAGAGGUUUUACUCGACUAAGUUUAUCAUUUUAGGACACACUUGUAUUGUUUGUGAAAAGAAAUAUGAAACAAUGAGUUUGUAUAUAGAUUAUUAGUGGUUGAAUAAAGUCGUGAUAGAGAAUAAAAAUCAGUUAAUUCGUAUUGAAGACCUAUUUAGUCAAUUGAAAAGUCUUACAUUAUUUUAGAAGAUAAAUUGAUAGUCACGAAACUAACUAAAAUUACGACAAAGGGAAGUGCACUUAUCGAUAAAUAGUAUAGCUACGAUGAGUAAAGAUAUCGUAUCCACGACGACUAAAAGUACUAGUAAUUACUGUUUUCCUAUUAUUUAACUGACAAAUUGGAGUGAUUGGUUUAAACUAAAAUCUACUAAAUUAAUUAACUAAAAAACACAGCAAAGAAUAAAUCAGGAAUUUAAUUGAAUAAUAACCAAGAAGCUAAACAAUACCCAAGAAAUAAUCCUCCUAGACUUCAUCUAUCAUUAUGAAUCUAAAUUAAACGAUUUGUUCACUUGAUAUCUUGAUCCAAAGAAAUCCUUAAAUUGUGCCAAUAUCCCUUUUAAGACUAAAAGCAAUUGACUCUAGGUUGAUUAAUUGAAAUUUCUUUCUAAUUAAAAGUCCUAUUAUCACAUUAACUCGAUCUACGGAUUCCCCUAUUAGAUUUGACUCUAAUCUGGUAGAUUUAUGUCAUCCUAUUUCUAGGAUUGCAUGAAACUCCACCUAAUUAUGCUAGAUCUACUCUUAAACAGGGACUUUUCCUCCUCUGAUUUAAGCACAUUAAACAUGAAUUAAUAUUUAGAAAAUAUUAAAACAAGAAAUAAGCACACAUAACUGAGAAUAAGAUUCAAGUAUUUAUUGCGUAAAACAUAAAUCAAAUAUUAGAAUUCAUCAUAGGAUUCAUCUCCCCUAGGUAUCUAGAGAAUUAGUUCAUAAUUGCAAAUAAAAACAUCUCAAAGUCAGAGCAACCCCAAGAUAUAAAGAACUUCAAAGAAAUUAAAAAGAGGUCUUCAAUCUUGAUGGAAAUCUACUUCAGAGUUAGCUUCAAUGAUAUUCUUCAAGCUAUUUUCUUCAAUUCUAUUUGAUGGUUCCCUAUUCUCUUCUUCUAUUUGGUAUUUAUAGGUCUUAGAAUGCCUAAAAAGCCUAAAAAUUUUGUUUUUCUGUAUGUUUGGAAUGCGAUUUGUGAUGUUGACACAAUUUGACACAUGGCCAUGUGUACAGCCCAUGUGGCUCCUAAAAGCUGCUCCAAUUGUUCGUUUUUUGCUCCUUAUGCUCCCUAAUGCUCUCUUAAGUAUAGAAACAUGAAUUAAAAGGAUUAGCAGCAUAAAAUUUACCAAUUUGCAUAAAUCAUCAUCCAAAAUGCAUUAAAAAUGGGAUUAAAACAUGUUACUUUUAUCACUUAUUAAAUAUCCCCACACUUAAACAUUUUCUUGUCCUCAAGCAAAAUUCUCAACCCACUUUAAAGUUAACCUUUCUCAAUUUGUUAUUUCCAUCAAUAAUGUCUCAAAAUAAUUUGCAAACAAUCAUGCAUUGGCAAUUCAACUAAAAAUGCACUUAAGAUUCAAACAAUCUAAGCUAAAAUUUUUAGGGUACGAAAACAUAGGUGUCUCCCUUUAUUUAAGUAAUUACCUUUAAAUAAAAAUGAAUAAGAAUUGACAUCCUCACUAAAGAUUCACUCAAAGUAUUUAAGGUUCAAGAAAUAUGCACUCAAUAGUUGAACAAGAAAUGUCAUUACAAUAGGCUUGCUUGAAAGUCAAAUCUUCACCACUAUAAAAUGAUAUGACACACCAAUCGAGAGGUCUUGACAAGGUUGUAAUGGGUUUUAGAUUAAGGGUGUGGAAAAAGGCUAGAAAAGUUGGUUAUAACCGAGAUCAGUUGAUACAUUACCAAACUAGAAAAAAAAUCAAGAACAAAAACGAGCUUUUCAACACUAAAUGAAACUAAUUAUUCAAGCUCAAUCACAUUAUUUUUUUUAUUUUUUACUAAAUAAUAAGAAUAAGAGUAAACUAACAUUUUUUUUUAUUUUUUUACUAAAUAAUAAGAAUAAGAGUAAACUAAAACCUCAUUUCUUAAAAAGAACUUAUCAUGCUUGACUCUCUCAUGUUUUAAAGUUUAAAUCAACCAAUGCACAAAUACCUACAAAUUAAUCCAAAACAACAUCAAUAAAAAAUCCCAAAUCGACAAAAAUUCACUCUAAUGGAAGUAUGAGAAAAUUACUUAAACACAACAAAUAAUUCAGGGAUUUUAUCACAAUUAUAUAAACAACCUCCCCACAUUUAAGAUGUACAUUGUCCUCAAUGUACAAACAAAUAUAAACACAUAAUAAACACAAUAUCAUAAGAGAGGGAGAAAACUGAAAUUACCUUGAAUAUGAAUGAAAUCGCCAUAAUAGUGAAAACUAGAAUUGUAGGCAAAAUCUAAAUGUAGUGCAUGGUUCCGAGCAAACUAAUAAAAACAUAAACACAAAUAAUGAAGAAGAUUAAGAGGUUACAAAUUCAAAUAAAAGCAACCAUCAAAAUAAAAACUUGGUUCAAAAGAAAAUAAACUAAAGAAGCCUAAAAAAAUAAAAACAAAACACUGAAAAAUAAAAAAGAAAAAGAAAAAGAAAAAGAAAACUACAAGAACAUAAAGAAAGCAUAUAAAACAAAACAAAUCAACAAUCGUCAUCGUGCAAUGCGUCGGAUUCGUGAAGUGCAGGCUUAGUAGAUAAAAUACAGAGAUGCUGAUAGAUCUGUUGUAAAGUAGCAUCAAUACUAUCGAAUCACUCAAAACAAUGCUGCUCAAAACAAGUAAACCUUUCGGAGAGGUCCGUUAGUGUAACAGUAGUGGCAAGAGUAGGGUGACUUAGAGGUGGAUGAUAAGGUGGAUCAUCAUAGUGAAAAAAAACAUCAUCAAAGAAGUCUUCAUGCUCAUCAUGAGGGUCAAUAUGAGACAAUCUGUAUCUAGGAGGACCCACUCCAUGCUUUUGCUUGAUCAUCCUCAUAUGACUCAUAAUAGAUAAACCCUGUGGGACCAUCUGUCCAACCAAUAUGAAGGAGGAGGACAGCUCCAGAGUGUCAAGGAGGCCAAAAUGGCGUGCUAGACAAGUCACAUAAGGGCCUAAGUAGAUAGGACCCUUCCUACUACACUCUGUCUGGUGGCUACAAGCAAGGGCGAUGAAGUAAACAAGAUCAAAGAUGCAUCACGCCACCAUGCUCCAAAGGAAGUACGCAUCGAAUGUACCAAUAACCCCAGUGCUCUCCCUCCGACUAGCCACCGUGUGGGCCAAGAUUGCAUGGAUAUAGCGUAAGGCUCGAAGUAGUGAAGUCACCUUCGAUUGACUCGGGUCAUAAUAGAUGUGUUAGUAUAAGGUAAGGAAGUCCUCGGCAUUCAUGAACUCCUUAGAAUAGAGUCCAAGGGAAACUCUAAAUUCUGUGACGCUCAGAUAACGAGUCAUACCACCUAGUCAAAAGAAAAUAGUACGCGACUCAUCGUGGCUCGACAUCACAUGUUGCAGAACGAAUGUCGAACAAAAAUCUAGUGUCAGCUUCGAGUAGGUAGGCUCGACGAUAGAGAAGAAACAGUCCCAUAGAUAUGUAGCAAUCAGUGUUCAUACACUAUCAGUCAAGUGGAUCUGAUCUAGGGCCGUCUAAUCACUACAACGACCCAAUCCCAACGGUUGUUGUUUGAGAUGCUGAUAUAGGUCCUCGUGAGGACUCUGUGAAAACCAUAGAGAAGGAUGACGUGCAUCGAAAGAUGGGCCCGAGAAGGAGGUUGCGUCCGGAGUUUUUCGUUUUUUUGAAGCAAGUAUGCCACACUUAGUCUUAUCGCGUUUGUUUGUCAUUGUAUUGGAAAGAACAGAUAACCAAACAACUAUUUUAGCAUCAAAGAAAAAGCAUGGAUCGACACGAUGAACUUAGCCAUAUCGAAUAUCGAAGCUAACGAAAGUUAAAAUCUAAGAACAUGAAUCUUAAAAAUAAUAAUUGAAUGCAAGCUUAAAAUAAAGUAAGCAGUAAUAACAAAAUAAUAAUAAUACUAGAAAUAAUAAUUAGAAUAGAACCGAAUAAUAGUAAUAACUAACAAAGAGGAACAUAACUAAAAUAAUUAAUAAUAAUAAUAACAAUAAGAACAGUAAGAAUAACAUUACAGGUAAUAGUAAUAACCAUAAUAAUAAGAAUAAUAAUAAGGACUAAAAAUAAAAUAAAAUAAAAUAAAUAAACAAAAAUAAAAUAAAAGUAAGGAGGGCAAACGGUGAGGAACCGAUGGAGGGCGAUGGCGGUGACCGGAGUUAUGGCAAAGGAAAGGACGACGGGGAAAAGUCGGCGAUGGGGACGUGCGAGAUAGGGAAUAGGCUUGACGAAGGGAAAGAACGAUGGAGAUGAGGGUGUUCGCGCGGAUGGCAGCUGGAGUUGUCCAUGAAGAGGAGAAAAGGAAAUGGGAGAUUGGGGGUGUUGGUUGGGGUUUUAGGAUAAAAAAGGGACACGAUCGUGUUCAAGCCUGUAUUGGGCCACACGGCUGCGUCCCACACCCGUGUGAUGCUCCUUCAGCCCGUUUUUCAUUUAAAAUUUAAGCCUAGUGUUAACAAGGCCUGCGACACACUCGUGUGUCUAGAACGUGUGUCACACAUGGCUAUGUGCCAGGCUGUGUGUGAUCAUCCUUUGCUUCUCCCACGCUCGUGUAUGAGGCUAUGUCAGACACAUGGUCUCACGAACACCCGUGUGACAAGCUGUGUGUCACACACGGCCGUGUCAAUAGCUUGUGUAACUCACUAUUUUUUAAAAUUAAAUUGAAAAUCUAUUCCUGUAUUCACACAGCCAUGGACACACCCGUGUAUCUAAGUCGUGUGGCACACACGACCGUGUUACAAUCUAAAUUGGAAAAAUUAAGUCCCAAGACACGCCAGUGUGUCUAGGCUGUGUCUUCAAACUAUGUAAGUCUUUGUUAAUGUGUGUCACAAAAAGUUUGAAAAAAUAAUAGCUCCAGUAUGUAAUCAGCCUGGGACACGCCCGUGUGUCCAGGCCGUGUGGCUCAAUUUUUUUUAUAGAAAAUUAACAUGUAAUAAAAUUAAAAGAAUUAAAAAAUAUAAACACUUGGGUUGCCUUCCGAUAAACGCUUAUUUAGAGUUUAAGCUCGACUUUACCUUUUAGGCUAACGGUUACGGUGGAGCUUGGAGCCGAAGUUUCUCUGUAUCAUUUUCAGUUUUAUCACCGAAAUAAGGUUUGAGUUGAGUACUAUUUACCUUAAAUGUACCAAAUUUAGAAUGUGUUACCCAACUAUAUCGUAUACAAAAGUGUUUAGUACCACAAACGGGUUCGAUCCUCUUAACUCAAGUUUCGAAGGGAAAAUUCGUGGAUCCGAUUUGUCUAGCAGUACUUUGUCCCUAACCUUAAAUUGGUUUGUUCUCAUCACAUGCACAUGCACAUCAUGGUAUUGCUUUGUUUCUUCAUCGUGUUUUCUUGGUUUCUCCUCAACAUGCACUUGUCAUUCAUCUAGUUCGUUGAGUUGCACCAUUCGCUCUUCAUUUGUUGCUCGAUUUCUGUCACCUUGACUGAAACCUGGCUCCAACACGUUUUCAUGAAGAAUUUCCUGCAAAGAAUGUUGAGCCACAUGCUUACUAACAUUAACAGAACGAUUAGUGUCAUCUCGCUUACUAGAGACUCUUACAAAAUCCCGUGCUUGAAGAGUAAACUUUUCGUCACCUACACGAAGAACAAGUUCACCAGUACCAACAUCGAUAAUAGUUCUAAUAGU
rnacentral:lncRNA from 1 species